UUUUUUUUUUAUCCGGAUUCACUGGUUUGACUAUUGUUCAUUUCUUCCGUUCUUAUAUUCAUUUUACACAUUUAUUCCAAAAAACCCUAGCAGUCGACUCUCCGGAAACUUCUCCCUCCUCUUGCGUCACGUCCUUUGUUUCUGCCCUAACUUGCUGGCUAAUCCAGCGAUAAAGUAGACGGCGGAUGCUAGAUCUUUUUCCGUCAUAUAUGCAGUUAUGAAUAAUUCAUGGAAAGUAAUAGGAAUUAGACUAGACAGAGUCUUCAACCGGUUCAAAUUGAGUUCUUUGGUUAUGGGUUUGGGUUCGGUGGAUCUAUGCAACUCCCAAUUGCAGCUGCCACAUUUUUGCGGUGGUUUUGGUAGGAUUUAUGAAAAUGGUGGUUUAGACAUCUGAGGAGAUUGUGUGACUGACGGCAGAAAGUCAAAGCUGUGUUCGUGGUGGCUGAAGCUGUCUAUUUUGUGUUUGUUUUCUUGGUUCUAUUUCUUCUUCCUUUUUCAAUUUUGUAGAAAAAUGAUUAAUAAUGAAGGCCUCGAAUUUUUUUUUUUAAAUUUUCUUUUAAGGAACAAUUUCCUGGAAGCAAGUUUAGUUGUAUGUUAAUUUUUGGUAUUUAAUGGUACACUCUUUCUUCGCUAAUGAAAAAACCAUUAAGUUUUUAAAGGUGAGACAACCAAUUUAAUUUUUAUUUAAUCAUUAUUAAUGGAAGUAAAGAGAAAGAUGUAUAACUUAAGUGUUCUAAGUUCAUUGUUACAGCUGUAAAAUAGAACAUCGAGCCUCGCGUUCAUAGUAUCUGGGUUUUUUACUUAUCAUGCAGGGGAUUUGAUGCCUUAAUUUCUCAAUGCAAAGGAUCUUUCUUCUCUGGAUUUUUCUUUUUUCUUUUCUUCCAACAUCUUAAUAUGCACUAAUUCAUUGGCUUUGUUGUUCUCUUUUAUUCUAUGAGUCCAGCAACCCAAUCUUUUGUUUGUACUUUAUGGUUUAUGUUUCUCUUUAUAAGGCAAAUUUAUCUUAUGCAAGUAAGUUGUACAUCUGCUUGGUAUGAAGCUGUUGUGUUUAUUGAAGUCUAAAUCAGGAAAAAACUUCAUUGGAUGUAUUUAUUUCAAAUAUUUGUAAGAUGCUAUUCUUAUCUUGUGAUUUUCUUAAAUACAAUUUUAUAUCACUUGACUUCUUCCCAGGUUUCAGUUCUUGAGUGGAUAAUUAUUUUUAUGCCUUUGUUUGUCUUAUAAUUUUAAUGCUUAGUAUAUAGGAAUAGGCCACUUCUUGGCAAGUUCGGAAGCUUGGUGAGAAGGAAACUAAUGAUAAUGGUCUUUUAAUUAAAUAGGCCCAAGAGAAAGUAAAGAAAAUUUGUGAAGCAAAUGUAGAUCCUUUGAAAUUAAAGGUGCUACAAAUGGCAACAAUGCCAGUUCAAGCGUUUCUUCAAGCCCUAAUCAACAUUUUGCUAAUGGGGGCUAUCUAGAGUGAUCUCAUGACUGUUUGAAAAUUAACACAUCCUUUUCACCUGUAGGCAUUCACUUGCUGCGAUUACCAGUGGUAGCUGUACUUAAACUAAGCCAUAGUUACAUUGGCAGUUUUUGUAGGAUCCAUCAAUUUUUGGGUGUGUUCGACAUCGGUGGAAAAUUUAUGUCCACUCUCUCUCAGUUUGAUGUAUUGUAUGAAAAUAAUAUAAUCGCGGCUGAUUAUUUAAAUUAGUUAUUUUGAAUGUGAAGUCAACUGGUACCCAUUCUCAAACGCAGUUAAACAUUCGCUAUGAAUUUUCUCUUCGAGUAUAUUUCUGUGAGUUCAUUUUAUAUUUGAAAUUGCUUAUUUGUUAUGACUUCUCUCCAGGAUUUCGAGCCUUGAAGCGUGGCUGAAUACAAACAUUAGUGCCUGGAUUGUGAGUUCAUAAAUCUGCAAGUUAACAUGGGCAAUCACUAGGCAGUCCUACAAUAGACAACUUUUAGUUGUCAUUCUUUAUUGAAUGCUUUGUUUUAAUAUUUGCUCAAUUUUUAUCCUAAGACUUUGGUUAUACAAUCUGUAAAUUACAAGAAAUGAGACCAGCCCUGUUACAAGACGUAGGAAAACAUAUACCCAUGCGCAUGACUACCAUAUCAAUUCUAUUUCAAAUAAUAGGCAUGGAUAUCCAUAUUUUAUGUCAAUGCAUGUAUUCUUUGAUUUUGUUUGAAAUAUUUCUGUUACUGUGAGUUUUUACUGCCUCAUUAUCCCCUGAUAUUAAUGCUAUUAAUUCAAUUCCUUCUAACUUUUAGCCUCAAGCUAGAGGGAAAGCGAGGAUUGUUGGCCUCCAAAAAGGAUCCAACAGAUUCCUUAACCUCGUCCCCUCGAAACCUACGCAUGUAACACCCCGUCAAGAGGCAAAGGUGGUCGGACGAGAAAAAGGUUCGGCUACCGUUUGCACUCCGACGGUCAAGUCAACGGGUGGACGAAGAUAGAUAUAUAGAGUGCAAUAGUAUGGAAAUGGGGAUUUGGCUAGAGAAUGUAAAACGUACCUUAGUUGUGUGAGUGAAUCCAUAUAUAUAGAGAAAUGGAAGUGAAAUGGGCCAUAAGGGCUGGUGGGCCGAAGUCCAAGCAUAAUAAGGAGGUGAUCAUAUGAACAUAAUAAUAGGCACUUCGGUGAGCGCCUCGCUGAACUUCUUAGGGCCUCAGUGGUGCCUCGACUGGCCUCAUCAGAGCCUCGACUUUGAGGCCAAAUUCUGUUGGGCCUCGUUUGAGUCCAAAAGAUGGCCCAAUAUGAAGCGGUAAUUUAUACGCAUAACAGUAGUCCCCCAAGUCAAAGUCGUAUUAUUUAUUUGCAGGUCAAACUUGAAAUAUAAACUAUCAAGUAGACAAUAUUUUACAGAUUGCCUCAGAAAGAUGUGUAGCUCCAAUAAGCGAGGACUUACGAACUGCCUCAAAAAUAUGCAUCAAUCUCAAAUAGGUGAAGACUUACUAAUUGCCUCGAGAAAUAUGAGUUGCUCCAAUAAGUGAGGACUUACGAAUUGCCUCGAAAGAUAUACUGCAUAUAUUUUUUCAAAAUUUUGGCAGCAUCUCCUCUGUAAUAUGGACUAAAUCAAUCUUGCAAUACAAUACAAUAUAUCCACAACAUAUAUACCAAAUAAAUUUGGGGUCCAUUUGCCUCUUCAAAUGCUCAUAACUAUAAGGUGUGACAUUUUACAUUUCUCCAAGAUAUGCGUAGAGGGUCUGUCAUGUAUUAUGGUAAACCAUGUGCUCGCAUAGUUCAGUACAUCAGUAAUGCUAUAGUGAAGCAAGUAACAUGAUGUUGAUAUUAAAAUGAAAAUGAUGAUAAGAUGACAUACGUACUAGCUGUGAUGAAAAUAAUGUAUGACAUGCUAGCAGUGAUAUAACAUUUAUGCUUGGAAGUAGUAAUGAGAUGUGUAUGCUAUCAGUAAUAUGCAGUUCCCCAAGUCUGAGUCGUAUUAUUUAUACGUGGGUCGAACUUGAAUUGUAAGCUACUGUGAUAAAGUUGAUGUAGAGAUGAUGCUUUGAAUGUAAGUAGCAUAGGUGACAGGGGCGAUGCGUUGGAUGCAGAGGUAAUGCUCUGAUUGUAGUUCCAGAGGAAAUGCUCUGGAUGUAGUAGCAGAGAUGAUGCUCUGAAUUGAAUAUAAGUAGCUGUACUGAUAUUGAAGCAUACUGAUGUAUAUCAGCCGUUGACUUUUUAAGAUCAGCUGAGUGUAUGGUUGCUGCGGCGGUUGUAGGUUCUACUGUCUUUACUGAAGCACUGACUCAUAAGAUGAUGCGUAGGAGAUGUUGAAGCUUGUAAAGCUGAAGGCCGGGACGUAUCUUCGACUGAGGUAUUGAAGCUUUGAUGCUGCUUGAGGAAGGAGCUCAUCUGCCAUUAAUGCGUUGACCCACAGGGGACGACAUGUUGGGAGAUGGCUAAAGUUUUGUAAAGUUUAGGAGGAAAAGCAGCGACCGAGGCGAUAACCCAUAGGGGACUUCGUGUUAGAUAUGUCUAAGCUUUGUAAAGCUAAGCGAGGAGCUCAUCUACCACCAGUGCGCUGACCCGCAGGGGAUGACGCGUUGGGAGAUGGCUAAACCUUUGUAAAGCUUAGGAGGGAAUGCAAUGGCCGAGACGAUGAGGCACAGGGGACUCCGCGUCAGGUGUGUCUAACUUUGUAAAGCUAAGGACAACAUUUGGUGAGGCAGGGGAUAGACAUCCCGCGAUUAACUUGAACUAUCGGAGCCAUAAGAAAUCUUGAAAUGUAGAGGACUUAAAACUCUGCUCGACAAUAGUGAAGCGAGGAGAGCACAUCUUGCAAAGCCAGGGAUAAACAUCUGGCGAAGUGUCAAACUAUCGGAGUUUUAUAAGCUGGCCUAGAAUAAACGAGGGCUUAAAGCUAAGCUCAACAAUAGUGAGGCGGGGAUAAGCAUCCCAUGAAGCCAGGGAUAAGCAUCUGACAAACUGUCAGACUUGGGAGUCUUAUAGGCUGGCCUCGGAUAGACGAGGACUUAAAGCUAAGCUUGACGAUAGUGAGGUGAGGCAUACAAAUCUCGUAGGGCUAGGAAUAAACAUCUACUAAACUGUUGAACUAUCGGAGCCUCAUAAGCUGGCCUUGAAUAGACGAGGACUUAGAGCUAAGCUCGGCGAUAGUGAGACGUGAGGGAUGGGCAUCUUAUAAAGCUAGGGAUAAGAAUCUGGCAAGGCGGGGAUUAAAUAUCUCACGAAUAGCCCUCGAACUAUCAGAGUCUUAUAAACGAGCCUCGAAUAAAUAAGGUCUUACAGCUCUGCUCAACGAUAGUGAGACAUGGGGAAUAAGCCUCUCACGAAGCCUGAGAUAAGCAUCUAGUGAGGCGGUACCAAUCUGUUGACCUCCAAAAAUGGGUCCAAUAGAUUCCUUAGCCUCGUCCCCUCGAAACCUACACAUGUAGUACACUGUCAAGAAGCAAAGGCGGCCGGAUGAGAAAAAUGUCUCAUGACCAUUUGUACUCCAACGGUCAAGUCAACAGUCGGACAAAGAUAGAUAUAUAGAGUGCAAUAUUAUGAAUAUGAGGAUUUGGCUAGAGAAUGUAAAACAUACCUUAGUUGUGUGAGUGAAUCCAUAUAUAUAGAGAAAUAGAAGUGAAAUGGGCCAAACGGGUUGGUGGGUCGAAGUCCAAGUCCAAUAAGGAGGUGAUCAUAUGAACUUAAUAAUAGGCACUUCGGCGAGCUCCUCGGUUGAACUCCUUAGGGCCUCGGCUGGCCACAUUAGAGCCUCAUCUUUGGGGCCCAAUUCUAAUGGGCCUCGUUCAAGUCCAAUAAGAUGGCCCAAUAUGAAGCGGUAAUUUAUACGCGUAACAAGGAUAUUUAUUUAUUUUUCCAAUUUCUUGAAAAUUUAUACAUCUUGGCUGGAUAAAGUGAUGUAAAAUGUUACAGUAAACACAAGUAAGCCAAGAGCAGAAUCUUCUUCUUCAUGCAACUCUGACUUUCCUUUUCUGUUUCUUUGAUUCUCUCUUUUCAUUAACCUUUUUUUAACGCAAUUUUAUAAAAUAUCGCCUAGUUCUCUCUGUAGUUCCCCAACUCUUGCGGCUUGGGUUUAAUCUGUCGAAUUCUGAGGUAUUUACUGUUUAAUUAGGAGUACUGCAGUUUUGCACUUGAACUAGUUCACCACUGUUAAUAUCUUUGAUUUGUGGUUCUUGAGGUAUCCAUUUUUCUGCCAAAAGUAGAAUCCCUUUUGUGGAAGCUCUCUCAAAUAAUCUUCAGAUCAGUGGUUUUCCGGGCUUAGUCCAACGUACCUUUCUUUACCAACAACCAAUCCAACCGACUCCAAAUCAUAAUCAAUAUAAUUCACCUCGGUUCCUAUUCAAUCUUACCUACAUAGGACAAGAAAAAUGUGAUGAUUUGUGGCCACAAAGGCUAGGAGAAGACACCACAAAGGUAGACAAUGAAGGAACCACCAAUUACACAUAGUAAAUAAGCGUUUUGGACACUUCUAGAAACUAUUUUUCACACACCAAGGGGGCAGCCGGGAUGCCUCUAUUUUUCUCACAAAACCACACAAAUCAUACAAGAAAAGUGGCUAGGGUUAUAUCCUAUAUAUACUCUAAGGUUAGACUUUUUAGUUGGACCUUUAAGAGGCUUAAACGGGCCAAGAUUCAAGCUAUCCAAGAAGGAAUACAAUUGUGCCGGGUGUAGCUUAUGGACUUGGUUGUUGGACUUAUUUCAUUCAUCGGCCUAUACCUAUGAAAUAAUAUUAAUUCACAUUAACAUCAUAACCCGAAAUUUAUUGGUUAUUAAAAACCCUACAAAUCUCCACCAUGAUGCCCCAUAAAUUUGUAAGCAAUCAAAACACAAAGUUAGCACUUGCAUAAUCAAGGUAGCCAAUAAAAUUGGAUCAUAGAUCUUACAUCGUGUUUCCAACCUAUAUCUGCUCCAUGUACUCACCGGGGCUAAGGUCAAUAACACCCAAGUAGAAGCAAAUAUUCAACUCAACAAUAAACAAUCAAGAGCAAAUAAACAUGUGAUGACAAUAUAUUAUAGGAUAAUACACAUAGAUCUUUUCACAAACACAUUCACAUAGAAUCACAGAUUAACACCAAAUUAAUCAAACACAUGGUCAACCGUACAUGCAACAAAUGCAUAAAUGACCCAUGAAAAGAUCUCACCACAUUUAUCCUAUCCUGUUCCAUGUUGCUCACACCUCGAGAACACAUAUCUCCUCUCAUCGUCCACAAUGCUAACUAGACUGAUCACCCAACUCAUGUCUCAUUCGUAGGUCACAAUAGAUCCUAAGUUUGCGGGAUAAUCCUCUAUCUCCACAUCACUUUUUCCAACCUACGUGGAUAAUGGGUCUCCACCUAACAGAAGUGAUAGAAGUGUUUCUCUCACACACUCCACCUGAUCAAGGUCUCUUUACAGAUAAAAGAUUCCAACAUUUAAUCGCCUCUUCAUUCGUGGUCCAAAUGUCACACUCCACAUCCCCGAUACAAACCACAAUGUACCCCUAAGCAUCUAAACUCCACCUCACCAAAAGACAUCCAACAUACUGCUAAUACAUCUUGACCCACUAUGCAUGCAAGCAAUCACACCAUGUAAUCAUAUUUUCCAAAAUUCAUACAAAUACAUAUCUCAAACACAUUGAAAUGUAGCUCAUAAUCAUGCAACAAAAUUUAGACAAUCACAUAGAUACACAUGCAGUAACUAGGUUUACUUUCAAUAAACCCCUCUAGGGUUAUCAUUCGAUCCUAAAGCCAAACUCGUCCCACCUCUCAUCUUACCCUUCAACUUAUCUUUUUUCUUGGGACGGUCCCAAAUAAAGUAUUCAGACUUACCUCAACUGUAACACCGUCUACCACUAGACUUGUCUUUUCCCAUUCCCUUGUCCUUACUACCUUCACUACUCGAGCCACUACUCGAAUCACUACCGUCUUGAGUUUUACCGAAAUUAAUUUGCUUAAACUUCAUCCUAUUUUUCAUUAUAUGUAACUCGCCACUCCUCUUAUCCUCUUUUUUAGCCUUAAUCUCCAUCUCCUUACUCCUAAGCAAGUCUAUGACAAUCUUGGGUUUUAGGGUGUCCCUACCAUACUUAAUUCAUUCUUAACCUCUCUAUAUGAAUCAGGCAUGAAAUUAAGUAACAUAAUUGCUUUAUAUAUUUUAGACACCUUUUCAUCACAGUUAACAAUGUUUUGAACAAGUUUGUUAAAAGUAUCUAGAUUGUCAUCAAGAUCCUUUAAAGGAUCCAUUUUAAAAUUGAAAAAUCUUUCAAGUGAGUAUAAUUUAUUAGGAGCGGAUUUAAGCAAAUAUAAGUCCUCCAACUUUUUCAAAAGUUCUUUUGUAGAAUCUAGUUUCCCAACUUCUCUCAAAAUAGUGUUAGAUAAAUGUAAGAUAAUUGAAGUGUAAGCAAGUUCAUCGUAUUCGUCUUUUUGUGUUUCUGUCAAAUUUGUGGGAAAUUUGCCAUCUAUGGCUUUUGAAACAUGUUGUUGGAACAAAAUACACUCCAUCUUUUGUUACCAAAUUGAAAAAUCCCAUUUUCCAUUAAAAAUCCCAACUUCGAAGUGUGAAGACAGUUUUUAAGAAAAAGCAAAACAACCAAAUCACGAAUAGGUCACACAAAGUAAUUCUAAGAUCGCAAUAUACAUCGUUUUAGAUUCUUAGGGUUUUGUAAGAUUCAAAAUCUUAUAUCAAGGGAAUGUUUGAAUGGGCUAAGUCCAGGUGUUCUAAUGGGAUAAUUAAUGCAAACACGAAGGUAUAUUAACAAAAAAUUCAAAAUUUCAUGCAAUGCAGUAAAUUAAACACAGAUAAAAAAACUUGCAAUUAAAUCCAACACUUCAAAUCAGAGCAAAUAAUUCCUAAAUUUUCUAGCACAAGCAAUGGUUGCCAAGCAAUGACAAUCUCCAAUCCUAGUGAUCACCCCACACGAUGUUCUGCUAGUGCGAUAAUGUAAAGGUUUCAGCUAAUUUACCAGAGCGAAAUAAUGUGAGUCCGUAAAUUAUGAGACGUGCGAAUUUGACACUUUAAGACCACCACUAUUUGUCCUAAAGUUCGUGGAAACUGCAGCAACCAAGAAAUCAUGAUUGGAUUCCGAACGUUCGAAGAACAACACUGUCCAGAUUCUACUACAGACCCUGAAACAGAAAACUUUCAACACCAAAGAGUCAAAAAUAAUCUGAGGAACAAAUUGUCGGUAGAGACUAUGGCCAAAAAGUGAAGCACGCGCCCUCACGUGCCGCACUUUGCUCCCUGCGCGUGGGCUUCAAGCGUUGUCUCCACACACCUGACUAUAGGUGUCGCCUCCACCUAAACGUCACAUUAGUGGUCUCCGUUCUCCCAAACUCCUUAUGGAUUUAUUAGAAAACACAAAAAAUAGAGGGUGAAUUUGACAAUUUUUGGACAGCUUAUUCAAUCUGAUUUCUACUGCAUUUUCUAGACGUUUUUGGUAUGUUUCACAAGCCAAAACCACUGCCUUGAAGUUUUGAUACCAAAUAUUGCGAAAGAUCUCUCGAAUGAUCUUCAAAUUGGUGGUUUUUAGGCUGAAUCCAGCGUACAUUUCUAUACCAACAAUUAAUCCAACCAGCUCCAAAUCACAACCAAUAUAAUUCAUCUCGGUUGCUAUUCAAUCUUACCCAUAUAGGACAAGAAAAAGAUGAUGAUUUAUGGCCAGAAAGGCUAGGAGAAGAUACCACAAAGGUAUACUAUGAAGGAACCACCAAUUACACACAAUAAACAAGCGUUUUGGACACUUCUAGAGGUUGUUUUUCACACACCAAAGGAGGCAGCCGUGAUUCCUCUAUUUUUCUCAAAAAACCACACAAAUCAUACAAGAAAAGUGGCUAGGAUUAUAUCCUAUAUAUACUCUAGGGUUAGGCUUUUAGUUGGACCUUUAAGAUGCUUAAACGGACCAAAAUUCAAGCCAUCCAAGAGGGAAUACAAUUGGGCCGGAUAUAAGUCAUGGACUUGGUUGUUGGUCUUAUUUCAUUCAUCAACAUGUGCUUAUUAAAUAAUAUUAACCCACGUUAACAUCAUAGCCCGAGAUUGAUUGGGUAUCAAAAACCUGACAAUCCCCUCUCUAUACAACGCUCACUUCCCCUUUUUUAACUUUGAUUCUCCCUCUUCAUUUAACAAUUUUAUUUAUUUAUAUUUAUUGUAAGCUAUUUUAUGAAAUAUCACCUCUUUCUCUCUGUCGUUCCCCAAUUCUUGCUGUUGGGUUUAAUCUGCCAAAUUCUGUGGUGUUUUUCAAACACAGAUAUCAUGUAAUUCAUUAGUUUUUUCUUCAGUUGCAACGUUAAUAUAAGGGAAUUAUGAAUCAUUUAUGUUUCCUGAUAGAGCAAAUAACAAGGCUUUUUUCAAUGACUAAAUUCUUUGCUUGUUUACUAUCUAAGUCUAUGCUGUCCAGACAUUAGAUAGAGUUGCUAAAAUUUUGGAUAAUUUUAUAUUUGUUGCACUUGCAGCUGGUUCAAAUGUGACCCUUCUUUCUGAUCAGGUGAUUGAUAAUUUAUGAUACUGUAUAGACCUAGGAAAUGCCAAGUGUUAGUAAUUGAAGUCGUCAUUUCUUUUACAUUACAUUAUUUGACCACCUGUAUUUAUCCAAUGAUUUACUAUGCAGGCAAGGAGACUUCACCCUGAAUUAGUUGCUAUUAGAAAUUAGUCAUUAGUUGAUGAACUCAAAAAGGGGCUCUGCCCGAUUGAAGACAAGCCUGAAAUUAUUUUCCGAGAGCAGAGAACCCAUCUAGGUUAUCUAUCAUGUGUUAUUGAAUUUUCAUUAGUUGGUAAAUGAUAAUCUAACUCAUUCCUCAGUGUUCCUAAUUCAUAUUUUAGGUUUCUGGCAUCCCCGAUUUAUUUUGGUGAAAAUACUAUGGGCACUAAUUUUAGUAAGUGCUUAAAAAAAGAGAAUUUGAUGACGUUCUUUUAAUUUGAGGAUGAAACGACCAUGCUUAUCACUCUUACAAUGAAUUUUCUGUUGAACUGGUUAUUUUGCGGUGCCAUUUUCUGGUACUUUGAUGUCUGCAAGAGGCAUGGAAUUCUACCAAAUAAAGCAAUUCUUCGAAAUUAUUUAAGGCUUGUUAUCCAUAUUUCAUCCUUUUUGUUCACAUAAGAUUUGUUAUGGCAUGAAUGAACUUACAAUAUAUAACUAUUUUUGGUGUCAUUAACGUCUUUAUUCGCAUAUGCAAAGUAGGCUUUUGCGAUUGGAUAUGCAUCUAUGGUUCUUCUUGUGGGGUUUCUUAAAAUUUGAAUUUUGUAUCAAGACUUUACGGACAGUUGUGGAAAAUUUUGUUCGAAUUUGGAAAAAUUCGAAACUUUUGUGCUUUCUACUUAUUUGGGAAUCAUAAAACUUUGUUGGUAUAACUAGGGUCACUGUGAAAACUUUACAUAAAGUCAAGUAUUAAAUUUUAAUGGAAACCUAGGCCUGAAAAGAGUUUAUACCUAUGAAAAGUUCUUUUAAUUGCUGUAAAAAAGUACCAGAAAUGGAGUAUAUAAUAUUUUUCAAAAACUGAUGACGGUUUGCUCAAAAGAAUAAGAGAAUCUUGUAUAUAUUUCUUGUAUGUGUUAUAGAAAAGAUGAAAUUUGAAAAACUUUUACCUUUGGCUUGUUGAAAUAGGAGCUAUUUCGGUAUUCCUAGAAUAAUUGCUGAUCACGUGUGGCAACUUGUUCAGUUGUUGACUCCUUUAAAACUAAUCUAAUCACUAAAAUAUAAAUUGUUAAAUUUUUUAAUACAAUUCUUUAUCUUAUGUAUCUUUGUUGACUAAUCUAUUCGAAUAGUUUUCAAUAGUUAUUUUUUAAAGUUUCAUUUCAACCCUUAAAUUUGUAUUAUUCUAUUUUCUCUUAGAUAAUACAUGCAAUUCUUUUGUUAUGUAGAGAAUAUAUACACUUAUUUUGGUUAUGUAGAGAGAGUUUAUAUGAAGAUGAAGAAAUUGAUCAGAGAACACUGAAUGCAUUGCUUGCUCCCAAGAUAAAAAUAUGUCCCUUGUGUUUGACAAACACAAGGAACAAAUUUCAAAUACUUUUAGCUUGUAACUUUGUCUUGUUUUGUAGCACUACUUUUGCAUGAAAGCUCCAUGAAGUUUGAGCUCAGCAAGAAUGUAUAACAAACUUCAUGAUACUUCUUUGGCUUGUAACUUAACUAUGAUAGUGUAUCACGUGCAGUUUUUGAAAUGUGUAAACCAUCCUUUGUUUGCUCCUUAAAAUAUUGAUUUGUAGUUUUUCUUAGUCUGUAAAUUAGAUUAUGUAUAGAACUUUUUAUUUUAUGUAUAUAGGAUGUGAUAUGAUCUAGAAGUCGAGCUCGACAAAGGCGAGUGUGAGCCAAGAUCCGUUGAUAGUCGAUGGCGGACCAAUGAUGCGAUCAAGGACAAAGCAAGUGAAACAAGCGAUGGGAUUGCUCAUUCAAGAAACCAUUGAUGGACCCAUGUUCGGGACUCAAAAUGGAGCAACUUUCAUGUUCGAGUUGAAGGCCAAAUCAAUUUGGAUCAAUUUGUUAUCAAGCGACAAAAUCGGAGGCUGAAAACACGCACGGGCAAAAACACCAUGCGGCCGCAUGGUGGCAUACCAAAACUCAAGACGGCAUUUUUGUUGAACCAUGCGACCGCAUGGAAAUACACUAUGCGGUCGCACAAGCCAUUUUUUUGGCGAAUUUCCUAUUUUUGGUAUUUUUCCAUAUUUUGUUAGUUUUUGAUUCUUUUCCAUAUUUUAGGGAUUAUGCUCGACUUUUGCACAAUUUUUACCUAGUUUUUAGGUUUAGUAUAGAUAGGAGUUUUUAUUCAAUUAUUUUUUGACAUUAUUGAUAUUGAAUUAAAGUGAGGCGUAUUGUCUUCUCUUCAUUGUUCUUCAUUGAAAAACUUGGAACUUAUCAAGUGUUAACUUGUGGUGUUCAAACAAUCGGAUUUAAUUCUUGGAUUGCAUGAUCAAGGGGUCUUUCAAGCGUCGUUUUUGUUGGAUUUUUUAGUUCGACUUUCUUUUGGGUUAAUCCUAAACUCUUGGAUUAAUUUGGCGUUCUUGGGUUCGUCAAUCUCGUUGUGGUUUCAUAGUCAACGUUGCUACGGGGUUCGCAUCAAUUGGUAUCAGAGCUUUGGCUCCAAAUUAAUUGAAGGUUAUAUCUUUUUUUUAUUUGUUUGAAUCGUUAAUUUUGUUUUCUUAGUUUCUUCUUAUAUUUUAAUUGUUCUCUCUUAGUUCUUCUUCGUUCUUGCUUUUUUCUUUUCGUCAUUCCAUUGAGUUGUUGGUAGUCUUCUUUCAUGAAGGAGUAAAAAAACAAAAAAAAAAGUUACUGUACAUUCGAGGUACUGUUCAUCUAUAUAUAUAUAUAUAUUAUUGUUUGAUUUUUGUUUUCUACCAACAACAAUUCCUACAUUGUGUUUGACUUUGAGAUAUUCAAUUUGGUCCAAUCCUUUCAAUCUUCUAUUGAGUCUAUUCACAUAUUUGUGUCAAAACAUUCAUCUAUUCUACUUAUUCAAGUCCUUGAGUUUUGCGGUCUUCGAUUAAUAUUCGGUUUGUUUGAAUUCCCGGUAAAACAAUUGAUUUAGUUCACUUGGUUCUUUGAAGUGCUUGGAGAGAGACGUUGAGUGGUAAAAACCAAGUUGGUGAGUUUAAUAGAGGGAAAAAGCCAUAGUGAGUGUUUUCUGAGUGAAAUCUUUGUGAGGCAAAAAAAAAAUUGUAUGAUAUGAUGUCGGAAAGAGAAGGUUCUAAUUCAAGCCGAAACGGUAAUGACAACAAUGCAUCGGAGGAAAUGAUAAGGAGGUUUGAAAGGGUACUUGGUGAUGUUAGGGAGAAGGUGGAUAGGCAAGGAGAAUGGAUGGCGCAGAUGGGUACUACAAUUGCUAAUCUUAGCUUGGGACAAGUAGAGAUGUCUAAUGCUAGGGGACCGGGUAGGCGUGAAUCUAGGAGAGGAAGGCAGGAUGAGGAUGAUUUUGAUGAAAAUGCCUUUGAUAUGGGUCGAGCGAGGCAUAGGGGCGAUAGGAUGGAAAGACUGGGUAGAAAUAACUUGGGAGAUGAAGUAAAUGGAAAUUUGGGGAGUAUUAAACUGACUAUUCCGCAAUUUAAGGGGAGAAGCGAUCUAGAAGCAUAUUUAGAGUGGGAAAGGAAGGUUGAGAUGAUUUUUGAGUGCUAUAAUUAUUUGAAGGAGAAAAAGGUAAAAUUGGCGGUGCUUGAAUUUGUGAAUUACGCAAUAUCUUGAUGGGAUCAAGUACUUACAUCACGACGCAGGGGUCGGAAAAGGCCAAUUAGCACUUGGGAUGAGUUGAAGAUGUUGAUGAGAAGGAGGUUUGUUCCAAGUCACUAUUAUAGGGAAAUCCAUAAAAAAUUGCAAGGUUUGUACCAAGGAUCGAAAAGCGUAGAGGAUUAUCAUAAGGAGAUGGAAAUUUUUAUGAUUCGGGCUAAUGUGGAGGAAGAUCGGGAAGCUACCAUGGCACGGUUCUUGAGUGGGUUAAAUCGGGAUAUUGCAAACAUUGUAGAGUUGCAACACUAUGUGGAAAUUGAGGACAUGUUACAUGUGGCAAUGAAGGUCGAGAGGCAAUUGAAGAGGAAGGGGACGUCUAGGCAAUCGUUAGGUACUUCGACUCCUAAUCCAACAUGGAAAUCGAAGUGGGAUGACAAUAACAAAAAUGGGGCUACACCUAGAGGUAAAAAUGAUUGGUAAAAGGGCAAGGAUGAAAAAGCUAGCAAACCAAUAUCAAAAUUGGAGGCACAAUCGUCGCGCAAUCGGGACAUCAAAUAUUUUAGUGUUUGGGAAUGGGGCAUAUUGCUUCUCAAUGCCCAAACAAACGGGCGACGGUGCUGUGGGAUAAUGGAGAGAUUGUGAGCGAUAGUGAUGGCGAGUUUGAUGACAUGCCGGUGUUGGAGGAUGUUAGUGAAGAAGAAAAAGUUGAAGGGCCGGUUGGGGAUCUUCUAGUCACAAGGCGAGCUCUCACUAUUCACAUCAAAGCGGAUGACUUGGAAUUGCAAUGGGAGAACAUUUUCCACACUCGAUGCCACGUCAACAAUACGGUAUGUAGUGUUAUAAUUGAUGGUGGUAGUUUCACUAAUGUAGCCAGCAUAUCUCUUGUAGAAAAAUUGGGUUUAACAUUGUUGAGACACCCGAGACCUUAUAAAUUGCAAUGGUUGAAUGAGAGUGGCGAGGUGAGGGUGAAUCGAAGCGUGUUACUUAAUUUGUCAAUUGGGAGUUAUAAGCAUGAGUUAAUGUGUGAUGUGGUGCCAAUGCAAGCGGGACAUAUUUUAUUGGGACGACCAGGGCAAUACAAUGGGAAGGCUAUGCAUGAUGGGUACAAAAAUCAAUAUAGUUUCAUUAAGGAUGAAAGGACCAUUACUCUUGUGUCAUUAACACCGGCGCAAGUCUAUGAGGACCAAUUAAAAUUGAGAAGUGAGGAAGAGAGGAGAGCAAAAGAGUUAGAGAAAAUGAGAGCAAAUAGUGAGUUGGAGAAAAAGAGAGAAAAUGUUGAGAUAGCCAUUAAAGAGAAAAAGAGAGAGCAAUCAUAAGAGAGAAAAGAAAGAGAGUGCCCUGAGAGAAGAAAGAAAACACGAGCAAAUUUCUUUACAAAAGAGAGUAAUUUGAGGAGGGCGGUAGUUGAGAGAAAAGAGAUGAUCUUGUUCGUUUAUAAAGAAUUACUCCUCAAUUUUGAGGAAACUAACCCACCCCUCCCUAGUUUGGCUAAGUCUUUGUUGCAGGAAUUCGACAAUUUAUUUUCGGAGGAUGCACCAAGCAGAUUGCCGCCUAUUCGAGGCAUUGAACAUCAAAUUGACUUUAUACCCAGAGCUUUCAUUCCAAAUUGACUGGCUUAUCGAAGUAAUCCCGAGGAGACUAAGGAGCUUCAAAGGUAAGUGGAGAAGUUGAUGAGCAUAGGAUACGUGAGGGAAAGCAUGAGUCUUUGUGCAGUACCGAUUUUGCUUGUGCCAAAAAAGGAUGGAACAUGGCGAAUGUGCGUGGAUUGUAGGGCUAUCAACAACAUAACACUAAAGUAUCGUCUCCCUAUACUUAGGUUAGAUGACAUGCUUGAUGAAUUACAUGGUGCUUGCAUAUUUUCUAAAAUUGAUUUAAAAAGCGGUAUCAUCAAAUUCGUAUACUGGAGGGUGAUGAAUGGAAAACGGAUUUUAAAACUAAAUAUGAUUUAUAUGAAUGGUUGGUUAUGCCGUUUGGACUCACAAAUGCACCUAGCACUUUUAUGCAUUUAAUGAAUCAUGUUUUACAUGCUUUUACAGGAAAAUUUGUUGUGGUUUAUUUUGACGACAUAUUAAUCUAUAGCAAAGACCUAGGAGAGCAUUUGGAACAUUUAAAGUGUGUGUUAAUUGUUUUAAGUAAAGAACAACUCUAUGCUAAUCUUAAGAAAUGCACGUUUUGUAUGGAUAAAGUUAUUUUUCCUGGUUUUGUGGUUAGUGCUAAUGGGGUAGAAGUAGACGAUGAAAAGAUAAAAGCUAUUAGAGAUUGACCGACACCUAAAAGCAUAACGGAAGUUAGGAGUUUUCACGGAUUGACUAGUUUUUAUAGGCGUUUAGAGAUGUGUUGUCUCGAAGGUACGUAUUGCUACUACUCUUGAUUCUAAGUUACUUAGGUUUGAACAUAUUAAGGAAUCGCAUGAAAAAGAUGUAGAAUUUUCGAAUAUUUAUUUGUCAUGCAUAAAAGGGGCGGUUGAUAGGUUCUUUAGGCAUGAGGGGUAUUUAUUUCAGGAAAAUAGGUUAUGUGUUCCUAAUUGUUGUAUUCGGGAGUUCUUAGUAAGGGAGGCACAUAGUGGUGGAUUGAUGUGACACUUUGGGGUUCAAAAGACUUUAGAUGUAUUGAAGGAGCAUUUUUAUUGGCCUAAGAUGAAAAGUGAUGUUGAGCGAAUUUGUAGUCGGUGCAUAGGUUGUAAAAAAGCUAAAUCUAAGGUUUUACCACAAGGUUUGUACACACCUUUACCUACACCUAAUGAGCCUUGGGUUGAUAACUCGAUGGACUUUGUUUUGGGUUUACCUAGGACUAAGAGAGGUCGGGAUUCUAUUUUCGUGGUUGUAGAUAGGUUCAGCAAAAUGACACAUUUUAUACCAUGCCACAAAACUGACGAUGCCACGAACAUUGCUGACUUAUUCUUUAAAGAGAUUGUGCGUUUACAUGAGGUUCCUAGAAGCAUAGUGUCGGAUCGAAAUGUCAAAUUUUGAAUCAUUUUUGGAGAGUUUUGUGGGGUAAUUUAGGCACUAAGUUAUUAUUUUCCACAAUUUGUCACCCGCAAAUGGAUGGGCAAACCUAGCUAGUGAAUAGGACUAUGACACAAUUGUUACGCACGGUAAUCAAUAAAAAUUUGAAGAGUUGGGAGGAGUGUCUACCAUUUGUUGAAUUUGCAUACAAUCGAGCUGUUCACUCUACUACGUCAUAUUCUCAAUUUGAAGUUGUAUAUGGUUUUAAUCCACUAACUCUUUUGGAUUUAAUUCCUUUACCUGUGAAUGAACGUGGUAGUUUAGAUGGCAAAAAGAAGGCGGAAUUGGUUAAGUCACUCCAUGAAAAGGUAAAAGUGCAAAUUGAAAACAAAAGUAAGUUGGUUGUGUCACAGGCGAACAAAGGUAGGAAGCACGUGACAUUUGAGCCAGGAGAUUGGGUUUGGGUGCACUUUAGGAAGGAGCAGUUUCCGGAGCAAAGGAAGUCCAAGUUGCAACCGAGGGGCGAUGGUCCAUUUCAAGUGAUUGAAAAGAUAAACGACAAUGCUUACAAGUUGGACCUUCCAGGUGAGUACAAUGUUUCAGCUACUUUUAAUGUGUCUGAUCUCACUCUGUUUGAUGCAGGUUCAGAUUCGAAGAUGAAUUCUUUUGAAGAGGGAGGCGAUGAAAUGAUCCAGGAGUCGAGCCCGACUAAGGCAAGUGCGAGACGAGAUCCGUUGAUAGGCGAUGUCGGACCAAUGACGUGAUCAAAGACAAAGCAAGUGAAACAAACGAUGGGAUUGCUCGUUCAAGAAACCACUGAUGGAACUAUGUUCGGGACUCAAAAUGGAGCAACUUUCAUGUUCGGGUUGAAGGUCAAAUCAACUUGGAUCAAUUCAUUAUCAAGCGACGAAACCCAAGGCUGAAAACAAGCCUGUGCGACUGCACAGGUAAAAACACCAUGCGGUCGCACAGGAAAACACCAUGCGGUGGCAUACCGAAACUCAAGACGACAUUUUUGUUGAACCAUGCGACUGCAUGGAAAUACACUAUGCGGUCGCAUAAGCCAUUUUUUUGGCGAAUUUCUUAUUUUUGGUAUUUUUCAAUAUUUUGUUAGUUUUUGAUUCUUUUCCAUAUUUUGGGGAUUAUGCUCGACUUUUGCACGAUUUUUACCUAGUUUUUAGGUUUAGUAUAAAUUUGAGUUUUCAUUCAAUUGUUAAAAACUUUUGACAUUAUUGAUCUUGAAUUAAAGUGAGGCGUAUUGUCUUCUCUUCAUCGUUCUUCAUUGAACAACUUCGAACUUAUCAAGUGUUAAAUUGUGGUGUUCAAACAACCGGAUUUAAUUCUUGGAUUGCGUGAUCAAGGGUUCUUUCAAGCAUCGUUAUUGUUGGAUUUUUUUGUUCGACUUUCUUUUGGGUUAAUCCUAAACUCUUGGAUUAAUUUGGCUUUUUUGAGUUCGUCAAUUUCAUUAUGGGUUUCAUAGUCAACGUUGCUAUGGGGUUUGCAUCAGGAUGGCUUUCAAUGCUCUUGUUAUACUGGUUCAAGAUUCUGAUGCAAUUGUGAACAAGUAAAUGGAGAAUUUUUUAUUUUUUUGUUUCUGUUAUUUAUGUCAAUGGUGCGAGAGGCUAAAUGUACAAAAGUUCAUUCGCUUCUCUUUGUGUGAUAUGGUCAUUAGUUGAGUCAAAACAAAUAAAUUAUUUUCGAAUAGAAAUUAGAAUUCGACCAGUCAAAAUAAGUUGUUAGUUUGUCUCUUCAAACACAUUACUUAAGGAAUUUCUUCGUUAACUGGAACAUAAUUUAUGGUUCUCAAUACACUAUUUUUGCAAUGUUGUUGCCUUGAAACAUUUAGCAACGUAUGCUUAAAUUUGAUGUAACUAAUGUGUAACACAAAUAUUAUUUUUAUCUGUACUAUUAUGUAGUCAAUUACACUAAGGCACAUACCUUGCACAUGCGUUUCACUAAGCUAUGAAAAGGGACACUGUUGCUUACUUGUUUAUGCUAGCUUGGCCACCGGUGAAGUCAGAAGUUGGCUUCUAAAUAGUAUGUUUUCUGGGUUGUGGAUUGGUCUCUUUGAGAAAGCUGGGUCGCCUAGCCAACUGCAAGAACACAAGAUCUAAGGUAAUUCUUUUAUUAAUAAAGUAAAUAAAGAAGCCACCUAUUAAUGGUAGUUGGAUUACAAUUUAUCAUAGAAUGAAAGGGCAAAACAAUUACUACUAUAAUUAAUGUAUAAUGGGCAUUAUCAUUAUAAGUUGCCUUCAGAGAUAAAAUAUUGGACCACAAAAUUUCAAUUUUACUCUUGAGACCACCUUCAAAAACUUCACACACAAGUUUUUACUUUAUAAAGUAACACUUCACCACUAGACCAUUUUGAAAACAUGACACAUAAUACCAAAGAUAUUAUAUAUAUUUGUAACAUACUACGGGCAUACCACAUCUAAACGUAAUAGUUUUCUAUUCACUUAUUGUUUCUUUUAACAUUUACAUUUUAUAGUUUUUAAAACUAAAAUUAGUGCAAGAUUAUAAUUGUCGUAAUGUGACCUAAAUUUCAGUGGGUGUUGGAGUCCCAGUUGAGGAAGUCUUGAAGAGAUUAAAAUUAUGGAUCGAGAAGAAAAAUCAUCGCAUUUUUGCUAGUCUGCUGCUAGCUAGACGCUCGAGUGAUACCAAUAAAUUUUCAACAGAACGUUCUCACCUACCUAAUGCUUGAGAGGCGAGAGACACUUGUCGCUCGAGCGACAGGGAUUCCUGAAUUUGAAUUUUAUAUAUAUAUAUAUAUAUAUAUAUAUAUAUAUAUAAGCCUCGACUUGUAUUGUUCCCACAUCAUUCAUAAAAAAUCGUGAGAGCUUUAGAUUUUAAUUGAGAGUAUUGAGAUUUUGUUAUAAACAAAAUUGCUCUUGAUUAUAGUGGAUUUCUCCUCUUCUGCCUAUGAUUUUUCUUGUCUUAGGUUUCCAUGUAAAUCUUGAUAUUUUUUAUUUUGAUCUUAUUUAUUUUAUUAUUUUCAUAGUCCUUUUGGCCAAAUUCAUAACAAGUGGUAUUAGAACAAAUGUUGAUUAUUCUAUAUUGCAACGAUAAAGUAUGAUAUUUUGUUAUUUGAUAAAAAUAUCAGAUUUACUUUAUGGCAAGUGAAUAAGCGAGCAGGUCCACACAGAUGGAUUUGGAGGAAGCGUUACUUGGCUUUGAUAAUAUACAUUCAACCUAGACCCAGGAUUAAAAGUAGCACAGUGAUCUAAAUGCCUAAUCCUAUAUUCUUCUACAUCUGUCAAAAUCAAACUCUUCGAGAUGUUCUCAAGGAAAAAAGUACCCCUGCAUUAUAGUUGAAGUUGGAGCAACUUUGUAUGACAAAGAGUUUGAUUGGCAAGCUACACUUGAAAUAGUGCUUAUAUUCUCAUUGAAUGUCUGAACGUACAUCAUUCGAUGAUCACUUAACUAUGUUCCAAGAAAUCGUGGCUGCUUUGGAGAUAUUGGAGGUUAAGUACAAUGAGGGAGACCUGGAAUUGAUAUUGUUGUGUUCACUGUCGCCAUCAUAUGUGACUUUUAGAGAUACUAUUCUCUAUAGCCGAGAUACUCUUACCAUAGAAGUCUAUGAUGCUUUAUUAUCAAAAGAGAAGAUGAAGUAUUUGCUGGAGGAUCUGGGAGUUGAGUUGAAGGCUUUGUUGAUCAUGGGAGAAAACAAGAUAGGAAUCUUGGUAGAAAUAUGAGGGACAGAUUGAAAUCUAGACAUGCAGAAAAGAUGUGUCAUUAUUAUAAGAUAAAGGGACAUAUCAGGGCUAAUUGUUAUUCUUUGAAAAAUAAGAAUAAGGCUGCUGGUGCUACUAAAAUAGGAAAGCAACUUAUUAACACAAUGGAGGCUACUUUUGUGGAAGAUGGGCAAAAUAAAGGAGAGCUUCUUAUGAUCUUUAAUAUGGAUUCCAAACCUUGUGAAGAAUGAGUUCUUAACUCGGCUUGUACUUUCCAUAUGUGUCCAAAUAGGGAUUGAUUUACAAUUUGUGAAGGAGCUACGAGAGGUAUAGUGAUUAUGGGAAACAACGCACCUUACAAAAUAGUCGAAGUUGGUACAGUCAAAAUUAAAUGUUUGACGGUGUUAUCAAAACACUUACAGACAUCAGACACAUUCUAGAACUGAAGCAAAAUCUCAUUUCUUUGAGUACACUUGACUCAAAGGGUUAUAAUUACACUGAUGAAAGCGGAAUUUUGAAGGUGAGUCAUGGUGCUCUUGUUGUCACGAAAGGACAGAAAAACUCUACACAGUUGAACAUUUUGCAGGGUUCCACAAUUACAGAAGAUAUACCGGUCUCUACUUUUUCUUUGAAUUAUGAGAAAGUUACAAAACUUUGGCAUAUGAGUGAGAAUGAUAUGAUAGAAUUGAGUACAAGGGAGCUUUUUGAUGGGUAGAAAACUAGUAAGAUGAAGUUUUGUGAGCAUUAUGUCUUUGAAAAACAAAAAAGACUCAAAUUUACUACUAGAAGAGAUAAUACGAAGUGAAGACUUUAAUAGAUCCAUUCAAAUCUUUAGGGGCCUACCAAGGUACCUUCAAGGAGAGGUGCUUAAUAUCUAUUAACAGUGAUUGAUGGUUUCUCUAGGAAAGUUCGGGUAUUCUUUUUAAAAUAGAAGAGCGAUAUGUUUGGGACCUUCAAGGAGUGGAAAAUAAUGAUAGAAAAGUAGAUUUGAAAACAAAAUAAAUGUAUACAUACAGAUAAUAGGCUGGAGUCCUGUUAAGAUGAAUUCAAUAAUUUUUGCAGGGUUGAAGGCAUCUUGAGACACUUGAUAGUGCCCGAAACUCCUCAAUAGAAUGAUGUGAUAGAACAAAUGAAUAAAAUUUUAACGGAAAAGGUUCGUUGUAUGCUUUCAAAUUAUGGGUAGCCUAAGAUUCUUUAGGCUGAAGCUACCGCCACAAUUUGUUUUCUAAUUAAUCGCUCACCCUUAACUGGUAUUGAGAAAAAUACACUAGAAAAGGUAUGGUCUAAAAUAUCUUCUUGUUAUACUGAUUUGAAUAUUUUUGGAUGUCUUGGUAUGCUUAUAUGGAUAAUAGGAAGUUGGAGCCUAAGUCUAGAAAGUGUGUCUUUCUUGGGUAUAAUUCAAUUAUGAAAGAGUAUAAAUGGUAGUGUACUACGAUAAGAAAUGUAGUGGUCAAUAAAGAUGUAGUAUUUAAUGAACUUGCUAUAGUUCAUGAUUCAUUUUGUAGGGAUUCUGAUAAAAAUGAGGAAUAGAAUCAUUCAACUCAGUGGAGUUGGAAAUUGGUCCAGGGGAACAAUCGGAGGUUUUAGGACAGUCUAGCUUAGAAUUGACACACAGUGAUACUUCGCCUAAUUUGCUUGUACCAUCAGCAACACCACAAUACUCAAUUGCUAAGGAUAGACCUUUCAGAUAGAUUAGACCUCGACAGUAGAAUGGAGAAGCAGACAUGGUAGCAUAUGCUUUGAAUGUGACUGAAUAAAUUGAUUUCGCUAAGGAUAUUACAACAUAUACAGAGGCAGUUAGCUGUAGUGAUCGUAGCAGAUGGUGGAUUGCUAUGUAGGAGGAGAUUGAGUCAUUGUAUAAAAAUUGUACUUAGAAUUACCUAAGGAUAAAACGGUUGUUUGCUGUAAGUAGGUGUUAAAAAAAAAAAAAAAAAAAAAAAGGAACAUUAUCUAUUUUGACCAUUUGAUUUGCUUUUUUGAAGAAAUAUUUAUCAUUUUUUGCUCUUAUUUUGUUUAACAUAUUUUUUAUAUGUCAAUGAUCAAUUAAUGCUCAUAUUUGGGUCUGCUAGAAAAUUAAUUAAAUUUAAGUCAAAUAUACUAAAAAUCUAAUUUUUAUCUGAACCAAACAAAAGCUAAAUGUGAUUUGAAUAAUUUAAAAAGUAUAGUAUCAAAAUAUGUUGCUUAUUAAAUGCAAUUAUACUAACUCACUUUCUAUUUUAACUUUAUUAAAAAUUAAAUUAUAAUCUUUUGUAGUUUAUUUUGAAGUAUUGAAUCUCUAAAAUAGAGAACAUGUUGUAUUUACUAUUUAGAGAGUCUUCUACAGAUGUUCUAAUAAGAUAUUACUUCAAAAUUAUAGUUUUGACUUAAUUAUCCUUAUUGGAAGUGAUAUAAAGGUAAAAUAUGAAUUACGUUAAUAAUGAAUAAAUGGAGCAUGUCAAGGUGAAUUUGUUUUAAACUUGACUCCUACACCAUGGUGCCUACAGAGGACACCUUGCCGACGAUAAUGUUUGCGGCAUGAAAGCCCUAUAGUCAGCUUUGCAGGAGGGUGAACAAAAAUUUACCCAGAAAUUUUAGGCUAGUCGAUGCCAUCACUUGAGAUAUUUGAUAGUCAAUUACCCAAAUUGAGGGUGCUUAUGGAAUUGCAAGGACUUCCCUGAUAAUGUGUCACGGUCAAAGAGUUCUAUGGAUGCAUGAAUUUGGGAAUAACCAUGACAUUCAUAUAAUGACUACUAUCAUGAUUUUUUCUUACAUAUAUACAGAUCAUAAACAAGAAAUAAAGGAUGAGCAUGGUAUCUUCCUAUGAAGAUUGAAUUUCUAUUGUACUUUAAUUAAAAAUAACCCUAAUAAAACACAAAGAUUUGCGAAGUUGGUUAUGUGCUUUAGUUUUUCUAAUUAACUACUAAAUUAAGCAAUUUCAAAUGUACGAGUCUUGGUGACACCGGUGGUAUGCGAAGGUAUCUAAUUGCCUGAAAUUAUUGUUGCAAUUUUGCCUUAUUAAAUUGUUUAAUGACUAAUGAAAAUUAAACAAACAAACAUAAAACACAGGAACACCGGGUUGUUCAGCUAAAAAGCCUAAUUUGGGGGGCUAAAAGAUUAGCUUGUUCCACUAGUGCAGCAAACACCCCCAUAAAGAGGGCAAAGUAUAUUAAACCAAAUCAGAACCAACUUUUUAUUCCUAGACCAACAAGAUCUCAUAAAAUUAACCCUAAACUUACAACUAUCAGACCAAAAUGAGUCCUAUACAGAAUCAUACGAUUUAUGUUUAAGAUUUUGGUUUUAUUCCUCAUUUAAUAUGCCCUUGUUUGAGGAGUUAAUUGUUCCAAUGGCCACUGAACUUUAAAAUGUCGAGUUUUCAUCACUGAACUUUGAAAAUGUCAAGUUUUGGUCUCUCAAUUUAGGUCCAUGUCUUCGAUUACUCAUUAAAGUUUAAAAUGUCGAGUUUUGGGUUUUGGCUACUAAACUUUAAAAAAUGUUGCACAUUACUCAUUGAACAUUACUCAAUGAACUUUGAAAAAUGUUGACAUUAUUCACUGUAAACUCGAUAUUUUUCAAAAUAUAAAAGUUAUGUUGUGAGUAACGUACGGCAUCUUCUGAAGUCCACUGGUUAAAACUCGACAUUUUAAAUUUUAGUGAGCAAUUGAAGACAUGGAUCUAAGGUCAGUGACCAAAACUCGACAUUUUUCAAAGUUCAGUGGUCAAUCAAAGAUAUGGAUUUAAGUUCAGUGAUCAAAACUUGACAUUUUUCAAAGUUCGGUGAUCAAAACUCGACAUUUUAAAGUUCAGUGGCCAAUCAAAAACAUUGACCUAAAUUUAGUGACCAUUGGAAUGAUUAACUCUAUUAAUCUUUUAUUCCAAAAAUGCACUCUUUCCCUCAAAUGGGGCUCAAACAAGGGCAUAACUUAAUUUUAUCGAAGUAAUGUUGUGAUUAGAUGAUUUAAAAUAAUUAUAGGGGACCUUGGACAUAUAAUGAGCACCAUGUGGGAGAGCAAGAAAAAUUAUAUUUGUAUCUUAUUUGAUGAAAAAAUAUUCUGAUUAAAAACGUUAGAUGGUCGAUCUAUAGACCUGACAAAUAGAAGAUAUAAAAACAGUACACAGGAGAGGAAAUUUUAUGCUGAAAGUUAUUUUUAGUUGAAUUUUUCUAUGAUGAUAUAACGAAAAUAAAUAAUACAAAUAACCAUUGAAUUGUUAUAUUUUGUUAUGUAAUCCUUUUCGUAAAUAUUACAUAUAGUUGUAUUAAUUUUUUUUAUUUAUGUUUCUUAUUUAAUUGAAAGAUGGGUUGUACAUUAAAUCACACACAAGACACUCAAAAUUUCAUAAUGGGCCUACAUUACUAUAAUGGGAACUUUUGACGGUACAUAAAUGGUCAGAAUGUUAAGGGUGUGAAUUAAGUUUAACACGUAUUAAGUCUAUACGACCCACAAGCUAAUAAUCUAAAAAACCUUUGUCAAACCAUAUUUUGGACAUUCCUACAAUUAAAUUUGCAAAAAGUGAGAAUGUUCUCCUUCGGUUGUGUAGGUUAUGAGAUAAAUUUCAUAUCCAAUAAAGAUGAAAAUAUAAAUCAACAUAUAAAAGUUUGGACUACUUCUCUUAAUAAUAUUGAAAUUUUAAGAUAAAAUUACAAGUCUAAGUAGUGCACUCGACUUGCACUUUUCAUUUUUAUUUCAAUUAUAAUAUUAGGCUUGUUUAUAUUUAGUCCAUAUUUGGUAGAAAUUAAAGGCAAGAUUUUUAUUCAAGUCAGAGUCAAUAAUUAAAUUUGGUGCACAUUUCAAAAGAUCCACAACUUUUCAACAAAAUAUUUUAUCAACAUCUAUUGAAAUCUACAAAAAAAAAUAAAUAAAUAAAAAAAAAUCUGAUUUUAAUUCCUACCAAACAUGGGCUUAGUAACAAAAAUAAUGAUGUGACCAAGAAAAAACCUUGAAAUUUUUGUCAUAUAAGCAAUAUUUCUAGCGUUCUGAAUAGUUUAAAAGAGUAUGCAUGAAAGCUUAACUAUAAAUAAUAUACGGUAAUCUACAUGCGACUUUGUCAAGUUGGACAAUAAUUUCAAAAUUUUAAUUUUUUUCUCACAUCAAGUCAUUAAUCUCAUGUAUCACUUUAUUUCUAUUCAAUUUUAAUAAUGAUAUUAGAUAGAGCAAAGAAAGAAGAAAUCCUACUUUUUAGCUGCAUUUUAAAGUAGAUUGAACUUACUUUUAUGAAAACGGCCUUUUGAAAGUUGAUUUUUAUAUCCAACAAAGACAACUAAACGUGUAGUAUAGAAAAAUGGGUACAAAUGGAAAAUAUACUACAAAACAUGGGUGCGGAAAAUCAAAUAUUACAAAAGAGACUUCAGCUAGAAAUAUACUAAUCUAAGACAACAAGAAAGGUUGAGAAACAUUCUUACAAGAAAUAUUAUCAGGAUCCUUCAUCAAACCAAUUUCAGAAUCCAAACAAUAUUAUAAAUAUCUAUUCACAGAAUCACAGUAUCUAUAGCAUAAAUCAUAUAAGCUGCUAUGCUAUUCUAAGCAAAAGUAAAAGGAAUAUUUAUCUAACUCGGGACAUCUCAUUUAAAUUCUGAAAGAGAGGCAAUGCGUGGAAGAUGAAGCUCAAAUUCUGUGAAUGAGUCUAUCCUUGAAAUGGGAAUCAAGGUGCCAUUGGCAUGCAACCAAAACCAGACCCAUAGAUUUCUUGACAAGGCAAAUAUAUUAUCGCUGCUAUUUUCAUGUAUCAUUGAGUCAUUUGCAUGAUUAGACGCACAUUCAUCGUAAUUUUCUGCUUUGACUUUCGCACUAGGACUUGUGGCAGGAUCUUGCAAGAGGGAGGAGAGAGAAUCGACCUUUUUCAAUAGAGAUUACUCAUCCAAAAUGGUCAUACUUUGGGUGUCACUAAGUAAAGAUUGUUUAAUUGUUGCGGAAGCUCUCUCAAAAGGAUCUUCAAACGGUGGUUUUCUAGACUCAGUCCAACGUACCUUUCUCUAUCAACAACCAAUCCAACUGGCUCCAAACCACAACCAAUAUAAUUCACCUCGGUUGCUAUUCAAUCUUACUCACGUAGGACAAGAAAGGAUGAUGAUUUGUGACCAGAAAAGCUAGGAGAAGAAACCACAAAGGCAUACUAUGAAGGAACCACUAAUUACACAAAGUAAACAGGUGUUUUGGACACUUCUAGGGGCUUUUUUCACUCACCAAGAGGGCAGCCAGGAUUCUACUUUUUCUCACACAAAGUCUCACAAAACAUCACAAGAAAGAGGCUAGGGUUAUAUCCAUAUAUAUACUCUAGGGUUAGGCUUUAAGUUGGGCCAUUAAAGAGGUAAACAGUCACCCAGAAGGAAUACAAUUAAGUGGGUGUAGUUCAUGAACUUGGUUGUUGGACUUAUUUCAUUCAUCGACCUAUGCCUAUGAAAUAAUAUUAACCCACAUUAACAUCAUAACCCGAAACUUAUUGGGUAUCAAAAACCCAACAAAUCUCCACCUUGAUGCCCAAUACAUCUGCAAGUAAUCAAAACACACAGUUAACACUUGCAUAAUCAAGGUAGCCAAUAAAAUUGGAUCACAGACCUUACCUCGUGUUUCCAACUUGAAACACAUAUCAUACCUGCUCCAUGUACUCACUGGGGCUAAGGUCAAAAACACCCAAGUAGAAGCAAAUAUUUAACAGUAAACAAUCAAGAACAGAUACACAUGCGAUGACGAUAUACUCUAGGAUAAUACACACAGAUCUUUUCAAAAACACGUUCACAUAGAACCAUAGAUCAACACCAAGUCAAUAAAACAACGGUCAAUCACAUAUGCAACACAUGCAUAAAUGACCCUAAAAAAAGAUCUCACCACACUUAUCCUAUCCCAUUCCGUGUUGCUCACACCUCAAGAACACAUAUCUCUUCUCAUCGUCCACCAAGCUCACUAGACAGAUCACUCAACUCAUAUCUAAUUGGCAAGUCACAAUAAAUCCUAAGUCCAUGGGAUAAACCUAUAUCUCCACAUCACUUCUUCCAACCUACGUGGAUAAUGGGUUUGCACCUAACAGAAGUGAUAGAAGUGCCUCUCUCACACUUCACCUGAUCAGGGUCUCUUUCUAGAUAAAGGAUUCUAGACAUUUGAUCACAUCUCCACUCGUGAUCCAAAUGUCACACUCUACAUCCCUCGUGCAUAUCACCAAUGUGCCUCUAGACAUUUAUACUCCACCUUAUCAAAAGACAUCCAACUCACUGCUAAUGCAUCACAAACUCACUAUGGCAAAUCAACACCUUUCGGUGACCACAAAGGUUACUCCAAUCACCAAAGCUCAAAAAAAAAAAAAUCUACAAAGAAAAUGGCGAAAGUGGCACUCACAAAGAAAAAACAAAGAAAAGUCGGUUACUUCACAACACUCACAAACGAGGCUCACAAAGAUAAAGAAGGUAACUCUAACAUGGCUGCCUCACAUAAUCUUACAAACCACACAGACUCACAAAGAUAAAAGAGAGAAAUGGCUACCCAACUCUCUUCUCACUACCACACUCUCACACCACUCAUAGAGCAAAUAGAGUAUGCCACAAAACUUAACCCACUAUACAUGUAAACAUAUUACACAAAGUAAUAAGUCAUUCUAAUUCAUGCAAUUACACACAUCAAACAUAUUGAAAAUAUAACAUCAACAUUACAACAUAAUUAAGUGAUCAUAUACAUGCAGAAAGGAUUACACACAGAUGCAAUGCAAGAACUAUGUUUAUUCUCUCAAUAAACCUCACUAGGAUCACUACUCGACCCUAAAGUCACAUUCGCUUUGUCUCUAUCCUCAUCUUUUCUUUUAUUAUCAUCCUAGGACAAUCUUUUUCAACUAUGUCCAAAUUUUACCACAGUUAAAAUAUAUGUUAUUUUUCGCACUUACCUUAGACCUACAUUUGCCACCAAUGCCAAAUAAUGACCACAAGUAAAGUAUGAACAUAAUUCAUAUAGAAUAAUCCAGUAAACUUUCCUAAUGCCACAUGUAAUUCUAAUAAUGUAGAAAAAUUGACAGCAAAUUCACAAAGAAUUUAAGGCAAAUAAUUAACAAAUAAUCCUAGGUCUAGCAACAGGCAAUGGGUACCCCUUCAUGGUAACCCCAAAUCUAAUGUCACUCCUCACAAUGACCUCUAAUGUAAAAAAUAAAUUACUCUACAUAAUAAUUUUAACUGCAAUAAUAAAAGGUAAAGAAUACAAUACCGAGCGGACCACGUCUGAAGGUCCGUAAAUAUCGAGACAAACGAAUUCACAACUUUAUGAAUAUCACUAUUCAUCCUAAAGUCUCUGGAAACUGUAGCAACUAAAAAUAUCACGAUCGAGUUCCGAAGAACAAUGCUGUCCAGAUUCUACUGUGUACCCUGAAACAGAAAACUUCCAACACGAAAAAUGUUAGAAAUAAUAUGAGGAACAAACUGCCUGAAGAGAUUGUCUCCAAAUUCAGUCUCACGCGCCCUCAUGCGCGUCCUUCCUUCUCUGCGCGUGGGCUUCACGCGCCGUCACACGUGCCACCUGGAUGAUACACGCGUCGGACCACUAGAAUCACCAGCACCUGCAUGUCACGUCAGUGGUCUCCGUUUCCCAAAACUAGUUCUGGAUUGGUCAGAAAACACCAAAACAGGAGCUGAUUUUUAACAGUUUUCUAGACAGUUUUUUUAUCUGAUUUCUGCUGCAUUUCCUUUGGUUUUCUGGAUGAUUUCUGGUAGAUUUCACUAGCCAAAACCUUCAUCUUGAAGCUCUAAUACCAAUUGUUACGAAAGCUCUCUCAAAAGGAUCUUCAAACGGUGGUUUUCCAGACUCAAUCCAACGUACCUUUCUCUACCAACAACCAAUCCAAUCGGCUCCAAACCACAACCAAUAUAAUUCACCUCGGUUGCUAUUCAAUCUUACCCACAUAGGACAAGAAAUGAUGAUAAUUUGUGGCCACAAAGGCUAGGAGAAGACACCACAAAGGCAUACUAUGAAGGAGCCACCAAUUACACAAAGUAAACAGAUGUUUUGGACACUUCUAGGGUCUAUUUUUCACUCACCAAGAGGGCAGCCGGGAUUCUCCUUUUUUUCACACAAAGUUUCACAAAACAUCACAAGAAAGAGGCUAGAGUUAUAUCCAUAUAUAUAUUCUAGGGUUAGGCUUUAAGUUGGGCCAUUAAAGAGGUAAACGGGCUAAGAUUCAAGCCAUUCAGAAGGAAUACAAUUAGGUCGGGUGUAGCUCAUGGACUUGGUUGUUGGACUUAUUUCAUUCAUCGGCCUGUGCUUAUGAAAUAAUAUUAAUCCACGUUAACAUCAUAACCCGGGAUUUAUUGGGUAUCAAAAACCCAACAUUAAUGUUUUCCAUUACAUUCCAAAAUUCUGGUGUCAUGUCUGAUGGCACAAAUCUAGUAGUUACUUGUUCUGAAAUACAGCUUCCUGUUCAAACAACAUCAAAGGUUCAUAGUUAUUGUCCAACACGUCUGGAGAGUAUUGUAAAAAAUACCUCCUAUUCAAACAACAUUAAAGGUUCGGUCACUCAAAAACCAGGACCAAUGUGUACAUGAUCUUAAAAUUAUUCAGUCAAGUAAAAAUUAUAAGGACUAUAGUCCAAACCCAAAGGUUUUAACAUGAAAUUUCCAUUGAAUGAAAAACAUAUCCGUAUAUAUUAAAAAAGGGACUUCAUCUUGGCACUGUUUAUGGGAAUGCAUGCCUUUUUUGGGAUUUAAUGGUUUGACAAUUUUUCAUUUUUUCCUUUCUUAUACUCAUUUUUCACAUUUCUUCUGACAAACCCUGGCAGUUGACUCUCCCGAAACUUCUCCCACCUCUUGCGUCACGUCCUUUGUUUUGGCCCUAAUCUGCAGGCUAAUCUAGAGAGAAAGUAGGCAGUGGAUGCUAGAUCUUCUUCUGUCAUAUAUGCAGUUACAAAUAAUUCAUGGAAAGUAAUAGGAAUUAGACUAGCAGAGUCUUCAACCGGUUCAAAUCGAGUUCUUUGGUUACAGGUUUGGGUUCGGUGGAUCUAUGCAAUCCCAAAUGCAGCUGCCACAUUUUGACGGUGGUUUUGGUAGGAUUCAUGAAAAUGGUGGUUUAGACAGCUGAGGAGAUUGUGUGACUGAGGGCAAAAAGUCAAAGCUGUGUUCGUGGUAGUUGGAGCUAUCUAUUUUGUGUCUGUUUUCUUGGUUCUAUUUCUUCUUCCUUUUUCAAUUUUGUAGAAAAUUGAUUAAUAACGAAGGCCUCGAUUUUUUUUUAUUUUUUACAAGGAACCAUUUCUUGGAAGCAAGUUUAGUUGUAUGUCAAUUUUUGGCAUUUAAUGGUACACACUUUCUUCGCUAAAGAAAAAACCAUCAAGUUUUUAAAGGUGAGAUUACCAUUUUCAUUUUUAUUUAAUCAUUGUUGAUGGAAGUAAACUUAAGUGCUCUAAGUUCAUUGUUACAGCUGUAAAAUAGAACUUCGAGCCUCGCGUUCAUAGUAUCUGGGUCUUUUACUUAUUCAGGGGAUUUGAUGCCUUGAUUUCUCAAUGCUCAGGAUCUUUCUUCUCUGGAUUUUUCUUUUUUCUUUUCUUCCAACAUCUUAAUAUGCACUAAUUCAUGGGCUUUGUUGUUCUCUUUUAUUCUAUGAGUCCAGCAUCCCAAUCUUUUGUUUGUACUUUAUGGUUUAUGUUUCUCUUUAUAAGGCAAAUUUAUCUUAAGCAACUAAGUUGUACAUCUGCUUGGAAUGAAGCUGUUGUGUUUAUUGUAGUCUAAAUCAGGAAAAAACUUCAUUGGAUGUAUUUAUUUCAAGUAUUUGUAAGAUGCUAUUACUUAUCUGGUGAUUUUCUCAAAUACGAUUUUAUAUAACUUGACUUCUUCCCAGGUUUCAGUUCUUCAGUGGAUAAUUAUUUUUUAUGCCUUUGUUUGUCCCAUAAUUUUAAUGCUUAGUAUAUAGGAAUAGGCCACUUCUUCGCAAGUUUGGAAGCUUUGGUGAGAAGGAAACUAAUGCUAAUGGUCUUUUAAUUAAGUAGGCCCAAGAGAAAGUAAAGAAAAUUUGUGAAGCAAAUGUAAAUCCUUUGAAAGGUGCUACAAAUGGCAACAUUGCCAGUUUAAGUGUUUCUUCAAGCCCUAAUCAACAUAUUGCUAAUGGGGGCUAUCUAGAGUGAUCUCAUAACUGUUUGAAAAUUAACACAUCCUUUUCACCUGUAGGCAUUCGUGGUAGCUGUACUUAAACUAAGCCGUAGUUACAUUGGCAGUUUUUGUAGGAUCCAUCAAUUUUUGGGUGUGUUCGACAUUGGUGAAAAAUUUAUGUCCACUCUCUCUCAGUUUGAUGUAUUGAAUGAAACUAAUCUAAUCGCGGCUGAUUAUUUAAAUUAGUUAUUUAGAAUGCGAAUAUCAUUUUUACUUAGUGUCAACUGGUACCCAUUCUCAAACGCACUUAAACAUUCGCUAUGAAUUUUCUCUACUAGUAUAUUUCUGUGAUUUUCUUGUAUAUUUGAAAUUGCUUAUUUGUUAUGACUUCUCUCCAGGAUUUCGAGCCUUGAAGCGUGGCUGAAUACAAACAUUAGUGCCUGAAUUGUGAGUUCAUAAAUCUGCAAGUUAACAUGGGCAAUCAAACAAAACCAGACCCAUUGAUUUCUUGAAGAGGCAAAUAUAUCGUCACUGCUAUUUUCAUGCAUCAUUGAAUCAUUUGCGAGAUUAGAUGCAACAUAUAUUCUACAGUUAGCACUUUCAUUGUAAUUUUCUUUUUCCACUGUCGCACAGGAACUUGUGGCAGGAUCUUGCAAGAGAAAGGAGAGAGAAUCUACCUUUUUUCAAUUGAGAUUUCUCAUCCAAAAUGGUCGUGCUUUGGGUGUCACUAAGUAAAUCUUGUUCAAUGUUUUCCAUUACAUCCCAAAAUUCUGGUGUCUUGUCUGAAGGUACAAAUCCAGUAGUUUGUUCUGAAAUACAGUUUCCAAUGUUGUUUUCUAGAUCACAAAUCCACAUAGAUGGAUGGAGAUCUUGCACCUUCAGUUGUUCCCAGCUUCUUUGCUCCAAAAUAACGAUGCUCCUCACAAUUUCCGUCUGUUCAAUUGCAACAAUAGCCAUCACUAGUAACAGUAGAUAAUGCAAUUAUCAAAUUUUGGUUGAAAAUGAGUUCAGAAUUACGACUACAGCUGAAUAAUUUGCAAGAUCAACAUUCAGCAACACAUCCUAUAUGGAGAAAAGUUGAUAAGUAAAUUGUUGUAUUCACAAUGAAGAUGAGUGAUAUUGUACCAGAGCUAGAGGACAAGGUUUCUUCAGGCACGUGUUCAGCAGUCAGGUGAUUAAGAUUUUGUCCGAAAGUUAAAGGAGGUAAUUGUGUGAUGGCUGUUAAUUCUACAUCCUGGAAGCUAGAGGGAGAAUAUCCUUGAGCGGCAGCCACUCGAUCAAAUUCAAGACCUCUGGAUUCUUUUGGAUUUUCAAAAGUAGAAGCGUGUUCUGGCGAAUCUAUAACUAUCUUGAGUUGUUGGCUCAAAUUAUAAACAAGCCUGUCACACUGGAUCAAUUUUUCAUAGUUAUUGUUCGACACGUCUGGAGAGUAUUGUAGAAAAUGCUUCUUGUUCAAACAACAUCAAAGGUUCGGUCACUCGAAAACCAGGACAAAAGUUUUCAGGAUCUCAAAAUUAUUCAGUCAAGUAAUUAUAAGAUCUAUGGUCAAAACCCGAAAGUUAUAACAUAAAAUUUCCAUAGAAUGAAAAACAUAUCCCUAUAUAUAUUAAAAGAGGGACUUCAUCUUGGCACUGUUUAUAGGAACGCAUGCCUUUUUUUGGAUUUACUGGUUUGACUAUUGUUUUUUUUCCUUUCUUAUAUUAAUUUUACACAUUUCUUUCAACAACCCUAGCAGUUAACUCGCCCGAAACUUCUCCCUCCUCUUGCAUCACAUGCUUUGUUUUUACCCUAAUCUGCUAGCUAAUCCAGAGAUAUAGUGGAGGGUGGAUGCUAGAUCUUCUUCCUUCGUAUAUGCAGUUACUAAUAAUCCACAGAAAGUAAUAGGAAUUAGACUGGAUAGAGUCGGUUCAAAUCAAGUUCUUUGGUUAUGGGUUUGGGUUCGAUCUAAGCAACUUCCAAUUGUAGCUGCCUCAUUUUUUGAGAUGGUUUUGGUGGGAUUCAUGAAAAUAGUGGUUUAGACAGCUGAGGAGAUCGUGUGAUCGAGAGCGGAAAGUCAAAGCUGUGCUCGUGGUGGUGUAGAGCUGUCUAUUUUGUGUAUGUUUUGUUGCGGAAGCUCUCUCAAAUGAUUUUCAAAUCGAUGAUUUCCGAGUUUAAUCCAACGUACCUUUCUCUACCAACAACCAAUCCAAUCACCUCCAACCCACAACCAAUCUAAUUCACCUCGGUUGCUAUUUAAUCUUAUCCAUGUAGGACAAGAAAAGAUGAUGAUUUGUGGCCACAAAGGCUAGGAGAAGACACCACAAAGGCAUACUAUGAAGGAACUAUCAAUUACACAAAGCAAACAAGCAUUUUGGACAUUUUUAGAGGUUGUUUUUUCACACACAAAGGGGGCAGCCGGGAUUCCUUUAUUUUUCUCACAAAACCACACCAAACAUCAUAAGAAAGUGGCUAGGGUUAUAGUCAUAUAUAUAUAUAUAUAUAUAUAUAUAUAUAUACUCUAGGGUUAGGUUUUAAGUUGGACCUUUAAGAGGCUUAAAUGGGCCAAAAUUCAAGUCAUCCAAGAGGGAAUACAAUUGGGUGAAAUGUAGCUCAUGAUCUUGGUUGUUUGACUCAUUUCAUUCAUCGGCCUAUGUCUAUAAAAUAAUAUUAACCCAUGUUAACAUCAUAGCUCGGGAUUUAUUGGGUAUCAAAAAACCCAACAUGUUUUCUUGGUUCUAUUUCUUCUUCCUUUUUCAAUUUGUAGAAAAUUGAUUAAUAACGUAGGCCUCAAAUUUUUAUUUUUUUUUUAAAUUUCUUACAAGGAACCAUUUCUUGGAAGCACGUUUAGUUGUAUGUUAAUUUUUGGUAUUUAAUGGUGUCGUUUUUCUCUGCUUAUGAAAAAACCAUUAAGUUUUUAAAGCUGAGACAACCAAUUUCAUUUUUAUUUAAUCAUUGUUAAUGAAGGUAAAGAGAAAGAUGUAUAAGUUAAGUGCUCUAAGUUCAUUGUUACAGCUGUGAAAUAGAACUUCAAGCCUCGUGUUCAUAGUAACUGCGUCUUGUACUUAUUAUGCAGGGGAUUUGACACCUUGAUUUCUCAAUGUUCAAGAUCUUUCAUCUCUGGAUUUUUCCGUUUUCUUUUCUUCCCACAUCUUAUUAUGCACUAAUUCAUGGGCUUUGUUGCUCUCUUUUAUUCUAUGAGUCCAGCAACCCAAUCUUUUGUUUAUAGUUUAUAAUUUAUGUUUCUCUUUAUAAGGCAAAUUGAUCUUAUGCAAGUAAGUUGUACAUCUACUUGGUGUGAAGCUUUUGUGUUUAUUGUCGUCUAAAUCAGGAAUAAACUUCAUUGGAUGUAUUUAUUUCAAAUAUUUGUAAGAUGCUAUUACUUAUCUGGUAAUUUUCUCAAAUACACUUUUAUAUCACUUGAUUUCUCCCCAUGAUUCAGUUCUUGAGUGGAUAAUUUGUUUUUAUGCCUUUUUUCGUCCCAUAAUUCUAAUGCUUAUUAUGUAGGAAUAGGCAACUUCAUCACAAGUUCGGAAGCUUUGGUGUGAACAAGUUCGGAAGCUUUGGUGUGAGGGAAACUAAUGUUAACGGUCUUCUAAUUAAAUAGGCCCAAGCGGAAGUAAAGAAAAUUUGCAAAGCAAAUGUGGAUCCUUUGAAAGGUGCUACAAAUGUCAACAUUGCGAGUUCAAGCGUUUCUUCAAGCCCUAAUCAACAUAUUGCUAAUGGGGGCUAUCUAGAGUGAUCUCAUAACUGUUUGACAUCCUUUUCACCUGAGGGCAUUCCUUUGCUGCGAUUACCAUUGGUUACUUAAACUAAGCUAUAGUUACACUUGCAAUUUUUUUAGGAUCCAUCAAAUUUUGGGUAUGUUUGACAUCGAUGGAAAAUUUAUCUCCACUCUAUCUCGGUUUGAUGUAUUCUAUGAAAAUAAUCUAAUCAUGGCUGAAUAUUUGAAUUAGUUAUUUAGAAUGUGAAUAUCAUUUUACUUAGUGUAAACUGGUACCCAUUCUCAAACGCACUUAAACAUUCGCUAUGAAUUUUCUCUACAAGUAUAUUUCUACGAGUUUCUUGUAUAUUUAAAAUUGCUUAUUUGUUAUGACUUCUCUCCAGGAUCUCGAGCCUUGAAGUGUGGCUGAAUACAAACAUUAGUGCCUGAUUUGUGCGUUGAUAAAUCUGCAAGUUAACAUUGUUAAUCACUAGGUAGUUGUUCACGAAAAUAUCUUUUUUGAAUUAAGACCAUCGCAAGUGUACUAUUCGUUAGCAAGUAAUAAAGUGGACAUGAGUCCAAGUAUAGUUUCUACAGAGAUUGUACUAGUUCGAGUUCAAAUUAUAAUCGAAACAAUUGAAAUUGGUGAUUUUUCUCUAACUAAAUUAUGAUCUAAUAAUCUACUUGUAAAUGGAAGACCUAACUUAACUAAAAUAAAUGCAACAUUGUAAAUGAAUGCAAGUUUUAAAAAAAAUAUUAUGAUGAAAAGCAUAUUAAGAUUCUGAAUCCCCUUAUAUCAAUCCUCUUUAACUCGAAAUUUAUAAAUUUGACAACACGAUUCAAUUACGAAGACCAAUAUUCCUAAUUUAUUUAACAAUCUCCCUAGAGUAGAAUUAAACCUAUGUUUAAAUGUGGCCCGUCUAUAAUUCUAUUAUGGAUGUGAACAUAUAAAAUUACAUUAAAAAUUUAUGAAUACUUAAAGGACAGGUAAAGCAUAUCGGUAUAUUUCUAUCACCUAUCGGAUUCUACGAUAAUUGACAAAAUGUCUAACUUAUUUUUCAUCUCUCGAGGAUAAACCAAGCCACAAAAUUCAUACAAUCAGUGAUCAAGUAAUUGUAGAGAAAAUUAAAUAUAUGUGAACCAUUCAAUAAUUUAAAACGUGUUUUAAUGUCAAAAUAAAUAAAAUUAAAAAGUUAAAAGUUCAUAAUAUGAGAUUCAUCGAAAAUCCUAGUACGAAAAUAAUUUAGCCGAGUAUAAUGUUGAGAUUAAACAAAGAAAGGAUAAAAGACAUCACCAAAGAUCGACCAAACGUGAUUAUUUUCCCAAUAAAGGCUGCCAUUUUCUGUCCUUUUUCUCUUCCUUCAAUAGCCUAUCUCCCAGAUACGUGUUUGCUUCCCACUUUUUAAUUCCCAACAGCUAUAUUAUUAUUAAUUUUUUUAAAUUCAGUUACCAAAUUAUUAUUAUUAUUAUUAUUAUUAUUUUUUUUUUAAUUUAGUCGCCAAUUCUGCCAAAGCUGCCACCAAUUGAAUAAUUCUUUUGGUCUUUGUAUGUGUGUCUCCUCUGUAUAGCCGUUUUCUCUCUCUGUGUGUGUGUGUGUAUAUAUCCUUUUUUUUUUGGCCCCCAACUUUUGUGUGGAUAAAGUCCGAGUUGAGGCCCAAUUAGUUGCAAUUUAUCUUCCAAUGCCACACUUCACUAUAAUUAAUGCAAGUUAGUCCUUUUCUUCAUUGUUUCCUCAAUUUUGAUCCUCCAACUUUUGUUCAAGUGAAAUUUGGUCCACAAACUUCUAUUUAAUAGCCAAUUGAUCCGUUUAUUUUCCAACUGCUUCAAAACGGGUCAAACACUGAAACAAACAAAAAUUAAUUCAAAUUAAGUGAAAUUCAAUAAUUUAAUGAUAUAAAAACUUAGUAAUAUGACCCAAAUAAGUGCACAAAAUGCGCUUAUUAGCAAUCGUACUAUAGACAACUUUUAGUUGUCAUUCUUUAAUGAAUGCUUUGUAUUACUCUUUGCUCAAUUUUUGACGCUGGGUAGGAUAGUGAUUAUCCUAUUGGCUUGUUAUAGUAGAUUAUUCAUAAGAAAGAAAUGAAAGAAAACACCCAAAAAAUCAAAAAAAAAUACUCUGAAAUCAACUCAAUAUUAUUAAUAAUACCGAAUGACCAAAAUUAACCCAUAAGCCGGGUUAAGUAGCUGCAAAAUACGAAAUUAUAGGAAAAUUACAAAAAAUGGAAAAAUCCCGAAAUUACAUCAGAAUAAAAUAUUAUGUAAAAGAAGUAGAUUGCCAAAAAUUUGGCUCAAUUUAAGUUUUCUAACAUAUGGAAAAAAGGAAACGAAAUAUUACCAUAAAUAGCAAAAAAUAACUAAAAAUUGAAUUUCGAAAAGGAAAACAGCAGAUUUUGAGGUUGAAAUUGAUGCCCACUGAGCAAAGUUGGUGGCCACGACGUGCGUACUAAAGAGAGCUUUCCGAAUUGGGGUCAUAAUAGUGAUUUUGGUAACUGUAGCCAAAGUUAUGGCCAAAUUAUCAAAGACGUGUCAAAUUCCCCCAAUCAAGGAAAUAAUUACGAUUCACUUUCCAUCUUUGUGAUGAUCCCCCAUCUCAUGGUAUCUUAGUGCCAUCAUUGUGCUAUUUAACAAAGCAGCAUCACUCAACUCAGAUCCUUCUGUAUUAGUCGUCCCGGGUCGAAAAGAACUUGCCCUCGAGUUCAUAGUAGCUUCAUCGGACUCCACAAAAUAAGGGCUUAGGUGUUUCACAUUGAAGACGUCAGAGGUCUUCAAAUGACUAGGGAGCCGCAACCUAUAAGCAUUAUCAUUGAUUUGCUGUAGCACUUCACAAGGUCCAAUCUUCCACUCCUUUAGCUUAUUGUACUCCCCAGCAGGAAAAUGAUCACGAGUUAAUACUACCCAAACAAAAUCACCAACAUCAAAUAACACUUGGCACCGAUGACUAUCUGCCUGAGCCUUGUACUUAGUAUUACUAUCCUGUAUCGACAGCUUCACCUGCUCAUGGAUACCCCGAAGAUGUUUAGCCAUCUCAUCAACUUUGUUAUUGAAGCGACCCACACAUGAAUUGGAGCCAAAUCAAGUACCCCAGAUGGUUCCGACCAUUGACAAUUUCAAAAGGUCUCAAUCCAAUGAUUCUAUUCCUCGACCUGUUAUAAGCAAACUCUGCUUGAGGUAAUGCCAAAUUCCACUGCUUCGGUUUAGUCUCUGCCAAGCUUUUCAAAAGAUUUGCCAAAAUCUGAUUCACCACCUUGGUCUGACCAUCUAUUUGGGGAUGGUAUGCGCUGCUAUAAUUCAACUUCAUUCCAAGUUUCUCCUAUAAACUCCUUUAGAAAUGACUCAUAAACUUAAUGUCACGAUCAGAAGUAAUUGCCUGUGGAACACCAUGUAAAUGCACAAUCUCUCUGAAAUAAAGAUGAGCAAUCAGAGUAGCAUCCAUUGUCUUCCGGCAAGCCACAAACUGAGCCAUCUUUCAAAAUCUAUUAACCAUAACAAGAGUGAAAUCCAUCACCCGCUGUGUGCGAGGUAAGCUCAAGAUAAAAUCCAUGCUGACAUCAGACCAAGGAGCUUCAAGUAUGGGUAACGGCAUGUAAAAUCCAGCAUUAGUAAGAGCUCCUUUAGACCGUUGACACACAUAACACCGCUUCACAUAAUGCGCCACAUCACUGCUCAACUUGGGCCAAUAAUAAUUAGAAGAGACCAAUGUCAAUGUCUUGUCUUGCCCAAAAUGUCCUUUGUUAUGAAGUUCACUAAUAAUCUGCUGCCUUAGUUUACAAUUUGAAAUGCAUAAUUGCAAUCCACGGAAAAGGUAACCAUUAUGUAAAACAAAAUCAUGUCGGUGAUUAUCAGUUACGUCCCGAAUUAUCUUCCCAAUUGAAGGAUCUACAGUGUACAUAUAAGGAAAUGCCUCAAAUCCUACAUUCUUGGUGCUCAUGGUAGUGAGGAGUAAUGAGUGAUAGCUCAAUGCAUCUGCUACUCGAUUCAAACUCCUUGCUUGAUGCCUUAUUUUGAAAGUAAACUCCUACAAGUACGCCACCCACUUUGCAAGUUGCCUACGUAGCUUGUGCUAACCAUUGAUGUACUUCAAGGCCUCAUGAUCAGUAGCAAGGAUAAACUCUCUCUGUACCAGGUAAUGAUGCCAAUGCUUCAGAGUCUGAACUAUGACAUAGAACUCCAGGUCAUAGGUGGAAUAAUUUUUCUUCGAUCACUGUAGCUUCUCACUGAAAAAGGCUACUGGACGCCCUUCCUGACUUAGAACACCAUCAAUACCAACUCCAGAUGCAUCCUAGUUUACCUCGAACACCUUCUCAAAGUCCGAAAGUCCCAAGACUGGGGCCUCGUUAUCUUCUGCUUAACCAACUGAAAGCUAGCCUUUGCCUCCUCGGUCCAUUGAAAAUCACACCCUUUAAGGCACUCUGUGAGAGGAACAAUCAAGGUACUGAAGUUUCUGAUGAACUGGCGAUAGAAGGAUGCCAAUCCAUGGAAACUCCUGAUAUUGUGCAAAGUUUUUAGCUUGGGCUAAUUCAAAACUACCUCAAUUUUGGAUUGAUCUGCAUGAACACCAUCAAUAGAUAUAACAAAGCCCAAAAAAGUUACAGAAGUUGUGAAGAAAGAACACUUAUUCUGAUUGAUGAAUAAGCGCUCCAUCCUCAUCACAUCAAAGACAACACGAAGAUGAUUAAAAUGUGACUCCCAUGUCGGACUAUAAAUAAGUAUGUCGUCAAAAUAGACUACCACGAACUUUCCCAUGAAAGGCCGUAAAACCUGAUGCAUAAAUCCCAUAAAAGUACUGGGUACGUUGGAUAGUCCAAAGGGCAUGACCAUCCAGUCAUACAAUCCAUGCUAUGUCUUGAACGCGGUCUUCCGCUCAUCUCCAGGUCUGAUUCUAAUCUGGUGGUAUUCGCUUUUAUGUUCAAUUUUUGAGAAGACCUUAGAACCGGACAAUUGAUCCAACGUGUCGUCUAGGCGGGGAAUUGGAAACCUGUACUUCACUGUAAUCCUGUUAAUUGCCCUGCUGUCAACACACAUAUGCCAAGAUGCAUCUUUCUUUGGCACUAGAAGAGCAGGAACUGCACAAGGACUCAUACUCUCAUGAAUGUAGCCCCUUUCCAAUAAUUCUACCACCUAUUGCUGCAACUCUUCAGCUUCCUUAGGACUGAGGCGAUAUGUUAGUCGGUCGGUUUAGUAGACUCGACCUCGAAAUAAGGUCAAUUUGAUGUUGAAUGUCCCUCAUAGGUGGUAAUCCUGGAGGAAGAUCCUCCGGCAUCAAGUCAGAAAACUCCAUCAAUAGUUGCAGCACUUCUGCUGGUAAUUUCGAAUCAACAUUCGCUGCACUAUUUUCACAAGGCAUUAAAGCAUAAACUAUUUUUUCACACCCAACCUCAACCAAGAACCUGGACAUAGAAAGUAGAUUGGUGUGAUUAACUACCAAAGCAGGGGUGUUUUCUCCCUUGCUAGGCGCUAAAAUAAUUUUCUUCCCUUUGAUGCUAAGAGAAUAAGUAUUCUUCUGCCCAUCGUGGAUGACGCUGCGAUCAUACUGCCAAGGUCGUCCCAACAAAACAUGACACGCAUCCAUUGAUACCAUAUCACACCAAGCAUUAUCAAAAUAUUUUUUUCCAAUCAAAAAAGACACUAAGCACCAUUUUUCUACCGUUACCUCACUGCCUUUAUUUAGCCAAGACAAUUUGUAUGGUUCAGGAUGACAAUCUAUCUUCAGUUACAGUUUCUCGAUAGCUUCUUCAGACACUACAUUCUCACAACUGCCACUAUCAAUUAUCAGCUUGCAGACUUUAUCAGCAACUGCAGGUUGUGUAGAAAAUGUUGGUCCUUAACCAAUCGUCCUUGGGAGUGAGCAGGCUCUUUCGAAUGACCAGGGUCUCCUAGCCAUCUCCAUAUAGCACGUCCUCAUCUUCGCCAUCAUCAUACACAGGCUCCCCUCAAACUCCUCUAUCAUAUUCUCCUCAAUCAGAAGAUUUUUAUUCUCCUUCUCAACAGGCUUCUUGCAAUCAGUCGCCCUAUGUCCCUAUUCACCAUACCUGAAACACUUAAUAUUUGAGCUGGAAUUGUCCCGCUGUGGCUGAUAAGUAAGACGAGACUCUUGAAGGCGAACUGGCUAACUACCUUUCCCUCUGACCACUGGCCUCCUACUCUACUGUUUCUCCACUACAAGUGCCCGCUGAUAUGCCUCAUAAACCAUCCACAAUAAAUGAAGGCUAAGAACAUCCUGCAGGGGCUACCUUAAUCCCCCCAAAUACCGUGCUACCAUUUGCUCCUCCAUCUCAAAUAAAUCAUUCCGAGCCACCAACUGAUAGAAUUCCUCAGUAUAGUCAUGGACUAAUCUUGUGCCUUGCCUCAAUAAAUGGAACCUCUGAAACAAGGUUUGAGUACAGCCAAAAGGGAAAAAGUGCCCUUUCAUCAUCUUCUUCAUCUUCUCCCAAUCAGUAAUUUCGGAUUUUCCCUGUCGCUCAUGUGAACGCUUCAAUUGUUCCCACCACGCAGAGGCUCUACCUUUAAGUUUGAUAGCGACCAAUUUUACUUUGACAUGAUAUGAAACCUCCUUAUAUUCAAAUAUUUGCUCUACUUCAUUCCGCAAAUCAAUAAAUCCUUCAGCCUACAACGUACCAAAAAAAUUGGGCAGAUCCACUCUGAAAUCGAGAUCCACUUGACGACCUCCCGUUCACGAUGCUUCCAAACUUGAGCACGAUGGUGAUACAGGUUUUAGAAACUGGUAUAAAAAUUGUGAACCUCCACAUCAUCAUUACCGAACUCCUGCUCUGCUAAACAUUGGGUUAACUCCGCAACUUGUCUCUGCAAAUCUUCAAUCAUCACAUCUUGAGUAUUACGAUCACGGUACGUCGGGUAGGAUAGUGAUUAUUCUAUUGGCUUGUUGUAGCAAAUGAUUCGCAAGAAGAAACGAAAGAAAACGCUCAAAAAACUAGAGAAAAUACUUUGAAAUCAACUCAAUAUUAUUAAUAAUUCUGAAUGACCAAAAUUUACCCACAAGCUGGGUUAAAUAGCUACAAAAUACGAAAUUAUGGGAAAAUUACCAAAAAUGGCAAAAUUCUGAAAUUGCACCAGAAUAAAAUAUUAACUAAAAGAAGUAGGUUGCCUAAAAUUUGGCUCAAUUCGAGUUUUCUAACAUAUGGAAAAAGGGAAACGAAAUAUUACCAUAAAUAGCAAAAAAUAACUAAAAAUUGAAUUUCAGAAAGGAAAACAGCGAUUUUGGGUUCGAAAUUGACGCUCACUGAGCAUAGUUGGUGGCCAAGACAUGCGUGCCGAAGAGAGCUUUCCGGAUUGGGGUCCUAAUAGCGAUUUUGAUAACCGUAGCUAAAGUUAUGGCCAAAUUAUAAAAAAUGUGUUAAAUUCCCCCAAUCAAGGAAAUAAUUGUGAUUCACUUCCCAUCUUUGCCCCAAUCCGCCAUCUCGUGGUAUCUCAGCACCAUCAUCAUGCUAUCUAACAAAUCAACAUCACUCGACUCAGAUCCUCUUGCAUCAAUCGUCUCGGGUUGGAAAAAACUUGCCCUCGAGUUCGCAAUAACUUCAUCCGACUUCACAAAACAAGGGCUUAUGUGUUACAUUGAAGACAUAAGAGGUCUUCAAACGGCUAUGGAGGCACAACUUGUAAGCAUUAUCAUUGAUCUUCUGCAAAACUUCACAAGGUCCAAUCUUCCACUCCUUUAGCUUAUUGUACUCCCCAGCUCGAAAAACAAUCACGAGUUAAUACUGCCCAAACGAAAUCACCAACAUCAAACAACACUUGGUGCCGAUGACUAUUUGCCUGAGCCUUGUACUUAGUAUUACUAUCUUGUAUGGAUAGUGAUAUGAUCCAGGAGUCGAGCCCGACGAAGGCAAGUGCGAGACGAGACCCGUUGAUAGUCGAUGGCGGACCAAUGACGCGAUCAAGGGCAAAGCAAGUGAAACAAGUGGUGGGAUUGCUCGUUCAAGAAACCAUUGAUGGAACCAUGUUCGGGACUCAAAAUGGAGCAACUUUCAUGUUCGGGUCGAAUGCCGAAUCAACUUGGAUCAAUUUGUUAUCAAGCGACGAAAGCGGAGGCUGAAGACAACACCAUGCAACUGCACAGGCAAAACCACAUGCGGCCGCACACAUGCAUACCGAAAACCAAGAGUGUAAUUUCAGUUGAACCAUGUGACCGCAUGGAUUUACACCAUGCGGCUGCACAGGCCAAAAAUUUGGCGAAUUUUCUAAUUUUGGCAAUUUUCCAUAUUUUGUUAGAUUUUGAUUCUUUUCCAUAUUUUGGAGAUUAUACUCGACUUUUGCAUGAUUUUUACCUAGUUUUUAGGUUUAGUAUAAAUAGGAGUUUCCAUUCAAUUGUUAAAAACCUUUGACAUUAUUGAUAUUGAAUUAAAAGUGAGACGUAUUGUCUUCUCUUCAUCGUUCUUCAUUGAAUAAUUUCGAAUUUAUCAAGUGAUAAUUUGUGGUGUUCAAACAAUCGAAUUUAAUUCUUGGAUUGCGUGAUCAAGGGGUCUUUCAAGCGUCGUUCUUGAUGGGUUUUUUGGUUCGACUUUCUUUUGGGUUAAUCCUAAACUCUUGGAUUAAUUUGGCUUUCUUGGGUUCAUCAAUCUCGUUGUGGGUUUUAUAGUCAACGUUGCUAUGAGGUUCGCAUCAGUUGGUAUCAGAGCUUUGGCUCCAAAUUAAUUGAAGGUUAUAUCUUUUCUUUAUUUAUUUGGGUCUUUAAUUUGAUUUUUGGGAUAUUCAUUUAGGUUCGAGUCUGUCAUUCUUCUUUUGAGUCUAUUCACAUAUUCAUUUCAAAACAUUCAUCUAUUCCACUUAUUCAAGUCCUUUGAGUCUCGUGGUCUUUGAUUAAUAUUCAAUUUGUUUGAAUUGCCGGUAAAACAAUUGAUUUAGUUCACUUGGUUCUUUGAAGUGCUUGGAGGGAGACUUUGAGUGGUAAAAGGCCGAGUGGUGAGUUUAAUAGAAGGAAAAAGCCAUAGUGAUUGUGUUUCCGAGUGAAAUCUUUGUGAGGCAUAAAAAAAAUUGUGUGAUAUGAUGUCGAAAAGAGAAGGUUCUAAUUCAAGCCGAAAUGGUAAUGACAACAAUCCAUCGGAGGACAUGAUAAGGAGGUUUGAAAGGGUACUUGGUGAUGUUAGGGAGAAGUUGGAUAGGCAAGGGGAAUGGAUGGCACAAAUGGGUACUACAAUUGCUAAUCUUAGUCGGGGACAAGUGGAGAUGUCUAAUGCUAGGGGCCGGGUAGGCGUGAAUCUAGGAGAGGAAGCCGGGAUGAGUAUCGUAGUGAUGAGGAUGAUUUUGAUGAAAAUGACAUUGAUAUGGGUUGAGCGAGACAUAGGGGCGAUAGGAUGGAAAGACGGGGUAGAAAUAACUUGGGAGAUGAAGUAGAUGGAAAUUUGGGGAGUAUUAAAAUGACUAUUCCGCAAUUUAAGGGGAGAAGCGAUCCGGAGGCAUAUUUAGAUUGGGAAAGGAAGGUUGAGAUGAUUUUUGAGUGCUAUAAUUAUUCGGAGGAGAAAAAGGUAAAAUUGGCGAUGCUUGAAUUCGUGGAUUACGUGAUAUCUUGGUGGGAUCAAGUACUUACAUCACGGCGUAGGGGUCGAGAAAGGCCAAUUAGCACUUGGGAUGAGUUGAAGAUGUUGAUGAGAAGGAAGUUUGUUCCGAGUCACUAUUAUAGGGAAAUCCAUCAAAAAUUGCAAGGUUUGUAUCAAGGAUCGAAAAGCGUAGAGGAUUAUCACAAGGAGAUGGAAAUUCUUAUGAUUCGGGCUAAUGUGGAGAAAGAUCCGGAAGCUACCAUGGCACGGUUCUUGAAUGGGUUAAAUCGGGAUAUUGCGAACGUUGUAAAGUUGCAACAUUAUGUGGAAAUCGAGGACAUGUUACAUGUGGCAAUGAAGGUCAGAGGCAAUUGAAGAGGAAGGGGACGUCUAGGCAACCGUUAGGUACUUCGACUCCUAAUCCAACAUGGAAAUCGAAGUGGGAUGACAACAACAAAAACAGGGCUACACCUAGAGGUAAAAAUGAUUGGCAAAAGGGUAAGGAUGAAAAUGCUAGCAAACCAAUAUCAAAACUGGAGGCACAAUCGUCGCGCAAUCGGGACAUCAAAUGUUUUAUGUGUUUGGGAACGGGGCAUAUUGCUUCUCAAUGCCCAAACAAACAGGCGAUGGUGUUGCGGGAUAAUGGAGAGAUUGUGAGCGAUAGUGAUGGCGAGUUUGAUGACAUGCCGACGUUGGAGGGUGUUAGUGAAGAAGAAAAAGUUGAAGGGCCGGUUGGGGAUCUAUUAGUCACAAGUCGAGCUCUCACUACUCACGUCAAAGCGGAUGACUUGGAGUUGCAACGGGAGAACAUUUUCCACACUCGAUGCCACGUCAACAAUACGGUAUGUAGUGUUAUAAUUGAUGGUGGUAGUUGCACUAAUGUAGCUAGCAUAUCUCUUGUAGAAAAAUUGGGUUUAACAUUGUUGAGACACCCGAGACCUUAUAAAUUGCAAUGGUUGAAUGAGAGUGGCGAGGUGAGGAUGAAUCGAAGAGUGUUAAUUAAUUUGUCAAUUGAGAGUUAUAAGGACGAGUUAGUGUGUGAUGUGGUGCCAAUGCAAGCGGGACAUAUUUUAUUGGGGCGACCAUGGCAAUACGAUAGGAAAGCUAUGCAUGAUGGGUACAAGAAUCGAUAUAGUUUCAUUAAGGAUGGAAGGACCAUUACUCUUGUGCCAUUAACACCGACGCAAGUCUAUGAAGAUCAAUUAAAAUUGAGAAGUGAGGAAGAGAGUUGAGCAAAAAAGUUAGAAAAAAUGAGAGCAAAUAGUGAGUUGGAGAAAAAGAGAGAAAAUGUUGCGAUAGCAAUUAGAGAGAAAAAAAGAGAGCAAUCACAAUAGAGAAAAGAAAGAGAGUGCCCCGAGAGAAGAGAGAAAACACGAGCGAAUUUCUUUGCAAACGAGACUGAUUUGAGGAGGGCGGUAGUUGAGAGGAAAGAGAUGAUCUUGUUCAUUUAUAAGGAAUCACUCCUCAAUUUUGAGGAAACUAACCCACCCCUCCCUAGUUUGGCUAAGUCUUUGUUGCAGGAAUUUGACGAUGUAUUUCCGGAGGAUGCACCAAGUGGAUUGCCGCCUAUUCGAGGCAUUGAACAUCAAAUUGACUUCAUACCCGGAGCUGUCAUUCCAAAUUGACCGGCUUAUCGAAGUAAUCCCGAGGAGACUAAGGAGCUUCAAAGGCAAGUGGAGGAGUUGAUAAGCAAAGGAUACGUGAGGAAAAGCAUGAGUCCUUGUGUAGUACCGGUUUUGCUUGUACCAAAAAAGGAUGGAACAUGGCGAAUGUGUGUGAUUGUAAGGCUAUCAACAACAUAACGGUAAAGUAUCGUCACCCUAUGCCUAGGUUCAAUGACAUGCUUGAUGAAUUACAUGGUUCUUGCAUAUUUUCUAAAAUUGAUUUAAAAAGCGGGUAUCAUCAAAUUUGUAUGUGGGAGGGUGAUGAAUGGAAAACGCCUUUUAAAACUAAAUAUGGUUUAUAUGAAUGGUUGGUUAUGCCGUUUGGACUCACAAAUGCACCUAGCACUGUUAUGUGUUUAAUGAAUCAUGUUUUACAUGCUUUUAUAGGAAAAUUUUUUGUGGUUUAUUUUGACGACAUAUUAAUCUAUAGCAAAGACCUAGGAGAGCAUUUGAAACAUUUAAAGUGUGUGCUAAUUAUUUUAAGUAAAGAACAACUCUAUGCUAAUCUUAAGAAAUGCACAUUUUGUAUGGAUAGAGUUAUAUUUCUUAGUUUUGUGGUUAGUGCUAAUGGGGUAGAAGUAGACGAUGAAAAGAUAAAAGCUAUUAGAGAUUGGCCGAAACCUAAAAGCAUAACGGAAGUUAGGAGUUUUCAUGGUUUGGCUAGUUUUUAUAGGCGAUUUGUGAAGGAUUUUAGCACUAUCACUGCACCACUCACGGAAGUAGUUAAAAAGAGUGUAGGUUUUCAUUGUGGUGAUGAACAGGAACUUGCAUUUAAUACUAUUAAAGGUAGAUUGUGUGAAGCACCUGUUUUGGCAUUACCUAACUUUGAUAAAACAUUCGAGAUUGAGUGUGAUGCAUCAGGAAUAGGGAUUGGAGUAGUUUUAAUGCUGGAUCGGAGGCCUAUUGCAUACUUUAGCGAGAAAUUGAGCGGAGCUGCUUUAAAUUAUCCUACAUAUGACAAAGAACUAUAUGCACUUGUUCGAGCUUUGGAGACUUGGCAACAUUAUCUAUGGCCGAAGGAGUUCGGAAUACACACCGAUCAUGAGUCACUAAAGAACUUGCGGGGACAAGGUAAAUUGAACAAGAGGCAUGCACGAUGGAUGGAAUUCAUUGAGACCUUUCCAUACGUCAUUUGGUAUAAACAAGGUAAGGAAAAUGUGGCGGCGGAUGCGUUGUCUCGAAGGUACAUAUUGCUACUACUCUUGAUUCUAAGUUACUUAGGUUUGAACAUAUUAAGGAAUCGCAUGAAAAAGAUGUUGAAUUUUCGAAUAUUUAAUUUUCAUGCAUAAAAGGGGCGGUUGAUAGGUUCUUUAGGCAUGAGGGGUAUUUAUUUCGGGGAAAUAGGUUGUGUUCCUAAUUGUUCUAUUCGAGAGUUGUUAGUAAGGGAGGCACAUAGUGGUGGAUUGAUGGGACACUUUGGGGUUCAAAAGACUUUAGAUCUAUUGAAGGAGCAUUUUUUUUGGCCUAAGAUGAAAAGUGAUGUUGAGCGAAUUUGUAGUCGAUGCAUAGGUUGUAAAAAGACUAAAUCUAAGGUUUUACCAUAAGGUUUGUACACACCUUUACCUACACCUAGUGAGCCUUGGAUUGAUAUAUCGAUGGACUUUGUUUUAGAUUUACCUAGGACUAAGAGAGGCCGUGAUUCUAUUUUUGUGGUUGUAGAUAGGUUCAGCAAAAUGGUACAUUUUAUACCAUGUCACAAAACUGACGAUGCCACGAACAUUGCUGACUUAUUCUUUAAAGAGAUUGUGCAUUUACAUGGGGUUCCUAGAAGUAUAGUGUCGGAUUGAGAUGUCAAAUUUUUGAGUCACUUUUGGAGAGUUUUGUGGGGGUAAGUUAGGCACUAAGUUACUAUUUUCCACAACUUGUCACCCAUAAACAGAUGGGCAAACGGAGGUAGUGAAUAGGACUAUGACACAAUUGUUACGCACAGUAAUCAGUAAAAAUUUGAAGAGUUGGGAGGAGUGUCUACCAUUUGUUGAAUUUGUAUACAAUCGAGCUGUUCACUCUACUACAUCAUAUUCUCCAUUUGAAAUUGUAUAUGGUUUUAAUCCACUAACUCCUUUGGAUCUAAUUCCUUUACCUGUGAAUGAAUGUGGUAGUUUAGAUGGCAAAAAGAAGGCGGAAUUGGUUAAGUCACUCCAUGAAAAGGUAAAAGUGCAAAUUGAAAACAAAAGUAAGUUGGUUGCGUCGAAGGCGAACAAAGGAAGGAAGUGCUUGACAUUCGAGCCAAGAGAUUGGGUUUGGGUACACCUUAGGAUAGAGCGGUUUCCGGAGCACAGGAAGUCCAAGUUGCAACCGAGGGGCGAUGGUCCAUUUCAAGUGAUUGAAAAGAUAAAUGACAAUGCUUACAAGUUGGACCUUUCAGGUGAGUACAAUGUUUCGGCUACUUUUAAUGUAUAUGAUCUCUCUUUGUUUGAUGCAGGUUCAGAUUCAAGGAUGAAUCCUUUUGAAGAAGGAAGGGAUGAGCCCGACGAAGGCAAGUGCGAGACGAGACCCGUUGAUAGUCGAUGGCAGACCAAUGACGUGAUCAAGGGCAAAGCAAGUGAAACAAGCGAUGGAAUUUCUCGUUCAAGAAACCAUUGAUGGAAUCAUGUUCGAGACUCAAAAUGGAGCAACUUUCAUGUUCGGGUCGAAUGUCGAAUCUACUUGGAUCAAUUUGUUAUCAAGCAACGAAAGCGGAGGCUGAAGACAACACCAUGUGGCCGCAUAGGCAAAACCACAUGCGGCCGUACACAUGCAUACCGAAAACCAAAAGUGCAAUUUCAGUUGAACCAUGCGACCGCAUGGAUUUACACCAUGUGACCGCACAAGCCAAAAAUUUGGCGAAUUUUCUAAUUUUGGCAAUUUUCCAUAUUUUGUUAGAUUUUGAUUCUUUUCUAUAUUUUGGAGAUUAUACUCGACUUUUGCACGAUUUUUACCUAAUUUUUAGGUUUAGUAUAAAUAGGAGUUUCCAUUCAAUUGUUAAAAACCUUUGACAUUAUUGAUAUUGAAUUAAAAGUGAGACGUAUUCUCUUCUCUUCAUCGUUCUUCAUUGAACAAUUUCGAACUUAUCAAGUGAUAACUUGUGGCGUUCAAACAACCGGAUUUAAUUCUUGGAUUGCGUGAUCAAGGGGUCUUUCAAGCGUCGUUCUUGUUGGAUUUUUUGGUUCGACUUUCUUUUGGGUUAAUCCUAAACUCUUGGAUUAAUUUGGCUUUCUUGGGUUCGUCAAUCUCGUUGUGGGUUUCGUAGUCAAUGUUGCUACGGGGUUCGAAUCAGACAGCUUCACCUGCUCAUGGAUACCUCGAAGAUGUUUGGCCAUCUUAUUAGCUUUGUUAUUGAAGCGACCCACACGUGGAAUUUGAGCCAAAUCAAGUACUUCGAAUGGGUUCCGACCAUAGACAAUUUCAAAAGGACUCAAUCCGAUGGUUCUAUUCCUCGACUGGUUAUAAGCAAACUCUGCUUGAGGUAAUGCCAAAUCCCACUACUUCGAUUUAGUCCCUGCAAGCUUCUCAAAAGAUUUGUUAAACUCUGAUUCAUCACCUCAGUCUGACCAUCUAUUUGAGGAUGGUAUGCGCUGCUAAAAUUCAACUUCGUUCCAAGUUUCUCGCAUAAACUCCUCUAGAAAUGACUCAUAAAUUUAGUGUCACGGUCAGAAGUAACCGACUCUGGAACACCAAGUAAGCGCACAAUCUCUUUGAAAUAAAGAUGAGCAAUUCAAGUAACAUCCAUUGUUUUCCGGCAAGCCACAAAAUGAGCUACCUUUGAAAAUCUUUCAACCACAACAAUAGUGGAAUCCAUCGUUCACUGUGUAUGAGGUAAGCCCAAGACAAAAUCCAUGCUAACAUCAAACCAAGGAGCUUCAGGUGCGGGUAAGAGCUCCUUUAGAUUGCUGACAUACAUAACACCGCUCCAUAUAAUGUGCCACAUCGUUGCUCAACUUGGGCUAGUAAUAAUCAGAAGAGAUCAAUGCCAACGUCUUGUCUCGCUCAAAAUGUCCUUCCUUAUGAAGUUUACUAAUAAUCUGCUACCUUAGUUAACAAUCUGGAAUGCAUAACUGUAAUCCACGAAAUAGGUAACCAUUAUGUAAAAUAAAAUCAUGUUGGUGAUUAUCAGUUAUAUCCUGAAUUAUCUUCCCAAAUGAAGGAUCUGCAGUAUACAUAUCAGGAAAUGCCUCAAAUCCGACAAUCUUGGUACUCAUGGUGGUGAGGAGUAAUGUGCGACAGCUCAAUGCAUUUGUUACUCAAUUCAAACUCCCUGCUUGAUGCCUUAGUGUGAAAGUAAACUCCUACAAGUACACCACCCACUUUGCAUGUCACCUACUCGGCUUGUGCUAACCAUUGAUGUACUUCAGGGCUUUAUGAUUAGUAACAAGGAUGAACUCCCUCUGUACCAGGUAAUGACGCCAAUGCUUCAGAGUCUAAACUAUGGCAUAGAACUCCAGGUCAUAAGUGGAAUAUUUUUUUUCGAUCCCAAUAGCUUCUCACUGAAAAAGGCUAUUUGACGCCCCUCCUGACUCAGAACACUACCAAUACUAACUCUAGACGCAUCACAGUUUACCUCGAUCACCUUCUCAAAGUCUGGAAGUGCCACGACUGGGGCCUCCAUCAUCUUCUGCUUAACCAACUGAAAGCUAGCCUCUACCUUCUCGGUCCACUGAAAAUCACGCACUUUAAGGCACUCUGUGAUAGGAGCAAUCAAGAUACUGAAGUUUCUAAUAAAUCGGUGAUAGAAGGAUGCCAAUCCAUGGAAACUCCUUACAUCGUGCAAAGUUUUUGGCUUGGGCCAAUUCAAAACUGCCUCAAUUUUGGAUUGAUCUGCAUGAACACCAUCAGUAGACACAACAAAAUCCAAAAAAGUUACAGAAGUUGUGAAGAAAGAACACUUAUUCUGAUUGAUGAAUAUGCGCUCUGUCCUCAUUAUAUCAAAGAUAGCACAAAGAUGAUUAAAAUGUGACUACCAUGUUGAACUAUAAAUAAGUAUGUCGUCAAAAUAGACUACCACAAACUUUCCCAUGAAAGGCCAUAAAACCUGAUGCAUAAACCCCAUAAAAGUGUUGGGUGCGUUGUAACUCGAGGCAAAACAAUGAAAUUGGACAGAAGAGCGAGAAAUUUUCUAACUUGGGCCUCAUCAAAAGUUUGGGGGACUAAAUCACUAAGUAUCAAAAGUGAUUUGGACAUGAUGCUAAUGAUUGAAAAAGAACAAUAGGUAAUUAAAUGGUAUUAGAAGAUGAAUGAUCAAGAAGAAGUUAAAUAAGGACCAAAAGAAAUGAGGAAUGAAGUAUAGGGACCAAAGUGCAACACAUGAAAAAAUUUCAUAACGGUGUACACAUGGAGUUGAACUUCAUAUGUAGAAUGUAGAAGUACUAGGUGGCGCGAGUAAGGAAGAAUACCGUGCACGCAGGCAUUUUUCGGAGAAAAAUCGGGCAAAUUCCUUUUCUGACACAAACUCUCAUGAAAAGAAAAUCCAUCAUGCUAAAAAACCUAGGGAGAUGAACCGAAUGCCUUCUUCUUCUUUUGGAUGGCAAAAAAGAGGCUUGCAAGGAGAGAAAAUCUAAGAGGUAAAGAUCAACAACAAUAAUUGUACGAAGAUUGACGACAAUUGGGGAGAGAAUUCACACAACACAACUAGUUUUUUUUUCUCUUAUUCCCUACUUCUUCUCUAUGUUCUUUAUUGUGUAUUUCAUCAUGUCAAUCAAUUCAAUUAUGAACUAAACUUUGAGAUCUAGGGCUUGACAUAACCUAUUUGAGACAUGUUUUGAUUCCAAUACAGUUAUUUCCUUUGAUUUUCCUGACAUUUAUUUAUGUUGUUCUUGCUUAAUGCUUUCAAUUGCCUGGUCAUCAAUUGAAUGAUAUAAUGCUUUAAGUUUGGUGCUCAAGAGGGGGAAAUUUAGGCCUGAUUUAAGAAUGACAUAACCUAGAAUUCGUAGGUUUCGAGAGAAAGUGCGAAUCUUUGAGGCUAAUUCAUUUCAAGAACCAGAUGUUUAAUAAUUUCUAUAUGUUUAAUUCGGAAUAGAGAUAUUGGAGUUAAAAUAUAGAGAUAAAUUCUAUUUGGCACUCCAGAAAGGGAAUUGAAUUAAUUUAGUAUUCUUGCCUUUAAAUUCGAAAAAGAAUUGGUGGAAAUAGCUAUAGAGGUUGAAAAACAUCGUCGAGAAUAUGGUGAAAUCAUUACCUAGGCAUUCAUAUAUUUGAUCAAGUUUUUAGAAAUUUCUUCACUUUACUUGCACUCUUUAAUCCAGAUAUUUUAGUUUAAUAUAAAAUCAUCCGUUCAACAUUUGAUUGUCUAAAUAAAGUGAAAAGCCAAAAUCGUUAUAGUACUCUGUCAAAUUCAAUUAUCAAUCCCUGUGGGUUCGACAUUUUUUAUUUUAUCGAUAUACUACAAAAUUUGACACCGUAUACUUGUGGUAAAAUCACAUUACAUAAAACAUGUGAUAAGUUUUUGGCGCCGUUGCAGGGGAUUGAUUCAUUUGAAUUUGAUUGAUAUUAUUACCAAUUGGCUUUCAUUUUAAUUUGGAUUUCUAUCUUAACUUUAAUUUUUAUUUUUUACUUAUUUUAUUUGUCUUGUAUUUAUUUCAAUAGCUUCUUUGUUUUUAUUUUCAGCUGUUUAUGCAAAGACCAAAAAAUCUUGACUUACUACCUGUUGAUCCUAAACUAGUACGUACGUUCCACUUUCUAAGGGGUAUAUAGAGAGGUGAACAUGAAAUUGUGGAAGAACGGGAGGCAAGAGCAGCUAAUGAAGAUAAUCAACAAAGAGCUAUUUGUGACUACGUCAGACCCAUUGUCAAUGACAAUUACUCCGACAUCGUAUGCCCAGCUAUUGCUACAAACAAUUUCGAGGUUACUGAAGAUGCAAUUGAGGAUCCAAAUGCUCACCUGGGCUUAUCUCUGGAAAUUUGUGAAACAAUGAAAAUGAACGGGGUUACUGAAGAUGCAAUCAAACUUUGUAUAUUCUCUUUCUCCUUAAGGGAUAAGGUAAAAGCCUGGUUCCAGUUAUUACUAUACAGGUCAAUCACAACUUGGGAUGACCUGGCUCAAAAAUUUCUUACCAAGUACUCUCACCGUCCAAAUCAGCUCAACUUCGAAGUGAAAUUGGUUAGUUCCGAUAACUUGACUUCGAGCCAUUUUAGGAAGCUUGGGAAAGAUUCAAAGAUCUCCUUAGAAGAUGUCCUCAACAUGGAUUUCAAAGAUGGAUGCAGAUUGAAAUAUUCUGCAAUAGCUUAAAUGGGCAGACAAGAACUGUAGUAGAUGCAGUUGCGAGAGGCACUUUAAUGGCUAAAACAGUGAAUGCAACAUACCUCUUGUUGGAUGACAUAGCCACAAAUAGUUACCAAUAGCCAAGUAAGAGGUCAAGUGUAAAGAGAGCAACAAGACUUCACGAAGUGGAUCCCAUUACAGCAUUAGCAGCUCAGGUUUCAUCACUCAUAAAUCAAAUAGCCACACUCACCACUCAAGGAAACUAACAGAAAGUAGAUUCAGUUAUGCCUACCUCUUCAUCACACCAUGAAACAGAGAUAGCAAGUGAGCAAGCUCAAUAUGUCAACAACCGGAACUACAAUUAGAGAGGAAACUACCCUUCUAAUCACUAUCAUCCUGGGUUGAGAAAUCAUGAAAAUCUAUCUUAUGGCAACAACAGAAACACACUUCAACCUUUACUUGGGUUCAGCACUCAGAAUUCUGAAGGUAAACCAUCAUUAGAAGACAUCUUUGGGACCUUUAUCUCUGAAAUAAGAUAUCGCUUCAACAAGGAUGAGUCACAUUUCGACAACAUCAAAACGCAUUUGUCCAACAUUGGGGCUACAAUGAAGAAUCUUGAAGUUCAAAUUAGUCAGUUGGCUACAUCAAUGAUAUCUCAGCAACAUGGAAAAUUUUCAAGUGAUACGGAAGUCAACCCGAAGGAACACUAUAAGGCUAUUGUAUUAAGGAGUGGUAAGCAAGUUGGAGGAAUUGGACCCAUAGAAGAAAUCAUUUCCACACCUAACAAGGAAGAAGAGCAAGUAGCAGCAGAGUAAGAAAAUCAGACCAAGGGAACACAAAAGGAUCACAGACCUUAUUCGAUAUAAUUCCGUGACAGCCCACCAAUCAUCAAACUAGCAUUUCCAUUCCCACAACAUUUUCAAAAGAAAAAAAAAUCAAUGAUCAAUUUGCUAAGUUUUUGAAAAUUUUCAAGAAAAUUCACAUUAAUAUUCCUUUUGCAGAUGCUUUUGAACAAAUGCCAAAAUAUGUGAAGUUUAUGAAGUAAGUCAAAGAAAUGGAAGUUGGAGGAGUUUGAAACAGUGAAAUUUAUAGAAGAAUGCAAUGCUAUCCUUUAAAAGAAACUUUCCCAGAAGAGAAAAGAUCCAACCAGUUUCACUAUUCCCUGCACCAUUGGAAACUCUUCUUUUGACAAAGCCUUGUGUGAUCUUGGAGCAAGCAUCAAACUGAUGCCUUUAUCAGUGUUCAAGAAGUUAGGCCUUGGGAAAGUCAAGCCAACAGUAGUGACUCUACAAUUAGCUGAUUGAUCCCUCACAUGCCCCCGAGGGAUUAUUGAAAACAUGUUAGUAAAGAUCGACAAAUUUAUCUUCCCAGCUAAUUUUGUAUUGGAUAUGGAAGAAGAUCAGGAAAUCCCAUUGAUCUUAGGUAGGCUAUUUUUAGCAACAAGAAGAGCAUUGAUUGAUGUAUAAGGAGGGCAUCUAACAUUGAGAGUGAAUGAAGAAGAAGUGAGAUUCAACAUCUACCAAGCAAUGAAGUACGUAGAUGACACUAACACUUGCCAUAGAAUUGACUUCAUUAAUCCUACUUUGAGAGAAGAGCAAUUAUGCAUUGAGGACCCCUCAAAACAGUGUAUGAUGUUCAGUGCAACAAAGGAUGACAUAAAAACUUUUGAAAGGUACACAUGAAGUAAGGAUUUAGUUCAUUGUAUAUUAGCUCUUGAAUUUGCUCCAAUUGAGGACAACCCGUCAUAGUGUGAAGAUAUUAAGCAGUCAGUGGGAUCAGAUGUUAAAGAGAGUGAUGCAAGCAGCAAAAUUGAACUGAAGCGAUUACCAAAUCACCUUCGCUAUGCAUUCUUGGAGGACAAUUCUACAUCUCCAGUUAUCAUUUCUUCAUCACUCACAAGGGACGAAGAAGACAAAUUAUUGAAAGUGUUGAGAGAACACAAGGCUGCCUUGGGAUGAUCCAUAGUUGACAUCAAUAGAAUAAGUCCUACAAUUUGCAUGCAUAAAAUUCUCAUGGAAGAUUCAUACAAGCCAUCCAUUGAACAUCAGAGAAGGUUAAACCCAGCCAUGAAAGAAGUAGUUAGAGUGGAGAUAUUAAAGCUAUUGAAGGUAGGUAUUAUAUUUGCUAUUUUAGAUAAUGAAUGGAUUAGUCUAGUACGGUGGUACCAAAGAAAGGUGGGAUGACAGUAGUUAAGAACGGCAAUAAUGAGCCAAUCCGAACAAGAAUAAUAGCUGGCUAGAGGGUAUGUAUUGAUUAUAAGAAGCUAAACAAGGCAACUAGAAAGGACCAUUUUCCACUCUCGCUCAUUGAUCAAAUGUUGGAUAGAUUAGCGGGCUACUCUCACUAUUAUUUCCUUGAUGGGUACUCGGGCUACAAUCAAAUUGCAUUAGUACUAGAAGAUCAGGAAAAUACAACAUUCACCUACCCUUAUGGAACUUUUUCUUAUAGAAGGAUGCUAUUCAAAAUAUGCAAUACACCGGCCACUUUUCAAAUAUGCAUGAUGGCCAUUUUUGCAGACAUGGUGGAGGACAUCAUGGAGGUAUUUAUGGAUGGUUUUUCUGUGUUUGGUACUUCUUUUGAUAACUGCCUGCACAAUCUCUCGUUAGUGUUGCAACUCUACGAGGAAAAGAACUUGGUUCUUAAUUGAGAGAAAUGCCACUUUUUGGUACAAGAAGGAAUUGUGCUAGGCCACCAUGUUUCAGCAAAGGGGUUUGAAGUUGACGGGGCAAAAAUUGAUACAAUAGCAAAGCUACUACCACCCACCAAUGUUAAGGGCAUUUGAAGUUUCUUGGGUCAUGCUGGAUUCUAGAAGAUUUUUAUCUAGGACUUCUCAAAGGGAUGGUAGUACCAACUUGGGAUCAGUCGUUUGAGGUUAUGUGCGAUGCUAGUGACUAUGUAGUAGGGGCAGUUUUAGGACAAAGGCGCGACAUGAUAUUUCGGACAAUCCACUAUGCUAGAAAAACCUUUAAUGGAGCUCAAUUGAACCAUACCACAAUAGAAAAAGAGAUGUUAGCUGAAGUCUUUACACAUGACAAAUUCAGAUCCUACCUCAUUGGAACCAAAGUGAUCAUUUACACUGACCAUGCUGUAAUUUGAUAUCUAUUUGAGAAGAAAGAUGCUAAAAACUACUACUACAACAGUUUGAUGUAGAGAUUCGGGAUAAGAAAGGUAGUCAGAAUGUCAUUGCAGAUCAUCUCGCACGAUUAGAGAAUGAAAAUGUCGUGGAUGAGAGUCUAAUUCGAGAGACUUUUCUUGACGAGAUCUUGUUAGCGGUGUCAUCAAAGAUCCCAUGGUAUGCUGAUUUUGUUAACUAUUUGGUGUCUAGAAGAUAGCCACCUGAAUUGACCUCCCAUCAAAAGAAGAAAUUCCUAUACGAUGUCAAGUCAUAUAUGUGGGAUGAUCCAAUACUCUUCAAGAGGUGCGUGGAUAGAAUAAUUUGGCGAUGUGUCCCUAUGGAGAAGACACGAUUUAUUAUGGAGACUUGUCAUUCCUUACCUUAUGGAGGUCAUCUCGGUCCUACAUGCACUGCUUCCAAAGUGUUACAAUAUGGAUUCUAUUGGCCAAAUUUGUUCAAAGACUGUUAUGUUUUUGUGAAGACAUGUGACCGUUGUAGGUGUACUGGUAAAAUUUCAAGACAUCAUGAACUGCCACUAACUAAUAUGCUCGUGGUGGAGUAAUUUGACGUGUGGGGUAUAGACUUCAUGGGUCCAUUUCUGCCAUCCUUUUGUCAAGUAUACAUUCUUCUUGUAGUAGACUAUGAAUCCAAAUGGGUUGAAGCCAUUGCUACACCAACAAAUGACGUGAAGAUACUAUUGAAGUUUCUACAAAAACAUAUCUUCACUUGGUUUGGCACGCCUAUGGCAAUAGCAAGUGAUGAAGGUACACAUUCUUGCAAUAAGUUGUUCAAUUCUCUUUUGGUUAAAUAUGAUGUCAAGCACAAAUUGGCACUUGGUUAUCACCCAAUCAAAUGGGCAAGUAGAGGCAUCCAACAAAGAGAUUAAGCAGAUUUUGGAAAAGACAAUCAACACCAACCGCAAGGACUGGUCCUUUAAACUAGAUGAUGCUCUUUGGACAUAUCAGACUGCCUUUAAAACACCAAUUGGAAUGUCACCCUAACAUUUGGUAUUCAGAAAAGCUUGUCAUCUACCAGUGGAAUUGGAGUAUAAAGCUUACUAGGCUGUGAAAAAGUUGAAUUUAGAAAUGAAAUUGGCCGGGCCACAACCCACUUGUUGCAGCUAGAUGAACUAGAGGAAUUUUGGAAUGAUGUCUAUGAAAAUGCAAAAAUAUACAAGGAACAAACAAAAAUGUGGCAUGACUAAAGAAUUUUAAGGAGGGAAUUCAAGCCAGAGGAAUGAGUCCUUUUAUUUAACUCUCGCUUGAGACUCUUUCCGGGUAAGCUUAAAUCACGAUGGUCCGGACCGUUUGUGAUUCGUAAGGUGUUCCCUUAUGGUGCAAUAGAGCUAGUGAGAAAGGAUGGGUCUACCUUCUAGUCAAAUGGACAAUUCCUUAAGCAUUAUUAUGGAGAGGACAACCAAGAUGUGGAAGAAACUAUCCUCAAAGGACCCACUUAAAGCCACAUCCAUGUCCAGCUAAAGACGUAAAAGAAGCGCUUCCUGGAAGACAACCCAAACUUUCUUCCCUCUUAUUUCUUUUUAUCUUUUAUUUAUUUUCUUGUUAUUAUUGUUUUAAUCUAGGAUAGUUUAGUUUAGUUUAUUUUAUAUUAUUUAGGAACCAUGAUCCAUAGCCCUAAGGUCUCAUAGUACUUCAGUUCGUUGUUAUAUUUUCGAGCUAAGUAACACUUGUUCUGGGUAUUUAACGUUUACAUUUUGAUGUUAGGAACAUUAUAUCAUGGAAUACACAAACUAACAGUAAUAACAAGAAAAUGAAGCAAACCUCAAAUUUGGAGAAAGGUUCAAGGAAGGUCAAUUCACAUUCAGGAUGAUUGUACCAAAUCGUUGUUGGCAAUUCAGAUAAUUUAGGGACGUUUUCCUUCUUUUCUUUUAAUUUCACAUUGGGGAUAAUUUUUAAUUUAAGUUUGGGGGUGGGGAAGAGAAAUUGUCUAAAUGCCUAUAGUAAUUUUUUUGUUAUUUUAUGUGUAUGUGCCUAAUUGGUUGUGUGUGUGGCUUAAAAAAAAUAAAAUAUUAUGCUGACGCACAACCGCCAACUUGUGGCCUCGCGACCAAACGAGCAGGGGCUAAAAUGCCCCAGUCGCGUGUGAGGGUUGGGUUUUAAAAACCAACACAAGCCGGCCCCUUUCUCUCGAAAUUUUUAGUGGCUUCAACCAUAUUUCACCUAAGUUUUCCCCAAAUUCUUGUGGACAUUGACAUUCUAGCAACAUAUAACACUCCUUGUCACAUAUUUCACGCUCUAAUCUAUAAAAUUUUGAGAAUUCGAGGUACAAUACCACAUCUUCAAGGGUUUAUGUGUUUUGCUAUUUGCCUUAUAUUCUUGCAUCCUUCUAACUAUUCUCAAUUAAUUUGGAGGUGGGCUUAGAUAAAUCUUGAUUUGAUUGAUUGUGUUGGAGGAAUUGGAGAAUUAAAAGUAUCCAUGUUGAACGUGUACACUCAUGUCUUGAAGUUCACCCAUCACGUGUUUGAUGAAUUGUCCCUAAAGCAUUGUUGUUUUAAUUUUCGCAUGAAUUUUGUGUAACACAUAGAAUAUAUAUACAGAACCAUUUUCGUGUGGUUAACCUACCUACAAUCCUCAAGAGCAAGUUUGCUAUAUCCUUACAAUUUCGAAUUAUUUUUACACUCUUGCGUUUUGUUGGAGAUUUUCAAGUUCAGUUGGAGUAUGGGCAUUGUUGUAUGGUGGUUAGUGAAUCUCUUGUGGAAUAUUUGGAUUGUACAUUAGUAAAUUGAAAAUUUCACCACUUUCUAGACCUAUGCACGUAAGGUGUUCGACUGAUUGUCUUAGUGGAAUUUUUGUUUGAAUUUUUGCAUGAUUUUCAUACAUCAUAUACCACAUAUAUUCAUUGACACUUUUGAAUUGUUGCACUCUUCAUCUCGUGAGUAUUUCAUUAAAAUUGAAAACUACUAAACAUCAACCUAUCUUGCUCUUUCAUGCUUGUUUUACUAUAUCAUGUUAGUAAUUGCCGUUUCUCCAACGUGUUAACAGAUAUGGCCCCAAAAUGAAAGACUGCUCCUUCCACCUCCAAAGGAAAGGAAAAGGUCACAAGAUCUUCUAGCACAACCCGAACAAGACUUGACGAUGGGGAUAUGAGAAGGUUUCUAAAAAUUGAGCAUAAAGUCAGAUUUGACAAUGUGGUCCCAAGAUGGAAAGUUUGGCCAGAACGUCAAGUAAUAUUGGAAGACUUUUGGGGGUUUGAAUUAACUCGGUUAAUUCGAUUAGCAGGUUGGGAAAAAGUUGUGGACGAAUCUCGUAAGGUUUACCCUAGUGCAGGAGUUCUACGCCAAUUUUAAUACAGAUUUGGACACUCUGGGGACUGAGCACAUGCAUCAGACAUGGAUUUGAGACAAAUGGAUAAUGUUCUCUCCCAAAAUGAUUCGGCCUACUAUGAAAUCACUCGAGAUAAUAUUGUGCCAGUGCUAAAGGAUGCAAACAUGCUAAUCAUCGCGCUGAUGCUAUAUGGGAGAGAAGGUGCAUGGCCAGUCUUGGGACAUGACUUUGAGUACUGACACCUGAUAGAUUCUAUUGUAAUUUUGUAUAAAUUCAUCACUCACAACAUUGAUCCAAGUUCACGUCGAACCAUUAUCAAUCAGCCCAAAGCCAUUCAAUUUUAUCAUCUUGCACGUAGGUUUAAGAUUGACUUACGAUCUUUGAUUUAUGAUCUCAUAUACUUUGUGGCAAUGAAUACCAACUUGAGAUAUACUUUGAUCUUUCCUAGUCUUAUUACUGGCAUAUGUCAUGCAUCGAGGAUUCAAUUUCUACCAGGAGAGUUACCGACAAGAGCUGUUGUUCUAAUUAAUACUUUGUCAGCUACCAAGGCAUGGCAAUCAAUUAGGCUAUAGAGAUCGCGAUGCGUAUAGCAAUAGGACCAGGAGGAUCCAGAGGCAGAUGAUGACAUUCUACACCCCGUAGAGCCAGAGCCCGUACCUGAUUUGCAAAUUAUGAAGCAGUUGUUUGCUGGUCUGAUAGAGACGAACUUGACAUUGCAGGGUAUGGAGCAAAUGAUGACUGCUUCACAAGCUAGGGAACAUGCCCGAGAUGACAGGGAGCAUGCUAGGAAUAUCAGGCUGCAAGCUAUGGAGUGAGAUAUCAAUCGGCUCUCGAGUGACAUGUUAACAUUGCGUAGGGAGCAUGACCUCAUGGGGAGACGAUUAGAUAGAUGCACAAGAUGGGUUGAGGAUAUGCACAUUAGAAAUGAGGCCAUAUAUAACAGAUUGAUGGACAUGAAUACAAGGGACGAGGUCAUGUAUAACAGGUCGGAGGAUACACAUAGACAAAUUAGUCAGUUAUGUGCUUUGAUGCAAGACCUCUCUAGAUCCACUCAUCAGGCACCAUCUACAUCGGAUCCAUCUGGUUCAGGAAUUUUUAUGCCAUUUAAUCCACCGCCCACAAAUUGAUACUAGGGGAGUCUCUGAUUCCUUUUUGUCCUCACUUCCUGUUUUUACUUGCAUUAUUUCUUAAAAUUGGGGACAAUGUUUAGUUCAAGUAAGGGGUAUUAGAGUGUAGUGUAUAUUUCUAAUUGCCUAAUUUCCUUUCCUUUUGUAUGAUUUGUGUGCAACUUUUCUUUUGUUUGUGUACAUUGUAAAAAAUGAAAAAUAAAAAAUAAAUUUAUAUCGUGUUUUGUAUGCUUGUGUGAGUUAGAUAGCCUUGCUAGCAAUGAUGUUUACUAUUGAGAACAUGCAUUGGUCUAUGAAUUGUGGACAAAUUAUGUGUGUGAGUCAAAUUUUUACUUACUCAUAUGAAGCGAAAAUUAUUUUGCACGCGAGUUAAUUGUACCGUUGCUCGUGAAUAGGUAGAUCAUGUUUAUAGAUUCUACUAGAGAAUUUAGAUUUUUUAAACCCAAACAAUCAUUAAACAUCAGUGUAUCCUUAACCAAAUCUAAGAUGUUUGGAAGAUUGUAUUGUUGUGGAGAAACAUGGAGAUAAAGGUGGAUUGCGUGUGUGCCAACUUUUUACAUAGAUUGUCUGAGGCUAAUAGGAUGAAAAUUGGGUGAAAACCUUAAAUUAGAGAUUGAUUUUCGAGAAUAUGUGCUUAAUAAGGAACAUUGCACUAAGCAUUGAAAAAAAUAAAAUAAAAAAAUAAAAAAUAAAAAAUAAUAAUAAAGAUCCCAAUGAGGACAACUUAAUAAUCUCAUUGUGAAUCGUCUCUUCAUAGCCUUUAUGAUUCAAAUGAUUAAGCCUGUAAGGGCUUAAAACCUGAUACCCUAAAGUUAUUUGAUUUGGGAGUCAUUACCUAAAGCUAGCUACAAGAGUCAUAUAGAAAGUUUAAGGGAGGAACGUCCACACAAGGGUUGAAAAAAAAAAGCAUUGCUUAAGCCCUGAACACUAAUUUUAGAGGAUUUGACCUUUUAACAAGAGGUUAGUAACUUUGUUAAUUCUUAGAGGUUGAAGCAGUAAAAAAACAAAAAAAAAGGAGAAUCCUCAUUUGUUAACAUGUGGAACUGCAAUUAGUAUAAUAAUCUAACCAAACUUGAGCGGUGUAAGAGAUUAGUACUUAAGAUUAUACCACGAGAAAGAGAAAAGAAAAUAAGGUUGGUGGUGUGUGAAUCCCAUAAGCAAAGUAAGGAAAUAGUUGACUUUUAAUGAUGGAGUUUGGAUCAACUUAUUCUUGUAUAGCGUUGCACUUUUCUCUACAUACACACACACACACACACCCCCAUUUUACAAUGAAUAUAUAAGAAUUUUAGAUUGUACAUUAUAACUUUGAAGUGAUUCAUAGAGUCAAUGUUAUGGCUUCAAUUUUGAGUUAUGAAGGUAAGAUACCUAAAGAAAUUUGUUUUAAGUAAUUUUGCGUGUUUUAGCUGUGUUGUUUGAAUGUUAAUGAUUUUUUCAACCUGACUUCUGUUUGAGGACAAACAAUUGUUCAAGUUAGGGAUAAUUGAUAAGUGUACUUUAUACACUUAUUUCAUUCAUUAAUCUAGAGCAAUUUUUGUUAUUUAGGAUGAAUUGAUGCUUAACUUCAUACAUAUUUCGUUUGUUAGGUGUAACUCAAGGCAAAACAAUGAAAUUGGAUAGAAAAAGUGGAAAUUUGCUAACUUAGGCCUAAUAAAAAAUUUGGGGACUAAAUCGCAGAGUAUCGAAAGUUGAUUUGGACAUGAUGUUAAUGAUUGAAGAAGAGCGAGAGGCAAUUAAAUGGUAUUAGAAGACGAAUGAUCAAGAAGAUGUCAAAUAUGGACCAAAAGGAACGAAGAAAGAAGUAUAGGGACCAAAGUGCAACACAUGAAAAAAUUUCAUAAUGGCACGAAUGCGCAGGCCAAAACUCUCACGCGCUCACGGAGUUGAACUUUAUAUGCAGAAUAUAGAAUUACUAGGCAGUGCUUGCAGGGGAAUUUUUUGGAGAAAAAUCGGGCAGAUUCCUUUUUUGACACAAGCUCUUAUUGAAAGAAAAUUCAUCAUGCUAAAAAACCUAGGGAGACGAAUAGAACGCCUUCUUCUUCUUUGGCAAAAAAGAGGCUUGCAAGGAGAGAAAAUCUAAGAGGCAAAGAUCAACAAUAUUAAUUGCAAGAAGAUUGACGACAAUUGGGGGGAGGGGGGGGGGGAGAAUUCACGCAACACAACUAGUUUUUUCUCUUAUUCCCUACUUCUUCUCCAUGUUCGUUAUUGUGUAUUUCAUCAUGCCAAUCAAUUCAAUUAUGAACUAAACUUUGAAAUCUAGGGCUUGAUGUAACCUAUUUGAGACAUGUUUUGAUUCCAAGUUUUGAUUCCAAUACAAUUAUUUCCUUUGAUUUUCUUGACAUUUAUUUAUGUUGUUCUUGCUUAAUGCUUUCAAUUGCUUGGUCAACAAUUGAACGAUUUAAUGUUUUAAGUUUGGUGCUCGAGAGAGGGAAAUUUAUACGUGAUUUAAGAAUGACAUAACCUAGAAUUUGUAGGUUUUGAGAGAAAAUGCAAAUCUUUGAGGCUAAUUCAUUUUCAGAAUUAGAUGUUUGAUAAUUUCUAUAUGUUUAAUUCGGAAUAGAGAUAUUGGGGGUUAAAAUAUAGAGAAAUUCUAUUUGGCACUCGAGAGAGGGGAUAGAAUUAAUUUAGUAUUCUUGCCUAUAAAUCCAGAAACGAAUUGAUGGAAAUAGCUAUAGACGUUGAAAAACAUUGUCGAGAAUAUGGCGAAAUCAUUCCCUAGGCAUUCAUACAUUUGAUCAAGUUUUAGAAAUUGCUUCACUUUACUUGCACUCUUUAAUCCAAAUAUUUUAGUUUAAUAUAAAAUCAUCCAUUCAACAUUUGAUUGUCUAAAUAAAGUGAAAAGCCAAAAUCAUUAUAGUACUCAGUAAUAUUCAAUUAUCAAUCCCUGUGGGUUCGACAUUUUUUAUUUUAUCAAUAUAUUACAAAACUUGAUAUCGUACACUUGCAGUAAAAUCAUGUUACAUAAAACGUGUGGCACAUAUUAAGCUAACUCAUAAGAUGUGUGAAGACAAAGAGUUGUCCGUUUAAUGAUUAGGGAGUUGUAUGGAGAUACAGAUGAUAAUAGUAUUUAUCCAAAUGUUUUAUUAAGACUUGUUGAGUACACUCAAGGUUUUAAUAUAAUAAAUGGGAUCCCAACCCACUGAGAGUCAAGUAUUGAUUUCAUAAAUUUUUUGAGAGGGUCAUAAAUUUGAGUUAAAUAGUGGAAGCAUAAUUAAUUUAAUAAAAGUCCAUGUUAAAUUAAUUGAUGCAUUAUAUAUAUUAUUCCUUUUCUUUUCAUCAUUUAUAUAUUGAAUUUUGAGUAACCAUAUGUAUUUGAGAGGCAUACUAGAUGCCAACAACUAAACCAGAUUUUCUUGAUUGGCACUGCAAUCUGAGAAUUGUUUUUAGGCAUAAGAAAAUUGGUUAUGUUCUUGAGUAGCCCUUUCUAGAGACACCUGCUGAUGACUCGAUUAGGGAAGAGGUGGCUAUUAUAAUAAACACGGUGAUGACAAUACUACUGUAACAUGUGUGAUGUUUACAUUACGUCAUCUGGUUAUAAAAGCAACUUGAGAGUAUAGAUGCUAACGCAUGAUUUUUCAUUUCUAAGAGUUGUAUGAUAAUAAUCAUGUGUGGAAGGAUAUCAGACUUCAAAGAAACUAUACCAAUGUGAAAUGAUAGAGGAAUCUUAAAUCAGUGCUCAGGUACUGAAGAUGAUUGACACUAAGAAAUGUCUCAAUUGAGUUCAAUCAUGAACUACGAACUAAGUAUUGACUUAGCUUUGCAAUCUCUGUCAGAGAGUUAUUCAUACUAUUUAUAAAUUAUGAUAUGAAUAAACUCGAAUGCACACUCAUUAAGUUGCUUAAACCUACUUAAGCCUGUUAUGCCUAAUAUCAAAAUUACAAGUGGGCAAGCUAUUGGUUCCUUGAAAGAUAUUAAGAGGAAGUCUAAAGGGGCUUUAAGAAAGCAUUCAAUAUGGCUAAUACGGUCAAAUGAAGGCCAAUACCAAAUCUAAUGAAAGGUCAUUGGAAGAAAUAUUUCAAGGCUGACCUCUACUUUAUAAGUUUCUUAGGUAUUUGAUACUAAAUGUGGAUCUCAUAUUUAUAUAAAUAUAUAGAAAUAAAAUAGAAGUAGACCACUGCGAAAGGGAGAAGUUGACCUACAAGUUGAAGAUGAACAAAAGUUGAUGCAUUACCUAUAGCAGCAUACGUCUUGCUAUUGCCUUUAAGCUUAGUAUUCGAAUUAGAGAAAUGUUACUUUGUACCCACAAUAAAAUGCGCUUCAUGUUCGAACAUGAAUUGUUUCAAUGUAAAGGACAAUUGUUGUUCCUAUUUAUCUUGAUUGAGAUCAUAAUGGUUUUAGUAAAUUACAAAAUGAUAUUUAUUUUCUAAAUAUUAAGCAUUCUAUAAUGAGUAUAAAAGUUAAGAGGCUGAAUAAUAUCUAAAUCUGGCAUUACAGACUUGGUCGUAUCGAUGAAAUGCAAUUCCAAAAUUACAUAGAGAUAUAUGCAUGGAGUCAAUUGAUUUUGAAUCAUUUGACAAGUACAAAUCAUGCCUGUUUGGGACAAUGACCAAAUCUCCUUUUACUUGAAAAUGAGUAAGUCUUUAUAAAUAUUGGCAUAAUACAUAGUGAUGUAUAUGGACCCAUAUCAAUUAAUGUGAGAUGAGGUUUCUCUUAUAUCACAAAUGAUCAUUUAUACUUGACGAAAUUCAAGCAUGAAGUUCUUGAAAGGUUCAAAGGAUUCAAGCUACAAGUAGAGAAACAAAUAGGUAAAGUUACCCUCACACUAAGAUUCGAUCAAAGUGAGAAUAUUUUAAAGAUAAAAUUUUAGAUUAUCUAAAAGAGAAUGAGAUUCUCUUGUAGUAAACUUCUCCAUAUUCAAACUUCUCCAUAUUCAUUGCAACAUUGUGGUGUAUCUAAACGGAGGAAUCGUAAACUAUUAGAUAUAGUCCAAUUAAUAAUGAGCCAUGUAAAUCUCCCAAAAUCAUUUUGGGGUCAUGCACUGACUGUAGUAUGCUAUAAAUUAAAUCAUGUCUCAUCUAAGUUGGUUAACAGAACUCCAUACAAGCUAUGGAAAGGCAAUAGUCCCAACUUAUCUUAUAUGAAAGUUUGGGACAGUGAUGCUUAUUUGAAGCAUAUUGAAUCGGAUAAACUUGAGUACAUAUAUCCGAUAAAUACAUAUUUGUGGGAUAUCCAAAACAAAUAUUUGGAUAUUAAUUCUAUUAUCCCAUUGAGAAGAAAGUCUUCUUCUCACGAAAUGUCUUCUUAGAGAAAAUAUUUAUUCUAGGAGAGGACAAUGAGAGUAAAAUAAAACUUGAAAGAGUUCAGGAGUCCACAGAUAUAGUAGACCAAGUAGAUGAAUCUGAGUUUGAUCCCACGAUGAUGAACACACUCUUGAUCAGGAAGUAGAGAAUCCUGAGGAUAUGACAGCUCCAUUUAAAUCUAGUAGUAUCAUUUGAUCUUCAAGAAGGUGAGAAUCCACGAUUAUUAAUUAGGUAUUAUUAAUCGAGGAUGAUGAACCUACUAAUUAUGUAGAAGCAGAGUCAAGUAUUGACUCAAAUAGAUGUCAGGAGGCCAUGGAAUCCGAAAUGAACUCAAUGUAUGACAAGAAGGUUUGGACCUCGAUCGAUCUUCCUGAUGGAAUAAAAUCUAUAUAUUGUAAAUGGUUUACAAGGAAAAGAUUGAUGUGGACGGGAAUAACCAUACAUACAAAGCAAUACUAGUAGCAAAAUGUUAAAUGUUGACCUUGGUGAAACCUUUCGCCUUUAGCCAUGCUAAAGACCAUUUGGAGCUUGGUUGCAAUAAUUACAUACUGUGACUAUGGGUUAAAGUAAGCCUCUUGGAGCUGAAAUCUUUGGUUUGAUUUCAUCAGAUAUGAAGACAAAUUGUGUGUUUAAGACAUAUUAUUAGUAAGAAACGACAUCCCUAUAUUUCAAUCAUUGAAAUAAUGGUUGUUAAAGUAUUUUUCAUGAAAGAUAUGGGACAAGCAACAUGAUCGAUAGAGAUAGAUCUAGAAGAUUGCUUAACUCAUCCUAAUCUUCAUAGAUAAAAUCUUGACAAGAUUUUAUAUGAAAAAAUUUGUUUACUCUUAAAUGGUGUGUUGGAAAGGAGCCAAACAUGAAAUAACCAUUGGUUCAAUAGCAGAAACCUAAUACAUGAUUGCUUCAGAAGUGGUAAGGAUUUGCAAUGUGGAUCAAGAUGUUUAUUAAUGAACAUAGAGUAGUUCCUAACGAUCACGUGCCAUUGUAUUGUGAUAACAAUAGAGCCAUCGCCCAAGCAAAGGACUAAAGUCUUAUCAAUGAUCCAAACAUGUAUUAAGAUUGUAUAAUCUUAUCAGAGAGAUAAUAUAUAGAAAUGACGUAAAGAGAAGAACUAAUUCUCAUAAUUAAUAAUAUUGCAAAUCCAUUGACAAAGAGUUGUCGUAGUAUCAACAUGAUCAUUAUGUAGCUUUUUAUGAUAUUAGAUACAUAAGUGAUUGGAUCUAGUGCAAGUGGAAGUUUGUAAGUAUUAUGCCAUAGGUCCAAUCGACUUUGGACAUAAACGCUUUUAAUAUAUAGUUGAUGCGAGUUAUGACAAAUUUAUUAUUUAAUUAAUUAAUAUCCAAUUGAAUUAAACAAUGGAGCCCAUAUAUUCAAAUCUUAGUAAUCUUUUAAUCACAAGAAAAUGUGAUUUUGAGAUACAAAUUACAUAUGAUUGAAUAUUAAAUCAUCUGUGGUCGUAAGUAAUGAUGACAUACAGAUAUCGUUAUUACGGAUAGACUAUCACACGUGGCAUUUUUUACUUGUGAAGUAAAUAGCUGAUCUUACAAACUAAAUUGUAGUGACACUUGAAUGAAUACGUGGAUGUUUUGUUAUAGAACAAAACAUUGGAGACCCGUUGAGAGAUUCCACAUGGAUAACUAUCUGAGUAUCAGUAGUUAAUCUCUAACGUUCGGUAGUAGGAUUGGUCCUUUGACUUGAGGUCAACAUAGUGCCUUAUACGAGGAUAGUCAUGCUUUGACGGUGUUGGAUGUUGCUUUGUCAAGGGCCGCUAAUAUGACAUCAUUCAGGUAUGUCAAGACUCCUAUGAAGGAUGUGAAUAACUAAUAUAGGAUUUGUCACUCUUAGAUAGUAAGAGGUUAUGAUCUGCAUUUCAUUUCAUUCAAUUAAGUCAAUAACGAAAUUCCUGGUUUUCGACUUAUCUUGACUUAAUAGUAGAGUGAAAGAUAUGAUCGAUAAUCAAGAUUGACACAUUUCCAUAUCUCGUAAUUGAUCGGAUCAUAUUAACAAAGGGAUUAUAGUUUCCCGUCACAUGUAUUGCCUUGACACAUUACUAGAUGUCAAUCUAGGAUAGCAAGUGUGAAUUGGUGAUAAAUUAAAAGAGUGUUUUAAUUAAUCAAUUUUGAUUAGAUCAAAAUAGUAUUUCACAUCGUUAGACAUCGCGGGAACCUGAUUGGUCGCACACAAAAGGAGAACUAGAAGAUUGUGAUUUGUCAAUUAAUUAACUAACAAGCAAUAGAUAAAUUAAUUAAUUGGGUUGCUUAUUUUUAAACCUAGAUUAAUUGAUUCAUUGACUAAAUUUAAUUAGAUGGGUUAAUUAAAUAUUGGACUGGGUCAGGUCAAGCCCAUUUGGGCUGAUAUAAAUAUGACUAAGAUUUUCAAAAUUUGUACAAAAUUCAUUAUUCUUGCUAGCACCAGAAGAAAACCCUAAUCCUACAAUCUUGUUCUUUGUGUGGAUCACAGCUGUGGAUGGCAGAUCAUGGUUGCUGGAACGAAAGAAUAGCAAAGAAGUUUGCAGACUCAAAGCAGGAAUUGCAAAAGGAGUUUGCAGAUCUAGAGGUACAAUUUUUAUCAUAAUUCCUAUCUAAAUACAAAAAUGAAUCCUAGUUGGAAUUGAAAUCCGUUUUUAUUUCCCACACAGAUUCCCAACACAAGGUAGGCCCAUGCUUAGUUUAUUCAUCAACUACGCCACAAUCAAACAACCAAUUGACCCAAUACAAAACUAAGCUUUCCACUUUCAAUUGCCAAAGUGAUUACACACUUAGGAGACUACAAAGGCUACUAAUAACUCAGUGAUAAUCACCAUAAAGGUAGAAGUUAAGGAAGAAAGUGGCAAGGUAGAGAAGUAGAAGAAGCAGAGGUCAAAAUCUCACAAAGUGAAGUAAAGAGAGGCGCACGAUUACUAUGGAAACAGGUAGGAGACCCAAUUAUAUUUAACCAAUUAGCCUAAAUAAGGUAAGUUACACUCGGGUAGCAGAUGGGUCAAGUAAAGGCCCAAUUAAUAGACAAAUGGGCUGCCAAGUGAAACCUCUCAUUUUGACGCUGGGUAGGAUAGUGAUUAUCCUAUUGGCUUGUUGAAGCAUAUGAUUCGCAAGAAAGAAACGAAAGAAAGCACCUAAAAACCAUAGAAAAUACUUUAAAAUCAACUCAAUAUUAUUAAUAAUGCAGAAUAACCAAAAUUAACGCACAAGCAGGGUUAAAUAGCUGCAAAAUACGAAAUUAUAGAAAAAUUACCAAAAUGGCAAAAUCUCGAAAUUACACCAGAAUAAAAUAUUAAAUAAAACAAGUAGGUUACCAAAAAUUUGGCUCAAUUCAAGUUUUCUAACAUAUGGAAAAAGGGAAGCGAAUACCAUAAAUAGCAAAAAUUACCUAAAAAUUGAAUUUUGGAAAGGAAAAUAGCAGAUUUUGUGCUCAAAAUUAAUGCCCACCAUGCAUAUCUAGGUGUCCAUGAUGUACGAAGUCGAAGAGAGCUUUUCAGAUUGGGGUCAUAAUAGCAAUUCUAAUAGCCGUAGCCAAAGUUAUGGCCAAAUUACCAAAGACGUAUCAAAUUUCCCCAAUCAAGGAAAUAAUUGCGAUUCACUUACCAUCUUUGCGCCGAUCCGCCAUUUCAUGGUAUCUCAGCGCCAUCAUUAUGCUAUUUGACAAGUUAGCAUCACUCGACUCAGAUCCUCCUGCAUCAGUCACCCCGGGUCGGAAAGAACUCACCCUCAAGUUCACAGUAGCUUCAUCGGACUCCACAAAACAAAGGCUUAGGUGUGUUACAUUGAAGAUGUCAGAGAUCUUCAAAUAGCUAGAGAGACCUGUAAACAUUAUCAUUGAUCUUCUACAGCACUUCACAAGGUCCAAUCUUUCGCUCCUUUAGCUUAUUGUACUCCUUAGCUAAAAAACGAUCACGAAUUAAUACUGGCCAAACAAAAUCACCGACAUCAAACAACACCUAGCAUCGAUGACUAUCUGCCUGAGCCUUGUACUUAGUAUUACUAUCAUAUAUGGAUAGCUUCACUUGCUCAUGGAUACCUCGAAGAUGUUUAGCCAUCUCAUCAGCUUUGUUAUUGAAGUGACUCGCACGUGGAAUCGGAGCCAAAUCAUGUAUCCCAGAUGGGUUCCGACCAUAGAUAAUUUCAAAAGGACUCAAUCCGGUGGUUUUAUUCCUCGACCGGUUAGAAGCAAACGCUACUUGAGGUAAUGCCAAAUCCCAUUGCUUUGGUUUAGUCCCUGUUAAGCUUCUAAAAGAUUUCUCAAACUCUGAUUCACCACCUCAGUUUGACCAUCUAUUUAGGGAUGGUAUGCGCUGUUAAAAUUCAACUUCGUUCCAAGUUUCUCCCAUAAACUCCUCCAGAAAUGACUCAUAAACUUAGUGUCAUGGUUAGAAGUAAUUGACUGUGGAGCGCCAUGUAAACGUACAAUCUUUAUGAAAUAAAGAUGAGCAAUCUGAGUAGCAUCCAUUGUCUUCCGGCAAGCCACAAAAUGAGCCAUCUUUGAAAAUCUGUCAACCACAACAAGAAUGGAAUACAUUGCCCACUGUGUGCGAGGUAAGCCCAAGAUAAAAUCCAUGCUCACAUCAAACCAAGGAACUUUAGGUACGGGUAAUGGCGUGUAUAAUCCAGUAUUAGUAAGAGCUCCUUUAGACCGCUGACAUACAUAACACCGCUCCACAUAAUGCCCCACAUCACUGCUCAACUUGGGCCAGUAAUAAUCAGAAGAGACCAAUGCUAAUGUCUUGUCUCGCCCAAAAUGUCGUUCGUUAUGAAGUUCACUAAUAAUCUGCUGCCUUAGUGAACAAUCCGAAAUGCAUAACUGCAAUCCACGAAAUACAUAACCAUUAUGUAAAACAAAAUCAUGUCAGUGAUUAUUAGUUACCUCCCGAAUUAUCUUCCUAAAUGAAGGAUCUGCAGCAUACAUAUCAGGAAAUGCCUCAAAUCUGACAAUCUUGGUGCUCAUGGUGGUGAGGAGUAAUGUACGAUGGCUCAAUGCAUCUGCUACUCGAUUCAAACUCCCUGCUUGAUGCCUUAGUGUGAAUGUAAACUCUUGCAAGUACGCCAUCCACUUUGCAUGUCGCCUACUCAGCUUGUGCUGAACAUUGAUGUACUUCAAGGCCUCAUGAUCAGUAACAAGGAUGAACUCCCUUGUACCAGGUAAUGACGCCAAUGCUUCAGAGUCUGAACUAUGGCAUAGAACUCCAGGUCAUAAGUGGAAUAAUUUUUCUUCGAUCCCAAUAGCUUCUCACUGAAAAAGGGUACUGGACGUCUCUCCUAACUCAGAAUACCACCAAUACCAACUCCAGACACACCACAGUUUACCUCGAACACCUUCUCAAAGUUCGAAAGUGUGAAGACUGGGCCUCCGUCAUUUUCUACUUAACCAACAAAAAGCUAGCCUCUGGCUCCUCAAUCCACUAAAAAUCACACCCUUUAAGGCACUCCGUGAUAUGAGCAAUCAAGGUACUGAAGUUUCUGAUGAACCGGUGAUAGAAGGAUGCCAAUCCAUGGAAACUCCUAACAUCGUGCCAAGUUUUUGGCUUGAGCCAAUUCAAAACUGCCUCAAUUUUGGAUUGAUCUGCAUGAACACCAUCAGUAGACACAACAAAACUCAAAAAAGUUAUAGAAGUUGUGAAGAAAGAACACUUAUUCUGAUGGAUGAAUAAGCGCUCUGUCCUCAUUACAUCAAAGACAGCACGAAGAUAAUUAAAAUGUGACUCCCAUGUUGAACUAUAAAUAAGUAUGUCGUCAAAAUAGAUUACCACAAACUUCCCCAUGAAAGGCCAUAAAACCUGAUGCAUAAACCUCAUAAAAGUGCUGGGUGCUUUGGAUAGUCCAAAGGGCAUGACCAUCCCCUCAUACAAUCUAUGCUGUGUCUUGAACGCGGUCUUCUCCAGGCAUGAUUCUGAUAUGGUGGUAUCCGCUUUUAAGGUCAAUUUUUGAGAAGACCUUAGAACCGGACAAUUGAUCCAACAUGUCAUUUAGGCAAGGAAUUGGAAACCUGUACUUCACUGUAAUCCUUUUAAUUGCCCUACUGUCAACACACAUAUGCCACGACCCAUAUUUCUUUGACACUAGUAGAGCAGGAAUUGCACAAAGACUCAUACUCUCACGAAUGUAGCCCCUUUCCAAUAAUUCUACAUCUGUCGCUGCAACUCUUCAGCUUCCUUGGGACUGAGGCAAUAUACUGGUCGAUUUGGUAGACUUGACCCCGAAAUAAGGUUGAUUUGAUGUUGAAUGUCCCUCAUAGGUGGUAAUCCUGAAGGAAGAUCCUUCGGCAUCAAGUCAGAAAACUCCAAUAGUAGUUGCUGCACUUCUGCUGAGAAUUCUGAAUCCACAUUCACUGCACUAUUUUCACGAGGCAUUAAAGCAUAAACUAUUUUUUCACGCCCAACCUCAACAAAGAACCUAGACAUAGAAAGUAGAUUGGUGUUAUUAAUUACCAGGACAGGGAUGUUUUCUUCCUUGCGAGGCGCCAAAACAAUUUUCUUUCCUUUGAUGCCAAGAGAAUAAGUAUUCUUCUACCCAUCAUGGAUAAUGCUGCGAUCAUAAUGCCAAGGUCGUCCCAACAAAACUUGACAAGCGUCGAUUGAUACCAUAUCACACCAAGCAUUAUCAAAAUAUUUUUUCCAAUCGAAAAAGGCACUAAGCACCAUUUUUCUACCAUUACCUCACUGCCUUUAUUCAGACAAGACAAUUUGUAUGGUUUGGGAUGACGAUCCAUCUUCAGUUGCAAUUUCUCGAUAGCCUCAUUAGGCACUACAUUCUCACAACUGCCACUGUCAAUUAUCAACUUGCAGACUUUAUCAGCAACUAUGUAGGUUGUGUGGAAAACGUUGGUCCUCAACCAAUCCUCCCUUGAAUCGCCCUUGGGAGUCAACAGGCUCUUUCAAAUGACUAGGAUCUCUUGGCCGUCUCCAUAUAGCACGUCCUCAUCUUCACCAUCAUCAUACACAGGGUCCCCAAUUUCCUCGAACUCCUUUAUCAUAUCAUCCUCAAUUAGAAGAUUUUUAUUCUUCUGACCAGCAGGCUUCCUGCAAUCAAUCACCCUAUGCCCUUGUUUACCACACUUGAAACACUUAAUACUUGAGCUAGAAUUGUCUCGCUGUGGCUGAUAAGCAGGAUGAGAUUCUUAAGGGCGAACUGGCUGACUACCUUCACCUCUGAUCACUGGCCUCCUACUAUGUUGUUUCUCCAAUAAACGUGCCCCCUGAUAUGCCUCAGAAACCGUCCACAAUGAAUGAAGGCUGAGAACAUCUUGCAGGGGCUACCUUAAUGUCCCCAAAUACCGUGCUACUAUCUGCUCCUCCAUCUUAGAUAAAUCAUUUCGAGCCACCAGUUGAUAGAAUUCCUCAGUAUAAUAAUUGACUAAUCUUGUGCCUUGCCUCAGUGAAUGGAGCCUCUGAAAUAAGGUUGAGUAUAGCUGAAAGGGAGGAAGUGCCCUUUCAUCUUUAUCUUCUCCCAGUUAGUAAUUUUGGAUUUCCUCAGCGAAUGGAGCCUCUGAAAUAAGGUUUGAGUAUAGCUGAAAGGGAGGAAGUGCCCUUUCAUCUUUAUCUUCUCCCAGUUAGUAAUUUUGGAUUUUCCCUGUCGCUCCCAUGAACGCUUCAAAUGUUCCCACCAUGCAGAUACUCUACCUUUGAGUUUGAUGGCGACCAAUUUCACUUUGACACGAUCUGGAACCUCCUUAUAUUCAAAAAUCCACUCCACUUCAUUUAACCAAUCAAUAAAUCCUUCAGCCUGCAACGUACCAGAAGACUUGGGUAGAUCCACUCUGAAAUCGAGAUCCACAUGAUGAUCCUCCCAUCCACGAUGCUCCCAAACUCGAGCACGAUGGUGUACGGGUUUUCAAAAUUGGUAUCGAAACCGUGACCCUCCACAUCAUGAUUACCGAACUCCUGCUCCAUCAAACGUUGGGCUAACUCUGUAACUUGUCUCUGCAAAUCUUCAAUCGUCAUAUCCUGAGUAUUACGAUCACGGUGCGGGACUUCCUCAAUUGGAACCUACCAUCAACGACUAUGACCAUGUCCGCCAACUAUUAUAGUUGAUGGAAUUUAUCUCCUAAGAAGAUUUUGACGCUCUGAUACCAACUGACGUCGGGUAGGAUAGUGAUUAUCCUAUUGGCUUGUUGUAGCAGAUGAUUCGCAAGAAAGAAAUGAAAGAAAACGCACAAAAACCAGAGAAAAUACUUUGAAAUCGAGUCAAUAUUAUUAAUAAUGCAGAAUGACCAAAAUUAACUUAUAAGCCGAGUUAAAAAGAUGCAAAAUACGAAAUUAUAAGAAAAUUACCAAAAAUGGCAAAAUCCCAAAAUUACACUAGAAUAAAAUAUUAAGUAAAACAAGUAGGUUUCCAAAAAUUUGGCUCAAUUCGAUUUUUCUAACAUAUGGAAAAAGGGAAGCGAAAUAUUACCAUAAAUAGCAAAAAAUAACUAAAAAUUGAAUUUAAGAAAGGAAAACAGUGGAUUUUGAGCUCGAAAUUGAUGCCUACCAAGCAUAGCUUGGUGGCCAUGAUGUGCACGCCAAAGUGAGCUUUCCAGAUUGGGGUCAUAAUAGUGAUUCUGAUAAUCGUAGCCAAAGUUAUGGCCAAAUUACCAAAAACGUGUCAAAUUCCCCCAAUCAAGGAAAUAAUUGCGAUUCACUUCUCAUCUUUGUGCCGAUCCACCAUCUCAUGGUAUCUCAGCGCCAUCAUCGUGCUAUCUGACAAGCCAGCAUCACUCGACUCGAAUCCUCCUGCAUCACAUUUUUGGCCAUCCAAGAAAGUAGGUUGGGCAAUGAGCAACACUAAAAUUUUUAGGUUGCUUCAAAUGGCCCAAUUAACAUUUGGGUCGUGUCGUCUCGAUUGUGAUGUUACAAUUUCGUUCAGUCAUUUGGCCAAGCCGACUGAAGACUAAAACCGAAUAAUGUCAUAGCCCGGGGAGGUUGUUUGACAAUAAAUUGCCUAACAUCAAUUUUAUGAAAUAUCACUUCUUUCUCUCUGUCAUUCCACAAUUCUUGCUGCUGGGUUUAAUCUGCUGAAUUCUGAGGUGUUUUUCAAACACGGAUAUUAUGUAAUUCGUCAUUUUAUUUCUUCAGUUGCUUAUGAUGUGUUAUAGCUUGUGGUCUGAAUCUUGUACGAAGGAAAAAGAGAUGUUUUAUUAACACAUGUAGCUUACGUUCCUUUCCUUCUUUAGCAACAUUAAUUUAAGGGUAAUAUGCGUCAUUUUUGUUUCCUGAUAUAGCAAAUAACAAGGCUUUUUUCAAUGAUAAAAUUCUUUGCUUGCUUACUAUCUAAGCUAGGCUGUGCAAACAUUAGACAGAGUUGCUAAAAUUUCGGAUAAUUUUAUAUUUGUUGCACUUGCAGCUGGUACAAAUAUGAUGCUUGGUGCUGAUAAGGUGAUUGAUAAUUUAUGAUACAGCAUAGACCUACGAAAUGCAAGUGUUAGUAAUUAAGUAGUCAUUUCUUUUACGUUGCAUUGUUUGACCACAUGUAUUUAUGAAACUAUAUACUGUGCAGGUAAAGAGACUUCAUCCUGAAUUAGCUGCUAUUAGAAAUUAGUCAUUAGUUGAUGAACUCAAAAGGGGCUCUGCCCGAUAGAAGACAAGCCUAAAAUUAUUUUUCAAGAACCCAUCUAGGUUAUCUAUCAUGCGUUAUUGAAUUUUCAUUAGUUGGUAAAUGAUAAUCUAACUCAUUCCUCAGUGUUCCUAAUUCAUAUUUCAGGUUUCUGGCCUCCCCGAUUUAUUUUGGUGAAAAUACCAUGGGCACUAAUUUUAGUAAGUGCUUAAUAAAAGAGAAUUUGAUGACGUUCUUUUAAUUUUACGAUGAAACAACCAUGCUUAUCACUUAUUCCUUAGUGCGUUCCUAAUUCAUAUUUUAGGUUUCCAGCCUCCCCGAUUUAUUUUGGUGAAAAUACUAUGGGCACUAAUUUUAAUAAGUGCUUAAUAAAAGAGAAUUUGAUGACGUUCUUUUAAUUUUACGAUGAAACAACCAUGCUUAUCACUUAUUCCUCAGUGUGUUCCUAAUUAAUAUUUCAGGUUUCCAGCCUCCCCGAUUUAUUUUGGUGAAAAUAAUAUGGGCACUAAUUUUAGUUAGUGCUUAAUAAAAGAGAAUUUGAUGACGUUCUUUUAAUUUUGCGAUGAAACAACCAUGCUUAUCACUCCUACCAUGAAUUUUCUGUUGAACUGAUUAUUUUGCAGAAAAGGAAUACUACCAAAUAAAGCAAUUCUGAGAAAUUAUUUAAGGUUUGUCAUCCAUAUUUCAUCCUUUUUGUUCACAUAAGAUUCGUUAUGGCAUGAAACUUACAAUAUAUAACUAUUUUUGGUGUCAUUAGUGUCUUUAUUGAAUUUUGUAUUAUGACUUUUUUGACAAUCGUGAAAAUUUUUGUUCGAAUUCGGAAAAAAAUUCGAAACUUUUUGUGCUUUUUACUUAUUUGGGAAUCAUAAAACUAUGUUGUAAUUAUUUGUUGUAUAACUAGGGUCACUGUGAAAACUUUACAUAAAGUCAAGUAUUAAAUUUUAAUUGAAAUCUAGUCGUGAAAAGAUUUUAUAAUUAUGAAUUGUAAAAAAAAAAGUACCAGAAAUGGAGUACAUAAUAUUUUUCAAAAAAUGAUGAGGUUUUGCUCAAAAGAAUAAGAGAAUCUUGUAUAUAUUUCUUGAUAUGUGUUAUAGAAAAGAUGAAAUUUGAAAAACUUUUACCUUUGGCUUGUUGAAAUAGGAGCCAUUUCAGUAUUCCUAGAAUAAUUGCUGAUUACGCUGGCAACUUGUUCAGUCGUUGACUCCUUUAAAACUGAUCUAAUCACUAAAAUAUAAAUUGUUUAAUGUUAGAAUACAAUUCUUUAUCUUAUGUAUCUUUGUUGACUAAUCUAUUUGAAUAGUUUUCGAUAGUUAUUUUUUAAAGUUUCAUUUCAGCAGUUAAAUUUGUAUUAUUCUAUUUUCUCUUAGAUAAUACAUGCAAUUUUCUUUUGUUACGUAGAGAUUAUAUACACAUAUUUUGGUUAUGUAGAGAGAGUUUAUAUGAAGAUGAAGAAACUGAUCAGAGAACACUGAAUGCAUUGCUUGUUCCCAAGAUAAAAAUAUGUCCCUUGUGUUUGACAAACACAAGGAACGAAUUUCAAAUACUUUGAGCUUGUAAAUUUGUGUUUAUUUUGGAGCACUACUUUUGCAUGAAAACUCCAUGAAGUUUGAGCUGAGCAAGAAUGUAUAACAAACUUCAUGAUGCUUUUUUUUGCUUGUAACUUAAAUAUGAUAGUGUAUCACGUGCAGUUUUUGAAAUGUGUAAACCAUCCUUUGUUUCCUCCUUAAAAUAUUAUUUUGUAAUUUUUCUUAGUCUAUGAAUUAGAUUAUGUAAAGAACUUUUGAUUUUAUGUAUAUAGGAUGGCUUGCAAUGCUUUUGUUAUAUUGGUUCAAGAUUUUGAUGCAAUUGUGAACAAGUAAAUUGAGAUUUUUAUUUUUUAUUUUUUUUGUUUCUGUUAUUUAUGUCAAUGGUGCAAGAGGUUGAAUGUACAAAAGUUCAUUCAUUUCUAUUUUUGUGAUAUGAUCGUUUCUCGAGUCACAAUAUAUAAAUUAUUUUCGAAUGGAAAUUAGAAUUCUACCAGUCAAAAUAAGUUGUUUGCUUUUCUCUUCAAACACAUUGCUUAAGGAAUUUCUCCAGAACAUAAUUUAUGGUUCUCAAUACACUAUUUUUGCAAUGUUGUUGCCUUGAAACAUUUAGCAACGUGUGCUUAAAUUUGAGGUAACUAAUGUUUAACACAAAUAUUAUUUUUAUCUAUACUAUUAUGUAGUCAAUUACACUAUGGCACGUACCUUGCACAUGCGUUUCACUAAUCUACGAAAAGGGACAUUAUUGCUUACUUGUUUAUGCUAGCUUGGCCACCGGUGAAGUCAGAAGUUGGCUUCUAAAUAGUAUGUUUUCCGGGUUGUGGAUCGGUCUCUUUGAGAAAGUUGGGUCACCUAGCCAACUACAAGAACACAAGAUCUAAAGUAAUUCUUUUAUUAAUAAAGUAAAUAAAGAAGCCACCUAUUAAUGGUAGUUGGAUUGUAAUUUAUCAUAGAAUGAAAGGGCAAAACAAAUACUAUUAUAGUUAAUGUAUAGUGGGCAUUAUCAUUAUAAGCUGCCUUGAAAGCUAAAAUAUCAGACCAAAAAAUUUCAAUUUUACUCUUGAGACCACCUUCAAAAACUUCACACACAAGUUUUUACUUUAUAAAGUAACACUUCCCCACUAGACCGUUUUGAAAACUUGACACAUAAUACCAAAGAUAUUAUAUAUAUUUGUAACAUACUAUGGGCAUACAACAUCUAAAUGUAAUAGUUUUCUAUUCACUUAUAGAUGUUCCUUUUUACAAUUACAUUUUACAUUUUUUUAAAACUAAAAAAUUAGUUAGGAUUGGUACAAGUUCGUGCAAGAUUAAAAUUGUUGUAACGUGAUCCAAAUUUUAGUGGGUAUUGGAGUCCCAAUUGAGGUAGUCUUGAAGAGAUCAAAAUUAUGGACCGAGAAGAAAAGUUAUCGCAUUUUUGCUAGUGUGCUACUAGCUGGACGCUUGAGUGAUACCAACAAAUUUUCUACAGAAAGUUCUCACCUGCCUAAUCCUUGAGAGGUGGGGCUAUCACCUGCCUAUCGCUUGCUUGUCGCUCGAGCUACAGGUUUCCAAAAUUUUCCUUUUAACACAUUUUGGAUUCCUAUUUAACUACCACUUGGUUUCAAGAAUUUUAUAUAUAUAAGCCUCGACUUGUAUUGUUUCCACAUCAUUCAUACAAUAUUGUGAGAGCUUUAGACUUUAAUUGAGAGCAUUGAAGUUUUGUUGUAAACAGAAUUGCUAUUGAUUAUAGUGGAUUUCUCCUCUUCUGCCUGUUAUUUUUCCUGUCUUGGGUUUUCACAUAAAUUUUGGUGUUUUUUAUUUUGUUCUUAUUUAUUUUAUUACUGUCAUAAUCCUUUAGGUCAAAUUCAUAACAAGUAGUAAAAAAUGUUGAUUAUUCUGUACGAUAACGAUAAAGUAUGAUAUUUCGUUAUUUGAUCAAAAUACGAGAUUUACUUUAUGGCAAGUGCAUAUGCGAGCAGGUCUACACAGAUGGAUUUGGAGGAAGCCUUAUUUGGCCUUGAUAAUAUACAUUCAACCUAGAAGUAGGAUUAAAAGCAGCAUAGGGAUCAAAAUGCCCAGUCCUAUAUUCAUCUACAUAAAUCAAAAUCAAACUCUUAGGGAUGUUCUCAAGGAGAAAAGAGUCGUUGCCAUUGCGUUCUCUAGGAAAGUUUGGGUAUUCUUCUUAAAACAGAAGAGAGAUAUGUUUGGGCCUUUAAGGAAUGGAAAACAAUGAUAAAAAAGCAUAUUUGAAAACAAAUUAAACGUCUACAUACAAAUAAUAGGUUGGAGUCCUGUUAAGAUGAAUUCAAUAAUUUCUACAGGUUUGAAGGCAUCUUGAGACACUUGAUAGUGCCUGAAACUCCUCAAUAGAAUGAUGUGAUAGAACAGAUGAAUAGAACUUUGUAUGGAAAAGGUUCGUUGUAUGCUUUCAAAAUCUAGGCUGCUUAAGAUUUUUUGGGCUGAAGCUACUACCACAAUUUGUUUUCUAAUUAGUCAUUCACCCUUAACUAGUAUUGAGAAAAAGACACCAGAAGAGGUAUGGUCUGAAAUACUUUCUUGUUAUACUGAUUUGAAUAUUUUUGGAUGUCGUACUAUGCUUAUAUGGAUAAUGGAAAGUUGGAGCCUAAGUCUAGAAAAUGUGUCUUUCUUGGGUAUAAUUCAAGUGUAAAAAAGUAUAGAUGGUGGAGUCUUGUGAUAAGAAAUGUAGUGGUAAGUAAAUAUGCAGUAUUUAAUGAACUUGCUAUGGUCCAUGAUUCAUCUUGUAGGGAUUCUGAUAAAAAUGAGGAAUAGAAUCAUUCAACUCAGUGGAGUUGAAAAUUAGUCUAGGGCAACAAUUGGAGGUUUUAGAACAAUCUAGCUCAGAAUUGACAGAUAGUAAUACUUCGUCUACUUUGCCUACACCAUUAGCAACACCACAAUACUCAAUUGCUAGGGAUAGACCUUCCGGAUAGAUUAGACCUCGACAGUACUAUGGAGAAGUAAACAUGGUAGCAUAUGCCUUAAAUGUGACUGAAAAAAUUGAUUCCACUAAUAUUACGACAUAUGUCGAUUUAGAUAUGAUGGACCAAACAAAUAAAAGAUAUAUAAAGUGUAGAAAGGGAAAAAUAGGUGUUAUGGUAAUGUUUACUUGCACUUUUUCUUUUAUAAUAUGACAAAAAUAAAUAAUAAAAAUAAACACCGAAUUGUUGUAUUUUGUUGUAGAAAUACUUUCAUAGAUAUUUAACAUUGUUUUAUUGGGUUUUUUCCUUAUGCUUAUUAAUUAAUUUAAAGACGGUUAUAUUUUAAAUUGUGCACAAGAUACUCAAAAUUAUGGGAACUUUUGAUGGUAUAUAAAUGCCUAAAAUUUUAACGAUGUGCGUUAACUUUAACAUGAUGAUAAAGUAUGUAAUCUAAGGAGUGCACUAAACUUGCAAUUUUAAUUUUUAUUUCAAUUUGAUAUUUUUGUCAUACAAACAAUAUUUCUAGCAUUUUGAAUAUUUUAAAAGAAUGUGCGUGAAUGCUUAUCUAUAAAUAAUAUAUGGUAAUCUACAUAAGACUUUGUUAAAUUGGACAAGAAUUUCAAAAAUUUAAUUGUUUUCUCACUUUGAGUCAUUAGCCUCAUGUAUCACGUCAUUUCUAUUCAAUUUUCAUAAUGAUAUUAGAUGAAGCAAAGAAAGUAGAAAUCCUACUUUUUAGCUGUAUUUUAAAGUACACUGAAUUACUUAUUUGAAAACAACCUUUUUAAAGUUGAUUUUCAUGUCCAACAAACACAACUAAACACGUAGUACAGAAAAAUGGGCACAAAAUGAAAAUAUAUUACAAAACAAGGAUGCAGAAAGUGAAAUAUUACAAAAGAGACCUCAACUAGAAACACGCUAAUUAAGACAACAAGAAAGGAUGAGGAACAUUCUUACAAGAAAUAUUAUCAGGAUCCUUCAUCAAACAAAUUUCAGAAUCCCAAUAAUAUUGUAAAUAUCUAUUCAUAGUAUCUAUAGCUUAAAUCAUAUCUUCUGCUAUGCUAUUCUAAGCAAAAUUAAAAGAAAUAUUUAUCCAGCUCGUGACAUCUCAUUUAAAUUCUGAAAUAGAGGCAAUGCGCAGAGGAUGAAUCUCAAAUAAUGCGAAUGAGUCUAUCCUUGAACUGGGAAUUAAGGUGCCAUUGGCAUGCAACCAAAACCAGCCCUAUAGAUUUCUUGAUGAGGGAAAUAUAUCAUCACUGGUCUUUUCAUGAAUCAUUGAGUCAUUUGUGAGAUUAAAUGCAACAUAUAUUCCACAAUUAGCACUUUUAUCGUAAUUUUGUUUUUCAAUUUUUGCACUGGAACUUUUAUCGACCUUUUUUAAUGGAGAUUUCUCAUCCAAAAAGGUCGUACUUUGUGUAGCACUAAGUAAAUCUUGUUUAGUAUUUUCCAUUACAUCCCAAAAAUUUGGUGUCUUGUUUGAAGGCACAAAUCCAGUAGUAACUUGUUCUAAAAUACAACUUCUAGUGUGGUUUUCUAGAUUAUCCAUCAAAAUAGAUGGAUGGAGAUCUGAUACCUUAAGUUGUUCAUAGCUUCUUUGCUACAAAUAACCAUAUCCUUCACAAGUUCCAUUCUGUUGAAUUGCACCUGUAGCCAUCACUAUUAACAAUAGACCAGCUCAGUUAGAUGUUUGAUGUAUGCAAUGGUGUGUACCAGACAAGAUCUAGCACAUGUAGUUAGUGCAGUUAGCAAGUAUUUGGCUAAUCCUGGUAGAGAGCCUUGGAGAGCUGUAAAGUGGAUUUUCAAGUACUUGAAAGGUACAAUGGAGUGUGGGAUCAUGUUUGAGAGACAACAUGGUGAUAUUUUAGUUCGAGGAUACGUAGAUGCAAAUUAUGCAGGGGACAUGGAUAUCAGAAGGUCCCAUACAUGUUAUGUUUUCACACUCGCAGGUGGGUCCAUAUGUUUGAGAUCAAUGAUGCAGUCACUUGUGGCAUAAUCUACAACUGAAUUAGAGUACAUGGUGGCAACUGAGGCAGCCAAGUAAUUAUUGUGGUUGAGAGGGCUUGUCAGGGAACUUGAGAUCAAGCAAGAUGGAAUUAAGCUGUACUGUGAUAGCCAGAGUGCCAUCUUCCUAGCGAAGAAUCAGAUUUAUCAUGCAAGAACCAAGCACAAUGAUGUAAGAUUUCAUAAGAUAAGAGAGUUGGUUACUUCAAGAGAGCAGUUGUUAGAAAAGGUACAUACCUCAGAGAAUACAGUAGACAUGAUGACAAAGCCAAUCAAAAAGCAUUGUUUGAACUUGAUUAAUAUCUCUAGGUGUUAGAGAAGAUGUGUCCCAAUCCAUUGGUUCUAGAUGGUGUGGUUUUUCAGGUUAUGUUUUUCUCCUAAGGGGUGAAUAUUUGCCAAGGUGGAGAUUGUUGUGCAUGUGACUCAUAUAUAGUGGAACGCAGGUCCCAGAUUAAAUAGGCCGAUACUAGAGUGGAGUGAGAGGAGCGUAGCGCAUCAAACGGUAAUAUGCAUCAUUUAUGUUUCCUAAUAUGGCAAACAACAAGGCUUUUUCAAUGAUGAAAUUAUUUACUUGUUUACUAUCUAAGUCUAGGUUGUGUAGACAUUAGACAGAGUUGCCAAAAUUUCGGAUAAUUUUAUAUUUGUUGCACUAGCAGCUGGUUCAAAUGUGACCUUUCUUGUUGAUCAGGUGCUUGAUAAUUUAUGAUACGGCAUAGACCCAUGAAAUGCCAAGUGUUAGUAAUUGACGUAGUCAUUUCUUUUGGAUUGCAUUGUUUGACCACCUGUAUUUAUGAAACGAUAUACUAUGCAAGUAAAGAGACUUCAUCCUGAAUUAGUUGCUAUUAGAAAUUCGUCAUUAGUUGAUGAACUCAAUAAGGGGUCUGCCCAAUAGAAGACAAGCCUAAAAUUAUUUUCCGAGAGCAGAGAACCCAUCCACACUAUCUAUCAUGUGUCAUUGAAUUUUCAUUAGUUGGUAAAUGAUAAUCAAACUUAUUCCUCGGUGUGUUCCUAAUAUAUAUUUCAGGUUUCUGGCUUCCCUGAUUUAUUUUGGCGAAAAUACAAUGGGCACUAAUUUUAGUAAGUGCUUAAUAAAAGAGAAUUUGACGACGUUCUUUUGAUUUUACAGCAAAACAACCAUGCUUAUCACUUUUGCAACGAAUUUUCUGUUGAACUGGUUAUUUUGCGGUGCCAUUUUAUGGUACUUUGAUGUGUGCAAGAAGCAAGAAUUCUACCAAAUACAGCAAUUCUGUGGAAUUAUCUAAGGUUUUUCAUCCAUAUUUCAUCCUUUUUGUUCACAUAAGAUUCGUUAUGGCGUGAAUGAGCUUACCAUAUAUAGCUGUUUUUGGUGUCAUUAGUGUCUUUAUUUGCACAUGUAAACUAGGUUUUUACGAUUGGGUGGGCAUCACUUGUUCUUCUUGUGGGGUUUCUUAAUCUUUGAAUUUUGUAUUAUGACUUUUCGGACAAUCGUGGAAAAUUUUGUUUGAAUUUGGAAAAAUCUGAAACUUUUUGUGCUUUCUAUUUAUGUGGGAAUUGUUAAAGUUUUGUUGUAAUUAUUUGUUGUAUAACUAGGGUCACUAUGAAAAUUUUACGUAAAGUCAAGUAUUAAAUUUUAAUGGAAAUCUAGGCAUGAAUAGAGUUUAUAAUUAUGAAGAGUUCUUUUAAUUGCUGUAAAAAAAGUACUAGAAAUGGGGUAUAUAAUAUUUUUCAAAAAAUGCUGACGUUUUGCUCAAACGAAUAAGAGAAUCUUGUGUGUGUGUGUGUGUGUGUAUAUAUAUAUAUAUAUAUAUAUCUUGAUAUGUGUUAUAUAAAACAUGAAAUUUGAAAAAGUUUAACCUUUGGCCUGUCGAAAUAGGAGCUAUUUCAGUAUUCCUAGAAUAAUUGCUGAUCACUUUCGGCAAUUUGUUGUGUCAUUGACUCCUUUAAAACUGAUCUAAUCACUAAAAUAUAAAUUGUUUAAUUGUUUAAUACAAUUAUUUAUCUUAGUUAUGUAUCUUUGUUGACUAAUCUAUUUGAAUGGUUCUCUAUUGUUGUUUUUUAAAGUUUCAUUUGAGCAGUUAAAUUUGUAUUAUUCUAUUUUCUCUUAGAUAAUGCAUGCAAUUCUUCUUGUUAUGUAGAGAAUAUAUACAUAUCUUUUGGUUAUGUACAGAGUUUAUAUGAAGAUGAAGAAAUUGAUAGGAGAACACUGAAUGCAUUGCUUGUUCCCAAGAUAAAAAUACAUUCCUUGUGUUCGACAAACACAAGGAACAAAUUUCUUGAUACUUUUAGAUUGUAACAUUGUUUUAUUUUGUAGCACUAGUUUUGCACGAAAACUCCGUUAUAAAGUUUGAGCUUAGCAAGAAUGUAUAACAAACUUCAUGAUGCUUUUUUGGUUUGUAACUUAACUAUGAUAGUGUAUCAAGUGCAGUUUUUAAAAUGUGUAAACCAUCCUUUGUUUUCUCCUUAAAAUAUUAUUUUGUAAUUUAUCUUAGUCUAUAAAUUAGAAUAUGUACAGAACUUUCGAUUUUAUGUGUAUGGGAUGGCUUUCAAUGCUCUUGUUAUGCUGGUUCAAGAUUUUGAUGCAAUUGGAAACAAGUAAAUUGAGACUAUUUUUUUGCUUUUGUUAUUUGUGUCAAUGAUGCAAGAGGUUGAAUGUCCAAGGGUUCAUUCAUUUCUCAUUGUGUCAUUUGAUCGUUACUCGAUUCAAAACAAAUAAAUUAAUUUCAAAUGGAAAUUAGAAUUCGACCAGGCAAAAUAAGUUAUUAGUUUGUCUCUUCAAACACAUUACUUAACUGGAACAUAAUUUGUGGUUCUCAAUACCAUAUUUUUGCAGUGUUGUUGCCUUGAAACUUUUUACAACAUAUGGUUAAAUUUGAUGUAACUAAUGUUUAACACAAUUUUUUUUUAUCUACAUUAUUACAUGGUCAAUUACGCUAUGGCAUGUGCGUCUCACUAAUCUAUGAAAAGAGCCCCUAUUGCUUACCUGUUUAUGCUAGCUUGGCCACCAGUGAAGUCAAAAGGUUGCUUCCAAAGAAAAAAUUGAGUAAAUUAAGAAGCCACCUACUAACGGUAGUUGAAUUACAAUUUAUCAUAGAAUGAAAAGGCAAAAAAAUUACUACUAUAGUUAUUGUACCAGGGGCAUUAACACUGUAGGCUGCCUUCAGAGCUAAAAUAUCAAACAACAGAAUUUCAAUUUUACUCUUGAGACCACCUUCAAGAACAUCACACACAAGUUUUUGCUUCAGAAAGGAAAACUUCACCUCCAGACCGUUUUGAAAACAUGACACAUAAUGCAAAAAAAUAAUAUAUAUAUAUAUAUAUAUAUAUAUANNNNNNNNNNNNNNNNNNNNNNNNNNNNNNNNNNNNUAUAUAUAUAUAUAUAUAUAUAUAUAUAUAUUACCAAGAUUUGCUUUAUCCGGUAUCAAACGGGAGCUACGAGUAAAUAGAACACCUUUUAAGAGUAUCAAUACCGUGACAUGAAUUGUAAAUCGUAACUUCGAAUAUGGAAUUCAAAGGGAUCAAUUAGGAAAGGGAUCAAUUAGAGCAACCUUUCGAACUGCUGCUAAAUCCAUGGACAGGGCAUUUUGUACAUGUCGCUAUUCCUAGAUCCAGAGGGAACUAUGUUCGAUGGAAUAAAUUCUUAGAGGUAUUACGCAUCCCCAAGGGUUAGGCCCACUUUUUACCGGUCAGUGGAAUCUUUAUACUCAAAAUCGAUGUUUCCAGUGGCGGACAGGUGAGUAAUGCGUAAGGUGCCCUUGGGAGGGGAACAAUAGCUAGAAACAACUACUAAUACCCCGUAGGCUAAGGAGCAAAAGAAGGAAUCCACCCAAGGAGGGGCUUGCAUCUGAUUAGCUAGUUGGUGAGGCAGUAGCUUCAACCCUUUGAGUGAAAUGCGGCAAAAGAAAAGGAAAGAAGAUCCAUGGACUGGCCCUAUCAUCUUCACCCCGUAGGAACUAUGAGAUUACCCCAAGGGCGCCUUUGGCAUCCAGGGGUCACAGACCGACCAUAGAACCCAGUUCAAUAAGUGGAAUGCAUUAGUUGUCUGUUCUCAGGUUGGAUAGUAAGGGUUGGAAAAGGGCAAUCACUCAUUCUUAAAACUAGCGUUCUUAAGACCAAAGAGUCGGGUGGAAAGGGGUGAAAGCUCUCCGUUCCUGGUUCUCCUGUAGCUGGAAUCUCCGGAACCACAAAAAUCCUUAGUUAGAAUGGGAUUCUAACUCAGCACCUUUUGAGUGAGAUUUUGAAAAGAGUUGCUCUUUGGAAAGCACAGUACGAUGAAAGUUGUAAGCUGUGUUCGGGGAGAAGUUAUUGUCUAUCGUCGGCCUCUAUGGUAGAAUCAAUCAGGGAGACUGAGAGGUGGUGGUUUACCCUGCGGCAGAUGUCGGUGGUUCGAGUCCGCUUAUCUCCAACUCAUGAACUUAGCCGAUACAAAGCUAUAUGAUAGCACCCAAUUUUUCCAAUUCGGCGGUUCAAUCUAUCAAAAUGUAGGACUGGUGCCAACAGUUCAUCACGGAAGAAAGGACUCACUAAGUUGAGAUCACUAACUAAUACUAUAUAUAUAUAUAUAUAUACUUAGGCAUACCACAUCUAAAUGUAAUAGUUUUCUAUUCACUUAUAGAUGUUUCUUUUUACAGUUACAUUUUACAUUUUUUUUAAAACUGAAAUUAGUUAGGAUGGUUACAACUUUGUGCAAGAUUAUAACUGUUGCAAUGUGACACAAAUUUUAGUGGGUAUUGGAGUCCAAGUUGAGGUGGUCUUGAAGAGAUCAAAAUUAUGGAUCGAGAAGAAAAUUUGUCCUAUUUUUUCUAGUCUGUUGCUAGCUAGAUGCUCAAGCGACACCAACAGAAUUUCAACAGAAAGUUCACGCUCAUGUGUCACCCGCCCGAUGCUCGAAAGGCGAGGCUAUCGCUCAUCUGUCGCUAUAGGGUUUCCUGAAUUUCGCAUUUUGACGCAUUAUGGACUUCUAUUUGACUGUAAUUUGGUUUCUAGGAUUUUGUAUACAUAAGCCAUGACUUAUAUUGUUCUCAAAACAUUCAUACAAUAUCGUGAGAACUUCAGAUCUUAAUUGGAAGCAUUGAGAUUUUGUUGUAAACAGAAUCGUUAUUGAUUAUAGUGGAUUUCUCCUCUUCUGGCCGUGAUUUUCCCAUCUUAGAUUUCCAUGUAAAUCUUAGUGUUCUUUAUUUUGUUCUUAUUUAUUUUAUUAUUGUCAUAAUCUUUUGGUCAAAUUCAUAACAAGUGGUAUCAAAGCAAAGGUUGAUUACUAUGCAUCACAACGAUAAAGUAUGAUAUUUCAUUAUUUGAUCGAUAUACGAGAUUUAGUUUAUGGUAAGUGAAUAUGCGGGCAGUUCCACAUAGAUGGAUUUGGAGGAAGUCUUACUUAUUUUUGAUAAGAUACCUUCAACCUAGAUGCAAGGAAAAAAAUUGCAUAGGGAUCGAAAAGCACAAUCUUAAAUUCAUCUACAUCUAUCAAAAUCAAAUUCUUUAGAAUGACUUCAAGGAAAAAAGGGCCACUGUGUUAUGAUUGAAGUUGGAGCAACUUUGUAGGCCAAAGAGCUUGAUUACACUUAAAAAAGAGCUUGUAUUCUCACCAAAUGUCCGAAUGUGUGUCAUUGGAUUAUCAAUUAAUCAUGUUCAAAGAAAUAAUAGCCAAUUUGGUGAUAUUGGAGAUUAAGUAUGAUGAGGAAGACCUGACAUUGAUUUGUUGUGUUAAUUGUCGCUGUCACAUGCAACUUUUAGAAAUACUAUUCUCUAUAGUCGAGAUAUUCUCACCAUAGAAGAAGUCUAUGAUGCUUUAUUACCUAAGAAGAAGAUGGGGUAUCUUGUUGGAGCAUCUGGGAGUUGAGCUGAGGGCCUCAUUGAUCGUGGAAGAAAACAAGAUAGGAAUUAUGGUAGAAAUAUGAGAGGCAGAUUGAAAUCUAGACAUGCAGAAAAAGUGUGUCAUUACUGUAAGAAGAAGAGACAUAUUAGGGCUGAUUGUUUUUCUUAAAAAAAACUAGAAUAAGGCUGCUAGUGCUACUAAAAGAAAAGGCAACCUACUAACACAGCAAAAGUUGAUUUUGUGGAAGAUGGGCAAAAUAAAGGAGAGCUUCUUGUGAUUUCUGAUAUGGAUUCCAAACCUUGUGAAGGAUGAGUUUUUAACUCGGCUUGUACUUUACAUAUGUGUCACAACAGGGACUGAUUUACAACAUGUGAAGGAGUUUCGAGAGGUGUAGCAAUUAUGGAAAAUAACACACCUUGUAAAAUAGUUGGAGUUGGAACAGUCAUAAUCAAAAUGUUUAACGGUGUAAUCAAAACACAUACUGACAUGCGACAUGUUCGAGAACUGAAGCGAAAUCUCAUUUCUUUGAGUACACUUAACUCAAGGGGUUAUAAUUACACUAGUGAAGGUGAAAUUUUGAAGGUAACUCAUGAUGCUCUUCUUGUCAUAAAGGGACAGGGAAACUCUACACAGUUGUGUACAUUUUGCAGGAUUACACAAUUAUAGGAGAUAGAAAGUUACAAAACUUUGGCAUAUGCGACUUGGCCAUAUGAAUGAGAAUGAUAUGACAGAAUUGAGUAGGAGGGAGCUUCUUAAUGGGCAGAAAACUAGUAGGAUGAAGUUUUGUGAGCACUGUGUCUUUAGGAAACAAAAAAAGGGCCAAAUUUACUACUGGAAGACAUAAUACGUUGGGAUACUUGAAUAUAUCCAUUCAAAUCUUUAAGGAUCGACAAAGGUACCUUUGAGAGGAGGUGCUUAUUAUUUGUUAAUCGUGAUUGAUGAUUUCUCUAGAAAAGUUUGGGUAUUCUUCUUAAAACAAAAGAGUGGUGUGUUUGAGACCUUCAAAAAAUGUAAAACAAUGAUAAAAAAGCAGGCUGGAGAAAAAAUUAAGCGUCUACGUACAUAUAAUAGGUUGGGGUUCUAUUCGGAUGAAUUCAAUAGUUUCUAAAGGCAUCUUGAGACACUUAACAGUGCCUAAAUCUCCUCAAUAGAAUGAUGUGAUAGAACAAAUGAGUAGAACUUUGAUGGAAAAUGUUCGUUGUAUGCUUUCAAAAAAAAUUUAUGCUAGGUGAACUUGAAAAAAAAUUAUGGUAGGUGACUAAUGGAUAUGAAAUUUGAAGAGACAAAAAUACAUUUUGUUUAGUUAAGAAAAGAAAAGGAAUGUUUGGAAGAUAAAAUGGUCAAAUUAGUUACAGAGAGAGUAAUUCUUGUGAUAUAUUUAUGUGAUGCAUAAAUGUAAGUGAUAAGUUUUAUGCUAUUUAUAUGUUUUUUUAAAUAUUUUUGUAUUUUCAAUUUUUAUUAAUUUUUUGUGUUUACAUAUAAUAAUUAUAUUUUAAAGACUUUCAUACAUAUAAUUUUCAUUUUCUUCAAUAAUCGCUUACCUCACCUAUACUCAGGGCCGCCACUGAUUAGAAAAGUGUAAAUGCCCCUAUUUUGUCUAGCUAAAAAUUAUAUGUUUAAUAGAUUUUAAUAAAAGUCAAUUAAAUGUGUGAUAGAAAAGUUGUGGAUUCCGUAAAAUGUGUGAUUAAUUAAUUUGAGAAUGGAAGUCAAACAUAAAAACAUAAAUCAAUGUAUAAAAGUUUGGACAACUUCUCUUAAUGAUGUUGACAAUUUAAGAUAGAAUUACAAGUCUAUGGAGUGCACUCAACUUGCACUUUUUAUUUUUAUUUCAAUUUUAAUAUUAGAUGUAGUGACCAAGAAAAUUAUUUGAAAUUUUUGUCAUAUAAACAAUGUUUCUAGCAUCCGAAACAUUUCACAAGAGUUUGCAUGAAGGCUUAGCUAUAGCAUAUGGUAAUCUGCAUGCAACUUUGUCAAGUUGGAAUUCAAAAUUCAAUUGUCUGCAUGCAACUUUGUCAAGUUGGAAUUCAAAAUUCAAUUGUUCUCUCACAUCGAGUCACAAAUCUCGUGUAUCACAUUAUUUCUAUUCACUUUUUAUAAUGAUAUUAGAUGGAGCAAAGAAAGUAGAAAUCCUGCUUUUUAGCCGCAUUUUAAAGUAGAAGGAAGCUACUUAUUUAAAAACAACGUUUUUUAGAGUUGAUUUUUUUAUUCAACAAACACAACUAAACAUGUAGUAUAGAAAAAUGGGUACAAACUGAAAAUAUACUACAAAACAUGGAUGCAGAAAAUCAAAUAUUACAAAAGAGACUUCAGCUAGAAACAUACUAAUCUAAGACAACAAGAAAGGUUGAGAAACAUUCUUAUAAGAAAUAUUAUCAAGAUCCUUCAUCAAAACAAUUUCAGAAUCCCAAUAAUAUUAUAAAUAUCUAUUUAUACACUACUAGAAAAGGUGGCCAUAGAAACGGAAUUUUACAGACCGACAACUUUCGUUGCUAUUAUCGACGGAAUUACAACAAAUUAGCAACGGAUUACCAUUUUAUUAUUAUUAGAAAUUAAAUACUAACUUAAGGACAGAAUUACCAACGGAAGAUUUUUGUUGAUACAAUUUUGUUACUAAUUCGUCGGUAAAAAUUUAAAAAUAAUAAAUUAAAUAAUUUAGUGAAAUUUUUUUAAAAUGGAUGAUUUCGUUGAAAAAAAUAUUAAAAAUGGUAAAAUAAAUUACCAACAGAAAAAAUCUGUUGGUAAACAUUGAAAUUAAAUUUUUAAAAGCAUUACAUAGUUACCAACGAAAAGUUCCGUCAGAAAAUUCAAAAAGUUCCAAUUUCCACCUAAAAUUUGACUUGCCUCUAAAAUUUUCAUUUCCCUCCAUCCAAUUUUCACUCAAAUAUUUCAUUUCUUCCAAAACACAUUGCCACCCUCUUUCUAUAUCUUUCAAAAAAUAUUAUAAAAUUUUGAUUUAUAAAAGAAUAGAAACCCCAAAAGGUAAAUCAGAUAUCCAGGUACAAACAAGGUACUGCAACUCUUUCUCCACUAACAUUACUCCACUCACUAUUUUUGACUUCCUCCACUGACAUUACUCAACUUUACACACUACCUCUCUCUUUCUCUGUUCCUUUCUACUCACACUUGCACACUUGCACAUAUACAUAUAUACAAUAGAGACAGACAUAUACAUAGAUGUUAGAAGUCGGUGGUAGAUAGUUCUUCUAGGAUGGCUGUGCUUUUUAUUCCAACAAUAAUAAUUUCUAUAAUAUCCUCCAACUUGCUAGUAAACAUAUGAAGAUGAAGCUUGGUAUAAGUAAAUCCCGGAAUAUUCUAGAAAUUGAGUAAAAACGAAUUAAGGAAUCACACCAAUGUUCUGGAAAUUCUUGUGAGUCGGUGGUGUAUCUUCAUUUGCUGCUUCAUAUUUGCAUCUAUGAUUCAAUCCUCCUCUCAACACUCUAUUGUUUCACUGUAUUGUUGUGAUGGAUAAGAAAUCUAGCGAAAAACUAGCCUUUUCUGCUGUAUUUUGUGAAGAACAUAAAUCUAAUCAUUUCAUACGUUUUCCUUGCCCAAUCUAUGCUUGAAUGUUUGAUUUCUGUUGACGACUACAAAAAAUAAAAAAUAAAAAAAUAUAUAUUGUGGUGUCAUCUGAUCCCACAUGACCCCAUGAGUGUCCGUCCUUGCCCUUCACCCUCUACCUCCCAUCUCCAUUUCCGCCACUCCUUGCAGAAGAAUUAGAUUACAAAAAAUGAAUGGGCUGCUUGCUUCUUGGAUGAUCUUGAUUAUUUAGUGAGGGAGAAAAUGGAACUUGAAAUUAAGGAAUGUUUACAUUAUUCUAUUCGAUUUCGGCCUUUUUUUUUUAAAAAACUUUAAUGUAUGAAGUUUUUCGAGAAAAUAAUUAUUAAAAUAAAAUCAUAUAUUUUUUUAAUAUUUUAAUUCAAACUAGCGAUGAAAAUCUGUUGGUAAUCAUCAACAGACAGAACCUGUAGUUAAUUUGCAAUGGAAAAAUUUGUUGCUAAUUAGUGGCGGAAUAGCUGUUGGUAAACACCGACGGCUUCUUCCGUCACUAAAUAACUAACGACCUAGGUAAUUCGUCGCUAAAAUUUGCGACGGGGGUGUUACCGACGAAUUUUCCAACUGAUCAAUUCAUUUGUGAAAGUCAUUAGCAACGGAAAUUUCAGUCUCUAAAGCCACAUUUUUUUGUAGUGAUAGUAUGUGUAGCUUAAAUCACAUCAGUUGCUAUGCUAUUCUAAGCAAAAGUACAAGAAAUAUUUAUCUAGGUCGGGACAUCUCACUAAAAUUUUGAAAGAGAGGCAAUGCACGGAAGAUGAAGCUCAAAUUUUGCGAAUUAGUCUACCCUUGACAUGGGAAUUAAAUUGCCAUUGGCAUGCAACCAAAACCAGAUCCAUAUAUUUCUUUAAGAGGCAAAUAUAUCGUCACUGGUCUUUUCAUGCAUCAUUGAGUCAUUUGCAAGAUUAGACACAACAUAUAUUCCACAAUUAGCAAGUCAUUUGGUUGAAAAUGAAUUCAAAAUUACAACUACAGCUAAAUAAUUUGCAAGAUCAACAUUCAGCAACGCAACUUAUUUGGAGAAAAGCUGAUAAGUAAAUUUUUACUCAUAAUGAGUGCUUAGAUUUUAUUAUCUUUAUAAUAAUUACUUGAAAAUCAGCUUCACCGGAGAGGUUCUAUUCACAUUGAAGAUGAGCAAUAUUGUACCUGAGCUGGAGGACGAGGUUUCUUCAGACAUGUGUCGAGCAGUCAUAGGAUUAGGAUUCUGUCUGAAAGUCAAAGGAGAUGAUUGUGAGAUAGCUACUAAUUCUACAUCCUGGAAGAUAGAGGGAGAACAUCCUUGAGUGGCAACUACUUCAUCAAAUUCACGACCUUUGGAUUAUUCUGGAUUUUCAAAAUUAGAAACACGUGCUUCAAAAUAUGAAGAAUCCACAACUAUCUCGAGUUGUUGGCUCAAAAUAUAAAGACACCUGUCACACUGAUCAACUUUUCAUAGUUCUUGUUUAACACAUCUGGAGAGCAUUGUGAAAAAUGCUUCCUGUUCAAACAACAUCAAAGGGCCAGUCACUUAAAAACAAGGACCAAAGUUUUUGGGAUCUCAAAAUUAUUCAGUCAAGUAAUUAUAAGGAUUAUAGUAGAAACCCAACAGUUUUAACAAGAAAUUUCAAUUGAAUGAAAAACAUAAUCUAUGAAAGAGAAUGCUAUCACAUACCUAUUUUUGCUAGCUUCCUCACCAGGGAAGUCAGAAGUUGGCUUCCAAAUAGUACGUUUUCUGGGUUGUGGAUUGGUCUCUAUGAAGAAGAUGGGUGUCCGAGCCAACUGCACCAACGAAAGAUUGAAGGUAAAGUAAAAUGAGAAGCCACCUAUAAAUGGUAGUUGGAAUACAUUUUAUCUGUGGAAUGAAAAAAGAUAAAACAAUUACCACUAUAGUUAAUGUGCUAGGGCCGUUAUCACUACAAGUUGCCUUCAGAGCUAUAAUGUCAGACCACAGAAUUUCAAUUUUACUCUUGAGACCACCUUCAAGAACCUCUCACACAAGUUUUUGCUUUGUAAAGUAACACUUCGCCAUGAGACUGUUUUGAAAACUUGACACAUACUGCCAAAGAUAUUAUAUAAGUAACAUACUAUAGGCAUAACACAUAUCUAAAUGUAACAGUUGUCUAUUCACCUAUAGAAGUUUCUUCCUACAGUUAGAUAUAACAUUCUUUUUUCUUCUAAAAGUUCAUUUAGUUAGGAUUAGUAAAUGUUUGUGAGAGACUGUAAUUGCAAUGGGUCUCAAAUGAUAAAUGGUGAAAAGAUAUGUUAAAGUUAUGAGUCAUACGGAAUGUGUGCAUAAAAAUAGAGUUUAACCAAUUUAUAAGUAAUUGUCGUUAUAAGCUUUGAGAAACAUGCACUUAAUCAAGUAUAGUCAACUCAUAGCACAUACAUUUUAGUUGACCGUGGGAAACUCUAGGUUCUUAGCUUAAGGAGUGUGAUUUUGAAAAAAAAAAUUAAAAAAAAAAUUAUUGUUGCAACGCUAUGUUGUUGAUUUUUUCCUUAAAUUGAUUUCAUAUUUAUCACCCCAGACUAGUUAAUGAAAUGCAUUCUUGAAAUACGAUCCUCUGACCAUGAUAUGAUUUCAAAAGUUGAUACCUGCCAAAUGCCAAUCCUCAAUAGUGAAGCUGGAAAAUUUGAAGCCUUUAACUUGUCAUUUGCACCUGAAGUGAUAGUUCUCCUUGCGUCAUUUUGGAUUGGCGAGUUGAGAUUUUUACUAGAUUUCGCUGUAAGAGAAGCACUAUUUUCCUCGGAGAGCCUCUUCUCGAUCAAUUCUAAUAAAGAUUGAGUCUUGUUCAACCGCAAGCCCAAAGGACUAGGCUCAUGAAGUGGACUGCACUGUGAUGAAGGCCUUGAAGAUUCAUGGUCCUCAGAGCUCCACUGUCAUAGAAAAACCAAAAAUUUUAAAAAAGGAAAAAAUAACAAACAGAACAGAUUUUAUUAGAUUGAAAAGUCAAGUUUAAGAUAAAGAAGAUUCUUAAGUGCCAAUAAAAAUAGAAAUAUCAAGCCAGCUAAUUCAAGGACAUCUUUUAUCAUAUUUUACAAUAUUGUUAACUGCACGUAUUUCUUUCCACGAUAGAUGCUCUCAACUCAACCGCUAACAUGAACCGCGUAACUUAUUUCAUACUAGACACAUAUUGAAGGUGUAACACCUGUGAAUUUAAAAUAAAUUAAAGCAUACACGUGUACACCUACACCUUAUCCCCACUACUUACCUAAAAUGCGGAAACUAAAAUUUUAAAUAUGCUAGUCAGUGGUUGCUGAUACAAUCAUCGACGGUGGUUGCCACUGGUGAUCCUCAAUGCGCUUCAGUCAUCACUUACGGAUCUUCAUGCUAGUGAUCAACAGCCGAAGCACUAUCGGUGAUUGUUUGUGAUGAUCAUUUAAUACAAGGAAGAAAUGGUAUACAAAAUAGAUUUUAUUACUGAAAAGUGAAGUUUAAUAUAAGUAAAAUUUCUUAAAAUUUUCAAUAUAAAUAGAGAUCUAAGCCAUCUAAUUCAAGGCUAUCUUUGAUCAUUCUUAACAAUUGUCAUGUAGGGCACAAGUUUUUGCUACAAUAGAUGCGGUCAGCUCAACCACUAACAUGAACCGCACAACUUAUUUAAUACAACACCCAUGUGUAACACCCGCAAUGAAAUAAAUUAAAGUAUACACAUGUACAGAAUAACCCUCAUUCCCACCGCUUAUCCAAAAUGUAGAAACAAAAAGUUUCCAUAUUCACGUCAGUGAUUGCUGAUAAAAUCACUCAUCAGUAAUCCCCUUACAGAGCUUUUUGUUGGUUAUCAAUAACCGAAUCACUAUCAGUGGUUGCCGACAAUGUCAUCAAUGCUCCUCAGUCAUCGUUGACGGAGGAUCAUUGGUGAUGAUCAUUUUGUCCAUUAACUUUUUAUUAUUUUUUCUCAAGGACUCUAUCAACCAUUUUUAUCUAAGACUACUGAAGUUGAUUGAGCCACCUCUGCUAUGCAGAAGCCAAUUUUUAAAUAAUACUUCUUUGAAAAUCUUUUAUUUUCUUAUUGUUGUUAUACCUCUUUUCACUUCUAAUUCUUUUUUUUUUUUUUAAACACUAAAGGAAAACAAUCUAACAAUGAUUUUAAAUAAUAUUACUGGGGUUCUCCCAAUAAUUAAAAAGUAUAGAAUACCUAAAUCUAACUGGGGUUUGCGGGGGUGGAGGAAUUGGAUCUGGAAAAAGAGUUACUAAUUGUAAAAAUUGGUUAGAAGCUAACAGAUAAUAACAUUGAGUAAACAUCCAAAAUUAACUAUGAAAAAAAAGAUUAAAAGACUUCAAAAAACCACCAAAAAGACAAAAACCAAACCUGGUUCACAACAGAUGGUGAUGGAUUUUGUGAAGAGCGAGAUCAUAGACGCCCAUAUUCUCCUUUUGACGACUUAUCCAUGUUCAUCACACUCGUAUUGCUUCCGUAAAAGGUAUAGUUUCAAAACACUUCAUCAGCUGAACCAUGCAAUUCAACCAACCAAAAAAAAUGUUAAUUCUUUCACAGAAAUGCGAAAUUUUAUGUUGUAACCAAAAAAUAUCAACAAUGCAUCUAGUGCAUAACUAUUUCUUCAAAAAUGCAGGCAGCUUUUUAUCUACAUUUGCGUAGAGAGAGAUUUUUCACUGAAUAGAAGCCAUACAUGUAACUGUGAGCUUUUUUCUAGAAUUCAAGUCCAAACUUACAUUUGUAUGUGCAAAUAUAUAGACUCCAGAAAUCCUUUAUGCAAAUAUAUAGACUCAGCAAAUUAACAUUUGUAUGCGCAAAUAUAAUUUAAGAGUAUCUUCCAAAGAGUCUCUAUUUAAUAUUUAUAAAGAACAUUUUAUACAUAAUAAAAAAAUAUCUUUAAAUUUAGAGAUGGGAUUCUUAUACACUCAAACAAUGUUCCCUAUUUUGACUUUUUGAUUUGCAUUUUUUGAAGAAAUAUUUAUCAUUUUUUCGCAUAUUUUUUUAUAUGUGAAUGAUCAAUUAAUUUUAGCUCAUAUUUGGUUCUACUAGAAAAUUAAUUAAAUUGAAGUCAAAUAUUCUAAAAAUCUAAUUUUUAUCUAAACCAAAUAAAAGCUAAAUGUGAUUUGAAUAAUUUAAGAAGAAUAGUAUUGAAAUAUGUUGCUUAUUAAAUGCAACUAUUGUUACUAUUAUAACUUUAUUUUAAAAAAUUAAAAUAUAAUCUUUUGGAGUUUUUUUUGAGUAUUGACUCUCUAAAAUAGAGAACGUGUUGUAUUUACUAUUUAGAGAGUCUCUUGUAGAUGUUCUAAUAGGGUAUUACUUCAAAAUUAUUGUUGUGACUUAAUUAUUCUUAAUGCAAGUGAUAUAGAGGAAAAAUAUGAACUACGUUAAUAAUGAAUUAAUGAAGCAUGUUAGGGUGGGUUUAUUUUAAACUUUAUUCCUACACUCUAGUGCCUAUCCUUGUGUUUUGAUGUCUAAAUUGGAGAUAGAGGACACCUUGCUGACUAUGAUGUUUGCGGCAUGAAAGCCCUAUAGGUAGCUUUCCACGAGGUAGAGCAGAAAUUUACCCGGAAAUUUAAGGCUAGAUAUGACGAUCUCAAGAUAUUUGAUGGUCAAUUACCCAAAUUGAAGGUGCUUGUGGAAUCACAAGGACUCCCCUGAUGAUGAGUCACAGUCAAAGAGUUCUACGGAUGCAUGAACUCAGGAAUAACGAUGACAUUCAUAUAAUGACUACUAUCGUGAUUUUUCUUACAAAUAUAUAGAUCAUAAACAAGCAAUAAAAGAUGAGCAUGGUAUCGUCCUAUGAUGAUUGGAUCUCAAUUGUAGUUUAAUUAAAAAUAACCCUAAUAAAACACAAAGAUUUAAGAAGUUGGUUUGUGUUUUAGUUUUUCUAAUUAAGAGCAAAAUUAAGCAAUUUCAAACAUAUGAGUUUUGGUCACACGGGUGGUAUGCGAAGGUUUCUAAUUGCCUAUAAUUGUUGUUGCACUUGCCUUAGAUGAACUAAAAUUAAAUGAACAAACCUAGGACUCAAGAACCCGGGAUUAUUCAUCCAAAAAGCCUAAUCGAGGGGCUAAAAAAUUAGGCCGUUCCACUAUGUGCAGCAAGCACCCCCACAAAGAGAGCAAAGUAUAUCGAAACAAAUAAGAACCAACUUUUUAGUUGUAGAUCCACAAGAUCUCAUAAAGUUAACCCCAACUUACAACGUAUCAAACCAGUGGGGGCGGGAAAAAAAUUAGUGCGGGCAAAAUUUACUGUUAAAUUUGAAGUAUAAAAAUGAAAAUUCUCUUUACAACAAAGAGACUUGUACGACUAAUUUUAUGACAAACCACACUUUCUACUUCAAUAAUUUAAUAUUUCACUUCCAAUAAUUUUAUCGAGCAGCCCAUUUUUCUCUCACACUAUUUCUCCCAAAAAUUUGUAGAAUGUUAGUGGACAUUUUUAUCUCACGCAUUAUUUUCCCACCGCUUUUCUCCUAGCCACUAUUUAUACCAGAAUUUUGUAGAAUGGCAGUGGACAGUGAAUUCUACAUAUUAUUCAAUUCUUGCAUCAAGAAAUGAGAGUAAAUAUGAAAUUCCAUGACAUCACAAAAAGGCGACGCUGCAUCAUCAUUCACAGUUACAGAAAGGUGAGUGUGGGCACCGGUCUACACUGGACUGUAUAUGGCUCUGCCCUCAUAUUAGACUAAAAUGAGCCCUAUACUGAACCAUACGGUUUAUGUUUAAGAUUUUAUUUUUUUCAUCAUUUAAUAUGCCCUUGUUUGAGCUUCAUUUUUCUAAAAAAUUAUUUUUUCAAAAACUAUUUUCAUCAACACAUUCUCCAAUAAAAUAAUAUUACUUGUAAAUCUAAAUCUAAAACUAAAUCCAAAACAACACAUUCUUUAUCAAUCUUCUGUUCCAAUAUGCUUUCUUUCUUCCAAAAUAGGGCUCAAACAAGGGCAUAAUUUAAUUUUGUCAAAGUAAUGUUGUGAUUAGAUGAUUGAAAAUAAUUAUAGGGGACAUGGACAUAUAACGAGCACCAUGUGGGAGAGUAAAAAAAAUUAUAUUUGUAUCUUAUUUGAUGAAAAAUAUUCGGAUUAAAAAAGUUAGAUGAUCGAUCUAUACACCAAACAAAUAGAAGAUAUAGAAAUAGUACAAAGGAGAGGAAAUUAUAUGCUGAAGGUAAUUUUUACUUGCUUUUUUUUCUGUCAUGAUAUGAGAAAAUAAAUAAUAUAAAGAAGCACUAAAUGGUUAUAUUUUGUUACGUGAUACUUUUCGUAAAUAUUAAAUAUAAUUGUAGUAAUUUUUUUUCUUUAAGUUUCUUAUUUAAUUGAAAGAUCGGUUGUACAUUAAAUUGAGCACAAGAUACUCAAAUUUCAUUACUAUAAUGGGAACUUUUGACGGUACGUAAAUGGCGAGAAUGUUAACGGUGUGAAUUAAGUUUAACAUGUAUUAUGUUUAUAUGACCUACAAGCUAAUAAUCUAAAAAUUCUUUGUCAAACCAUAUUUUGGACUCGAAUUAAUUUGCUAAAAGUGAGAAUGUUUUCCUCCAGUUGUCUAGGUUAUGAGAUAAAUUUCAUAUCGAAUAAAGAUGAAAAUAUAAUUAAGCAAAUAAAAGUUUGGACUACUUCUAUUUAUAAUGUUGACAUUUCAAGAUAAAAUUACUAGUGCACUCAACCUACACUUUUAAUUUUUAUUUCAAUUAUAACACUAGGCUUGUUUAUAUUUAGUCCCUAUUUGGUCAAAAUUAAAAUCAAGGUUUUAUUCAAGUCAAAGGCAACAAUUAAUUUUGGUCGCACAUUUCAUGAACCCACAACUUUUCAACCAAACAUUUUAUCAACUUCUAUUGAAAUCUACUAAAAAUCUAAUAUUAAUCCUCACCAUAUAGGAGGCGUGGUAACAAAAAUAAUGAUGUGACCAAGAAAAAACUUUGGAAUUUUUGUCAUAUAAACAAUAUUUCUAGCGUUCCAAAUAGUCUAAAAGAGUAUGCAAGAAAACUUAUCUAUAAAUAAUAUACGGUAAUAUACAUUCAACUUUGUCAAGUUGGACAAAAAUUUCAAAAUUUUAAUUGUUUUCUUACAUCGAGUCAUUAAUCUCAUGUAUCACGUUAUUUCUAUUCACUUUUAAUAAUGAUAUUAGAUGGAGCAAAGAAAGUAGAAAUCCUACUUUUUAGCUGCAUUUUAAAGUACAUUGAAGUUACUUAUUUGAAAACAACCUUUUUAAUGUUGAUUUUUAUAUCCAACAAACACAACUAAGCAUGUAGUAUAGAAAAAUGGGUACAAAUUGAAAAUAUACUGCUACAUUUUUCUAUCGCAGGUGUACGAUAUCAAAUAGGUAAAAGAGUAGACCUAUGAGUACGGAUAUCGUUUCCACGAAAACUACUAUUUAACAAUUGAUUCAAUUAUUCUUAACUUGAAUUUGAUAGAAAACAAACAAAGUAGUUUUUUUCCCUCUUUUUGUGAUUUUCUCUUUUAAAUAUACUAAAAUAAGUAAAAAGCUGAUUUUUUAAUAAUGGUUUAAGUGUUAGGAUUUAUAUUUUACCAUGGUUAUUCUUUAAUCUCAAUUACAAAGUUUUAUACAAGUGAUUAUGUUUACUCGAUUGAAUUCUUUUAAUAUAUUCAAUUUACCUCUCUCGACUUCUCAUUGAGUCUAUUUAAAUAAUUCAUUUUGUAUCUCUAUGUGAAUCAAUCUUAAUUAAACACACUUAUGUUAUAAGAAUUCUUGUAACGAUCACAAUAACUAUUAUAAGUAUCUCUACGUUUUAUACUAUUUACCGACUUUUACUACGUGGUGUAAACUAAUAAUCCACAUCUCUAUGUAAUAAUUGUUCACGGAAUCAAUAAAUUAGUGGCCAAUUAAUCUAAGCAUUAAGAAUAGAAGUAAAAACAAUUCUCAAAAUCUAAAACUUUUUAAUUAAAAUUAAGAUUCAAAACUAGGUUACAAUCAUUCAUCCUAACUAAAUAUUUAAUUACACAUCAUGGAAAAAUAAAAAUACGAGAAGAAAUUAAAGUACAUCAAUGGGCAUUAAGAAAAAACAAGAAAAGAUGAAGAUCUUGCACCAAGAAUCCGUCUCAUCUUGUGAAAUUCUUAAAACCCUAGCUGCUUGAUUGAUUUAUUGAUUUUUCCCUCAUGGCUUGAAUAAUUUAUGUACAAUGAAUCCCAAAGUCUUGACUUGAAUAUAUGUGUAUAACAUAACUCUACAAUCCCCUUUUAAUUGUUAGACUGAGAUAUUUAUUUAUAGAAAAGAUUUAUGCAAAAUCCUUGUUCAACUUGAUUUCCACCAAAGAGUUUAAAUUGGUUUCUACUAAAAAGUUCAAAUUAGUUUCUACCAAAAAGUUUAAGAUAUAAAAGGAAACAAAUUCCUUUUUCAAUUGAAUUACUUUUCUCAUGCAACUUAAUUCCUCCAUCUUCUUUUAUUUUGUAAUUAGGAUCCCUUCAUUCCAGAAAUCAUAAUAGUUUGACCCAAGACAAGUUUUGAUGUUUGUAAAUCAGUCCUCAAACUUUUCAAAGGUUGAUUUUAACUCCUGAAACUUAUGAAUUUUUACCGUAUGCUCCAUUAAUAUUUUCAAUAGAUCUCUUGCAAUAUGGUUAAUCUUCAAUUGCUUCAAAUCAACUCCAAUUAAACUCCAAAUAGCCUAUUUUCAUAUAAAUUUAUCAAAAUAGGGAUUGUUAUACAAUUUAAAUAAUUUACACGAAUGAAGUAGAUAAUCACACAAUUUAUAUAUAAUUAAAUAAGAAUAUAAGUCCGAAUAAGCACAUAAAAUGCACUUAUUAUCAUGGACGAAUCCAGGAUCAAAGUCCAGCUGGCGGGUUGACUGUUGACCACGAUCCUAAUAGUUCGAUUAUUUAUUAAAAUUUGGUUACAUAAUAUUAAAAGAUAUUAAAUAUAUAUAUGUAAAUGAACUAAAACAUCAAAAUCAUAUACAUAUGAAAAUAUACUUCAAUACAACCUAAAAUAGUAAAAAAAAAUAUACUCUGUAACUAUAAACUUAGACAACUGCAUUUUACAGGUUCCCAUGAUUUAAAAACAUUGAAAUAUUGCCUCAUUCUCAAGUUUUUUUUUUUUUUAUAAAUAUCUUUCUUCACAUAAACCACCAAAUUGUCAUUCAACCAGUCAUUUCCUAUUUUGUUGCACAAAUCACUCUUGAUUAGAUUUAUAGCAGAAAAUGCCCUUUCAAAAGUUGAUUAGACUCAUAGCAGCCUAUAAACCAAUGGAAAAUAAUAGAAACUUCUAGUUUCAACCAACUUCUGAGCUACACAAGAUAUACUAUUAAGAUUAAAGAAAGCUUUGUCCAUUCUCACAAGCAUAAGAAACUUAUCAAGUUGAGGUCUAAGUAAUAAAAACUCUUCACUAUUGAAGUCCAAAGGAUAGAACUGAGCAAGACGCAGCAAUUUAUCCUUAUCAAAAGCUGCAAAUGAGUCUCUUGGACUUGAAAUGCAAGUAAAGAGCUCAGUAAUUGUUUCUGAAAAACGAUCAAUCAACUCUUGCAAGAUUGAGUUUAUACAUGACAGUACAUAUCAACAUAAAAGCGAUGAAAAUAAGCCACCUGCUGAGCUACAUGCCUAGGUUGACCUUUCACAACUACAAUAUCCUCCAUUUCGGGCACUAAAAUAUGUCUAUCAACACGAAACUCAAUCACCCUACUCAAUAAAGUAUCCCAACCAUUGUCUCUCGAGUUCUGCAAUACACACACAAAUUCAAUAACCUCAUAGAAUGCUGAAUAUCCUGAUCCUUUUUCUAUAAGGCUUGCAAAAGGUCGUCUGUAGUUGCAAGAAUUUCAAACAUAAAGUGGAGAUUAAACACAAACUCAAAAUCUUGCGAAGUGUCCAUCUGUCUUGUGGCCGAAGAAUUUUUAUUUGAAUGUAUGCCUUCUUCUGAUAUAUUCUUAAGAACAUCUAUGACAGCAUUAAACAUAUUAAUGAAACAAGCAAUUGUUGGUAGAUGUGAGCCCCACCUAGUAUCACCUGAACGUGGUGAACACAUUUCUUGAAACGACUAUUUCCACCAGAAAGUUCCCCAAUAUUAAACUUCCCUAGAAUAUUAGAACGAUAACUUGCUUGCAGAGCAUCUACACGCUUACAUAAUGUACCAACCAAAUUCACAAUAAUAGCAAGUAUGUUGAAAAAAUCAUCAAGCAUACAAUUCCUACGUGUCACAGAUACAACUGUCAACUAAAGCUGGUGAGCGAAGCAAUGAACGUACAUAGCAUGUGAGCCCCAUCUAGUAUCAUUUGGGUGUGCCAAACUCAUUUCUUGAAACUGACCACUUCCACCAGAAAGAUCCCCAAUAUUAAGCUUCUCCAGAGUACUAGAAUGAUAACUUGCUCGAAGAGCAUCUACACGCUUAUAUGAUGUACCAACCAAAUUCACAAUAAUAGUAAGUAUGUUCAAGCAUACAAUUCCCACGUGCCACAGAUACAACUGCGAAUUGAAGCUGGUGAGCAAAGCAAUAAACAUACAUAGCGUGUGAGCCCCACCUAGUACCACCUGGGCAUGCCAAGCUCAUUUCUUGAAACUGACCACUUCCCCUAGAAAGUUCUCCAAUAUUAAGCUUCUCCAGAAUAUUAGAAUGAUAAAUUGCUUGGAGAACAUCUACACUCUUACACGAUGCACCAACUAAAUUCACAAUAAUAUCAAGUAUGUUGAAAAAAUCACCAAGCAUACAAUUCCUACGUGCUAUAGAUUCAACUGCCAACUGAAAUUGGUGAGCAAAACAAUGAACAUACAUAGCGUGUGAGCCCCACCUAAUAUCACCUGGGUGUGCCAAACUCAUUUCUUGAAACUUACCACUUCCACUAGAAAGUUCCCCAAUAUUAAGCUUCUCCAGAAUAUUAGAAUGAUAACUUACUCGAAGAGCAUAUACGCGCUUACAUGAUGUACCAACCAAAUUCACAAUAAUAGCAAGUAAGUUCAAGCAUACAAUUCCUACGUGCCACAGAUACAACUGCGAACUUAAGCUGGUGAGCAAAGCAAUAAAGAUACAUAGCGUGUGAGCCCCACCUAGUAUCACAUGGGCGUCCCAAACUCAUUUCUUGAAACUGACCACUUCAACUAGAUAGUUUCCCAAUAUUAAGCUUUUCCAGAAUAUUAGAAUGAUAACUUGCUCGAAGAACAUCUACACGCUUACACGAUGCACCAACCAAAUUCACAAUAAUAGCAAGUAUGUUUGAUGAGUUUGUUUCACUCAUAAUUUUUGCACAAGUUUAUCUUGAUUAAAUGCUAGAUCUUGUGAGUAUAGAAUGUUUUUGAUGUGUUUGUUAGUGUUGUUUUGAAGAUUAGGAGAGGCUAUGCAAAAAGAGAUAUUAAAGUGGACGAAGAGGCCAAAAACAUGAAAUUAGGGCAAAAAGAUGGCACUGCAUUCAUAGCGCCUAGGCACUACAAAACUGAAAAAAAGAUGAAAUUUGGACCCGAGAGGCAGCACCUAGGAGCCGCAAUCAUAGCGCCCAGGCACUAUCAUUAGUGCCUAGGUGCUGAAGACGUAGCGUCCAGGCACUGUCUUGUAGCGCUUAGGCGCUGCGAAUGAGUAUCUACGGCGCAUUUUUUUGGCCCGUUUUAAAAUCCAUAAAAACCCUAUUUCUACACAAAACAGAGGGUCACCUAUAAAUACAUCUUUCUUAUACUUUUGAGGGGUUCUUAACAUAUUGGAGACAAGACAACAAAAAGGGAGAUUCAAAAGAGAAAUUCAAGAAGAUUAAUACCAAGCAAUUGAAGAUUAGAAGUAUUUAUUGGAAGAUGAAGGAGAUCUUAGUGCAAGAAUUCUACUUUUUCUUCUACAACUUUAUUACAAAUCCGGUGAUGUAUUUUAAGACAAUUUCCCAUUUUUCUUCUUGUAUUAUGAGUAGCUAAAUUCAUUGUUAGGGGGAAUAAUGUAAUUAAUUGGGAUCCUUUACAUUCUCUUAUUAAUAUUCUCAAUUUUUAGUUUUUCCAUGUGUUAAUUUUGCUAUGAGUUGAAUGCAUUAAAUUAUCUGAUCAAUACUUUGAUGAUUUUUGUGAAUUCUUUACAAAUAGAGAUAUGAAUUUAUGAUUUAGACCAUGUAGUAAAAUUCAGUACAUUGGUAUAACGAGUAGAGAUAUCUAUACCAUUUAUUGUGGUCAUAAUUGAAUUCCUAGGACAUAGAACUCAUUUAACUAAGUUGAAUUUGCAAAGAGAUAUGAAAUAUAAUUAGUCAAAUGGGCUCAAUGAGAACUCAAGAGGGGUAAAUUGAAUACAAUAGGAGAAUUUGACUCAGCACUACAUUAGAAAUAAGUUUUAAUUUGAGAUGUAAAGGUGAUCAAUUGGUGAAGUUAUUCUGCCCUAACAUCCAUUCAUUAUUUGAUUCUUCAACCAAUAGUUUGAACAUCCAUUUAUUUUCUAGAAUUUAAAUUAAAACUCAGGUUUUACAACUUUCAAUUUGUUUGAAUCAAAUAGUAGUUAAAGAGAAAAAUUGAAUUAAGUGUUAGAAAAUAAUCCUUGUGGGAUCGACAAUCUGGACUCUUAGGUCCACUAUUACUUGUUACAGGUCGUACACUUGUGAAACAAAAUUUUACAACAAAUUUUUGGCGCCGUUGCUAGGGACUAUUUCUUUUAGUCUUAAUUUAUUUUUUUAUUUUAACUAUUAUUUGAUUUGUUUAUUUUUCUUUUAUUUAUAGAAAAUUGUGUUCGUUGUAUGCUCCAUGCCCAAGGCGACGAUCUUGAACAGUUUGAUUCGGAGAUAGAACGUACCUUCAGAUAAAGACGCAAAGAACACAAACAAAAGGCAACAUCAAAUGGCUGACAAUCAACAUAUCCAUAUCUCUAUUCAGCUGAUUGGACAAAUGGCCGCAAGAGUUGUGGCACCACCGGAACCGCAGCAUGAGCGAGGAGAAAUAAAUGAAUGUGAUUUGCCAGUAUCAAUAUUCGUGACACCUAUAGUAGCACCCAUGCACUCCAGUAUUGUGCAUCCAGAUUUUGGGAUGAAUAACUUUCAGAUCAGGCCAGAUUGGAUUAACUUGAUGAGCAACACUCUGCAAUUUUAUGGGCUACCUCAUGAGAAUCCAAACACGCAUAUCUCCAGAUUUUUCAGAAAUUGUCAGAACUUCCAUGCUCCGGGGGUCAAUGAAAAUGCUAUUAAAUUAUGACUACUUUCAUUUACAUUGAGAGAUGCUGCAUUGGAGUGGUUAGAUGCGAAGCCUCAUGCCAGCAUUACUACAUGGGAAGAACUGACCAGGAAAUUCUGCGAAAAAUUCUUCCCACCAGCCAGAGUAGCUAAAAUCAGAUUGAAAAUUCAAACUUUUCAACAGAAAGAGGGAGAAAGCUAUCACAAGGCAUGGAAUAGAUUAAUGAGCUAAUGAGAAAAUGUCCAAACCAUGGAAUCACUCAAGGAAACCAAGUGCAGUACUUCUACACCGGACUUACACCACUGUCCAAAUCUCAAGUUGAUGCCUCUGCUGGUGGAUCAAUCAUAGGAAAAUCAGUGCAACAAACCAUGGACCUAUUUGAGUUAAUUGCCACCACACAUUCAAUGUUCUCAUCAGAAAGAGCGGUACAACCAAAGGCAGCAAGAAUGUGUGAAUUAGACAGCACAACAUCUACCAAUGCACAGAUAGCAGCUUUAACAAAACAGGUAGAGUUACUUGGAAAACUGCAAACACAUGGAGCAAAUGCGAUGAUGGCCAGUUCAGCAUGUGAGAAUUGUGGAAAUCAUGCUACAGAGAGCUGCAUGAUGCUCACUUCUUCAGAGGAUCAAGUAAACUUUAUUCAAAAUAGCUCCCAUAAUUUCAACUCAUAUGGUAACAAUUUCUAGCAAGAAAGAAGACCAAGUUUGGGAGAGAUGUUCCAACAAUAUGUGCAGAAGACGGACAAGGUGUUCCAGCAAAUUGACACGAACUUUCAAAAUCAGCAGGCAUCCAUCAAGAAACUGGAGACACAAAUUGGUCAGACAGCACAACAACUUGCAGAACAUCCACAAGGGACAUUGCUAGGUAAUACAAUAAUAAAUCCUAAGGAACAGUUGAUGACAAUUAAAGAAGUGGAGAAUGAUCUACCUAGGGCCCCCGUAAAAGUUAAAGCAUAUGUACCUCCACUUUCGUUUCCUCAAAGACUUCGAAAGAAGUCGAUGGAGCAAAAUAUUCAUAUCAUAAAUACAAAGAGCGAGGUACAAUCACCAGAGAUCACUACAGAGAGACCCAAAAGAAAAGAUGACCAAGAAGUGAUUGAUGAACCUACAAGGGUGGAAAAAUCUGCACCAAACGCAACUGAAAAUGGAGAAAGUACAGAAACAUUAGCUACCAAAGCACCAAGUCUAGACAAAGCUUACAUGCCUCCCAUUCCAUUUCCUCAAAAGCUCAAGAAGAACAAAUAAGGCAAAAACUAUGAAAAAUUCCUCGAUGUUCUCAAGAAGCUCCAGAUCAAUGUUUCAUUCAUUGAUGCGAUACUACAAAUUCCAAGCUAUACUAAAUUUUUGAAAGAGAUGUUGACAAAGAAAAGAAAGCUUCCGAAGUUUGAAACUGUGGCAUUAACUGAGGAGAGUAGUGCAAGAGUCCAUAGAAAAUUGCCUCCUAAAUUGAAGGAUCCAAGGAGUUUUACUUUACCAAUUUCAAUUGGAAAUUCCUAUUCAAUUCAUGCAUUGUGCGACACUGGUGCUAUUAUCAAUCUAAUGUCGUAUUCUGCUUAUAGGAAAUUUGGACUAGAUGAAGUCAACUCAAAAUCAAUAACGCUACAACUAGCUGAUAGAACAAUCACAAGACCAUGUGGCAAAUUUGAGGAUGUACUCGUCAAAGUAGGAAAUUUAAUAUUUCCUGUGGAUUUCAUUGUGUUGGACAUACCAGAAGAUCGAGACAUUCCAAUAAUAUUAGGUCGGUCAUUCUGAGCAACGGGACGAACCCUUAUUGACAUGGAGAAGGGAGAAAUAAUCUUGAGGGUGGAGGACAAGCAAGAGAUAUUCAAUAUUUACAUUCAAUAUAAGAAACCUCCCAAUAAAAAUGAUUGCUAUAGAAUUGAUGAAGAAGAGCCACCUGACCAAUGUCAGAACAAAAAAAAACAAAUUUUAGAGAACUUCUUGGUAGAGAUAAGAAUGGACAAAUCAAAAUUUGGAGAACAAAAAAAGACUGCAUCAAUGAAAAUUGCACUAAGUGCAAUGAUGAAAUAACUUGGUUUGAGCCACCAUGAUAAAUCAGCGGCACAAGUCAAGCUAAUGACUCAGAAGAAGCGCUUUUUGGGAGGCAACCCAAGCUUUUAUUUUAUUUUAUUUUAUUUUCAAAGUUUUAGGAUAGUUUAAUCUAUAGUUUAUUUAGGAAUCAUCAUCCAUACCCCUUCUAUCCAUAGUUCUUAGAGUAAUUAAGUUGGUUAUUAGAUGUUUGAUGCUAAGUAAUCCUUGUUUUAUGAGUUUAAUUUUUCAAAUUUAAUUUUUCAGAAACAUGACGUCGCGGAACACUCAAACCAACAUGGACAUGGAGAAAAUGGGACAAAUCUCAAGUUUGGGGGAGAAUGUAGAAGAAGAGUCGAUCAAAUGCAACACCAAGACACCAAAACAUCAUAGGCAAUACUGACAUUUCAGGGAAGUCCUCCUCCUUUUCCUUUAAAUUUCAUGUUGAGGACAAUGUUUCAGUUAAGUUUGGGGGAGUGACAUCAUUUGUUUAUGUUGUUGAGUUUCUCGAAUACUUAUGUGUGAUUUGCUUGUGUUUAUGUGUUUGUGUUUUUAUUCAAAAAAAAUAAUAAAAUAAAAUUCAUACUCUGCAUGCUUGUGUGAGUUAGAUAGUCUUACCAAUUAUGAUGAAUAUAUUUGAGAACAUGUAUUAGUUUAUGGAUUGUGGAUGAAUCAUAUAUUUUGAUUUGACUUUUUGCUUAUCCGUAUGAAGCGGUAUAACAUUUAUGCACGAGUAUUAAGUUGAGUAUUGUACAGGAACAUGAGGGCUCAUGCACAUAGGCUAAAGAGAUGACUUGGUGUGUAAUCCCGUAACCUAUGAAUGUCAAUACCCCUUAACCGUAUACAUUAUAAUUUGGGGCAUUCUAACCGAUGAAAGAAAUGAUUUAAGAUUGUAGUGAUUCCGUGCAUGUAAAAAAAAUUGUGUGGAGUGUAUUUAAUUUUCUGGUAUAAGCCUGGUGAUGACCGAAUGCUAGAAAUCUAACCCCAAUAAAUUUUGCUUCUUUUUAUUAGAGAAGAAGCAUUGCACAUAUUCAGCUGAGUCUCACACCUGCACCUUUUUUUACUCAAGUUAUUAAGUCCGUAGGGGUCUCUUGAAACCUGGUACCCUUUGGUAUACAAAACAAUCAGAGAGUUACCAACCUAACACUCGCUACAGGGGUCAAGAAGUGGAAAAAAAGGUGAGGUAAAAAAAAUUAAAUAAAUUUAAAAAAAAAGAAAAGAAAAGAAAAGAAAGAAACUGAUUUUGGGGACCUAGAUAACUAGUGGGUUUGAAUCACUAAGUAUAAACUAGAUUGCUGAAACACUCAUAAAUUGGGAGAAUCACUACAUGAAUGAAUUGUUGAUGUUGCCGGUUGAACUAAUCCAAAUUAGAGUGCUGUGAGGAAAUCUUAAGCAAAACUGAACUUUAGAAUUACACCAUGGUAAGAGAAUAAAAGAACCAAGUUUGGGGGUGUGUGAAUCUUACGAGUGAAGAAAAGAAAUAAUUGACCGUUGAGGGUUGGGAAGUAAACCAACUUGUGAAUGUACGACGCUACGCUUGACCCUCCACACACACACACACACACUUCGCAUUGUAUGAGUGGAAAUUUGGUUCUUGCGUUGUGAUUUUAACACCAUUCAUAAAUAUAAUAUAAUAUCAUCAACGCUAAGCCAAAAAGACAAGCUGUCUAACUGACUAGUUAUGUGUGCAUCGUCCUUGGAUGAUUUUAUUGUUUGAUAUGUUUGUUUGCUCAAGGACUAGCAAACGGUUAAGUUUGGGGGUAUUUGAUGAAUUUGUGUUCACUCAUGAUUUUUGCACAAGUUUAGCUUGAUUGAAUGCUAGAUCUUGUGAGUAUAGAACAUUUUUGAUUGUUUGUUAGUGUUGUUUUGAAGAUUAGGAGAGGUGAUGCAAAAAGAGGUAUUAAAGUGGACGAAGAAGCCAAAAACACGGAAUUGGGGCAGAAAGACAGCGCUGCAUUCAUAGCGCCUAGGCACUACGAAAUUGAAAAAAAGAUGAAAUUUGAACCCAAGAGGCAGUGCCUAAGCGCCACAAUCAUAGUGCCCAGGUGCUAUCAUCAGCUCUUAGGCGCUGUCUCGUAGUGCUUAGGCGCUGCAAAUGAGUAUCUAGGGCGAGUUUUUUUUGGGUCGUUUUAAAAUCCAUAAAAACCCUAUUUCUGCACAAAACGGAGGGCACCUAUAAAUACAUCUUUCUCAUACUUUUGAAGGGUUCUUGACAUAUUGGAGACAAGACAAUAAAAUGGGAGAUUCAAAAGAGAAAUUCAAGAAGAUUAACACCAAGCAAUUGAAGAUUAAAAGCAUUCAUUGGAAGAGGAAUGCGAUCUUGGUGCAAGAAUUCUACUUUUUCUUCUAAUCUUUAUUACAAAUCUGAUGACGUAUUCUAAGACAAUUUCCUAUUUCUCUUCUUGUAUUAUGAGUAGCUAAAUUCAUUGUUAGGGGGAAUAAUGUAAUCAAUUGAGACUAUUUACAUUCUCUUAUUAAGAUUCUCAGUUUUUAAUUUUUUCAUGUGUUAAUUUUGCUAUGAACUGAAUGCAUUAAAUUAUCUAAUCAAUAAUUUGAUGAUUUUUGUGAAUUCUUUACAAAUAGAGAUAUGAGUUUAGGAUUUAGACCAUGUAGUAAAAUCCAGUACAUUAGUAUAACGAGUAGAGAUACCUAUACCAUUUAUUGUGAUCAUAAUUGAAUUCCUAGGACAUAGAACUCGUUUAACUAAGUUGAAUUUGCAUAGAGAUAUGAAAUUUAAUUAGUUGAAUAGGCUCAAUGAGAACUUGAGAGGGGUAAAUUGAAUACAAUAGGAGAAUUCAACCGAGCACUACAUUAGAAUUAAGUUUUAAUUUGAGAUGUAAAGGUGAUCAAUUGAUGAAGUUAUUCUUCCCUAACAUCCAUUCAUUAUUUGAUUCUCCAACCAAUCAUUUGAACAUCCAUUUAUUUUCUAGAAUUUAUAUUAAAACUCAGAUUUUACAACUUUUAAUUUGUUUUAAUCAAAUAGUAGUUAAAGAAAAAAAUUGAAUUAAGUGUUAGAAAAUAGUCCUUGUGGGAUCGACAAUUCGGACUCUUAGGUCCACUAUUACUUGUUAUGGGUCGUAUGCUUGCGAAACAAAAUUUUACAACAAUGUUGAAAAAAUCACCAAGCAUACAAUUCCUACGUGCCACAGAUACAACUACCAACUGAUGCUAAUGAGCGAAACAAUGAACAUAUAUAACGUGUGGGUUCUCUCUAAGAAUUAAAGCUUUCAAACCAUUGAACUAACCUAACAUAUUACCUGCUCCAUCAUAGCCUUGACCUCUCAGGCUAGAUAUGCUCAACCCAUGUGUAGAAAACAUUGCUUCAAUGGCAUCCUUCAGUGAUUGGGCACAAGUAUCAAUGACAUGGGACAUACGAAAAAUGCUCAUUCACUUGCCCACUUUGCCCACUUUUGUCAACAAACCUCAAAACCACUGGCAUUUGUUCUUUCAUUGAAUUAUCAUGAGCUUCAUCAACCAAAAUUGAAAACAAAGAAUCACCUAUCUUAUUGAUAAUAGCCAUUGUCGUCUCUACAGCACAACAAUUAACCAAAUCCUUUUAGAUGGUUGGUGAAGUCAAUUGGUCAUUUCAAGGAGCAUUACUAAAUAAUAUUUCUUUAAUUUCCUUACAAUGAGCUGUAUUCCAAUUCAGUAGCUCAAUUAGAUUUCCUCUAUUAAGAGACUCUUUAGAUUCAUUAUGACUACGAAAUGACAAUCCCUGCAUCAAGAGGAGUCUAGUACAAUCUAGCAUUGCAGUCAACCUAGUCCUAUAACUUUGUUGUUGACUACUACUUUGGCUAGAAAUAAUAUAGGAGAUACUUUGCUUUUGAUUCAUCAAGUUGGUACACUUUGUAAAAGCUUAAUUAUGAGCACUAUCAAAGAGACCGACAUGAUCUUUCAAUGUCUUUUUGUGCUUCCAAUACUUAAAGCCGAUCUUAGUAAAUAUAUGUCCACUCUUUUGACCCUUUCUAUUGGGUUUGAAUAUGUAGCAAUGCAAACAGUAUGCCGCAUCCUUUUCUAUAUUGUACUCCAAACAAUAAAAUUCGGAGAACCAUUCUUUCCGAAGACAUCUAUUAUCAUUCCCCAUCUUUCUUCUUAGAAAAUCAUGUCCAUAUGGUUGACAAGAAUCCUUCUCCAAGUAUGCUAUCCUAAUAUCAUCUCUGAUAUCAAGAUUAUAUGACUCGAUAGGGGAGUGUAUCCCUAGAUCAGAUACAUGAUCAUGCACAUUGAAUUGAGCCCAGGACUUCUUUGUAUUAUUCAAUAACUCUUGUGCUCGACUAGAAUCAGUGGCGGGACUAGAUGCACAACUAAAUCUAGAAAAAUUGGGUAUGGACUUUCGUUUCUAUUGAAAAAAUUGUUCCAUAAUCUGCAAAAUGCCCCAAUUUAUUUUUCAAUUACAAUUGAUUAAAAAAAUAACCAAGUACACACGGGUGAAUUGAGCUUCCAACAUCUUCUCAAUUAAUUUUUUUCACUUAUCUUAAUUUCCUAAACGUAAAUUCCCAAAUUAAUAAUUAUAACUCACAAAACAUAAAUUACUUAUCAUAAAUCACAAUUCGCUAACAUAAUUUCGUAAACAUAAAUUCCCAAAUCAAUAAUCAUUCCUCAUCAAAACAUAAAUUACUUAUCAUAAAUCACAAUUCUCAAAUAUAAUUUCGUAAACAUAAAUUCCUGAAUCAAUAAUCAUAACUCAUAAAACGUAAAUUACUUAUCAUAAUUCAUAAAUUACAAUUCACAAUUUUUUAAUUCCCAAAUGAAUAAAUCAUAUCAUAAUUAACAUUAACUUAAGUUACUCAAUACUCAACAUCAACUACUCCAGGUCAAGUAGACAACCAGAUAGUAGGUAGGCUAGCUAAAAAAUAGAACAAAACCAAAACAAAAAAGAAAGAGGGAGAAAGAGCCACCAGCUCGAGCUCGAGACUAGAAGGCAAACGAAACGGCGGUCAGUUGGCACUUGGCUCUGGGCUCUGACGAAUGCUGCCUCUUCUUUGAUGGAUUCUACGAUGUGGUCUACCUAAACCGAAGGCUGGAGCUCAGUUAGGUUGUGUCUUGUGUGCAUGGGCGAAGAAAGAAGUGAGGAAGCUUGAAAAGGGUUUGGCAAUUUGGCUUCCACGAUUUGGGAAUUGAUUUGGGCAUUUUAGAUUCUUGGGCCUUGGCUACUAGGUCUUUAAUAAAUUUGAUAAUUUGUCAAUUUCAUUUGAUAAUUGGGCUAACAAUAAGAGGCCCAAAAUUUGCAACUUCACUGAAGCCCAAACCAAAAAAGAAAAAGGGCCUCUUCUCUCUUCGCCUUCCUUUUCCAGACUCCGGCGCUUCUGCAACUGCUGCAACGGUGAAGUGUAAACGGGCUUGAUUGGUGAUUGUUACCCAAUAGUUCUAAAGAUUCCGACAGAGCCAGCAGGUGCGGAGCCAGCACCCGGCGCCAUUGACAUGCAACCAAAACCAGACCUAUAGAUUUCUUGAAGAGGCAAAUAUAUCAUCGCUGGUCUUUUCAUGCAUCAUCAGUCAUUUGCAAGAUUAGACGUAACAUAUAUUCCACAAUUAGCACUUUCAUCGUAAUUUCCUUUUUCGACUUUCGUACUGGAUCUUGCAAGAGGAAGGAGAGAGAAUCGACCUUUUUCAAUAGACAUUUCUCAUCUAAAUCGAUCGUACUUUGGGUGUUACUAAGUAAAUCUUGUUUAAUAUUUUCCAUUACAUCCCAAAAUUCUGGUGUCUUGUCUGAAGGCACAAAUCCAGUAGUUACUUGUUCUAAAAUACAGCUUCCAAAGUUUUUUUCUAGAUAAUGCAUCGACAUAGAUAGAUGGUGAUCUGGUACCUUCAGUUGUUCCCAGCUUCUUUGCUCCAAAUAACCAUGCCCUUCACAAGUUCCAUUCUAUUCAAUGUCACCUGUAGCCCUCAUUAGUAAUACUAGACUAUGUGAUUAGUCAAAUUUUAGUUGAAAAUGAAUUCAAAAUUACGACGACAGCUAAAUAAUUUGCAAGAUCAACAUUAAGCAACGCAUCCUAUGUGGAGAAAAGCGGAUAAGUAAAUUGUUACUAAUAAUGAGUUCCUAGAUUUUGUUAUGUUUGUGUUGGGAAUUUAGAGUUGCAGAGUAUUCAAAAAGAAAGGAAGGAGCUAUAGAGAGAAAUUAACACUCAGUAAUGCAGAGUUUGCAAGUUAUCUGCAAUGUUUUUAUUCCAGAACUGAAGGUGCCUAUUUAUAGGCUUACAAGCAAACUGAAAAGCAAAAAAAAAAAUAUCAACUAAUACUAGAUAUUAUUGCCACUACUUUCAGACUUAUUUGCUAACCAUAAACAGUGAAUUUAGGAGCAAGAAUCUACUGGAAAAAUCAAAGACUAAGUCAAAUUUGGAUAAAUUUCGAAUCAAUUUUCAACACUCCCCCUUGAUUCAAAAUUACACACACCAAGUAGUAAUCUGAAGUUGACAUGUUUUUACAUGGUAGAGCCUUCGUAAAUGUAUCAGCCACUUGUUCAUUUGUGUUAUAAAACUUCAAUGCAAUCUCUUCUUUUGACACGAGGUCACGAAUAAAACGGAAGCGAAUGUCUAUGUGCUUUGUUCUUCCAUGGAAUAAAGGAUUUUUUGUCAUUGCAAUUGUGGCUUUAUUGUCGUAGAAAAUUUCACUUGCACUUUGAUGAAUAUCUGCAAGAAGUCUCCUAAGCCAUAUACAUUGACAUGCCUAGGUAGUAGCUGCAACAUACUCUGCCUCUGAAGAUGAUAAUGAUGUUAAAGCUUGUUUUUUUUAACACUAUUUAAUUGCACCUGAUCGAAGGCUGAAAAUAUUGCCUGAAAUGCUCCUUGUAUCAUCCAAAGAGCUUGCCCAAUCACUAUCAGUAAAACCAAAUAGUCUAAAAUCUGAAACAUGAGUAUACCAAAUUUCAUAAUUCAAUGUUUCAGCAACAUAACAUAAGAUCCUUUUUGCAGCUCCAAAAUGAUGCUUUGAAGGAUUACUCAUGAACCUUGAGAUAACACCCACAGAGAAUGAAAUACCUGGCCGAGUAUGAGCCAAAUAUGUUAAACCUCCAACUAAACUUCUAAAACUUCUUGCAUUAGCUUUUUCAGUACCAUCUUCAAGCUGAAUUUUUUCAUUCACAUUCAUUGGUGUUGAUAAGUGCAAUUUGCGUAUUUAUUUAUGCUACAUUAUUAAAUUUUUAAGUCCUCAAAUUAUUAAUUUCUAUUUACCUUAGGCGAAUUUUGUUUUUUGUUUUUAGUGUUCGACUUGUUUGAAGCAGAUGGAAAGGAAGAAGGACAUAAUCGAUUAAAAUUUAUAAUUUGGGAUUAAAUUUCACAAGUUGAAGUUGAGAAGGACAUUAGUCGCAUAAAUAAAAUUGUAUCGAGGAUUAACUUGCAUUAUUUGGAAGAAGUGAGGACUUGAGGAAAAAAAUAAUAAUUGGGCCUCAAUUGGACCAUGAAUUGGAAUCAAAUUACAUAAUUGGUUGGAAUUUAAUUGGAUUCCAAGGAGAAGGGCUGACCUGUGUUCGUUGUUAAAUAUAUACAUGGGAAUUGGGGCUGCAAAUCUGGGGAAAAAUUACAGAAAUAAAACGACGGCCAAAGGAAUUUUGGGGAGAAAAACAUUGAGGCUAGUGUGGGAAUUCGGAAGGAAUUAAAGCACAAAAAAAGAGAGGAGGAAUUCAGAUACAUAGAGGGACGGCUGUUGGUGGAGAAAGACAAGACAAAAAGGGCUGCUGGAACCAGGGGCGGAGCCAGGAUUUUAGUUCAGUGCGGGCAAAAUUUUUUUGACGACAAAUGUCGAGGUUUUGGUCAGGGAUUUAAUGACAAUAAAAAAAUAAAACAAUAGUACAUCAAUACUAAAAACGACAUAAUUUAUAUAUUACACUUGUUCUUUGCGAGUUUUCAUACUUUGAUAUCAUUGUAUAAUAACUUCAUUAUUGAACCUGAAAAAUAUAUCUUUCUCCACAUAAACAAUUGUGUUAUCAUUCAUCCACUAAUCACCCAAUUACUACUAGGAGUGGGAGUAAUUCGAGAUGUCAAAUGAAUCACAAAUACUGGAAGCAACUCAAAAAACUAGUGCAAUUCACAAUCUCACAAUGCAAUAUAUACUAUUUCCAAAUACUAGGCAACUUGAACUUGCAAUCAUAGAUUCCCAGAGAGCCAGAGCCCAGAGGCAACAAUGAACUGGUGGUCCACUGGAAGUUUGUGCCGCUUCGAGCAAUUAAAGAACAAAGUGCUAAUUUAAUAUGUUAAAAACAAAAAACAAAAAAAAAUAUUAUUACAAUUUACACAAACUGAAAUAACCAAAAAAAAAAUAAGGGAAAAAAAAUUUGGGGCUUCGCCUUUUGCUUUCUGGAAUCUGGCUUCUUCUUUUGCCGACUCGGCUGGUUGGCGUUGGCACUUGGCGCCUUGGCGGAGUUGAGGAUGUAAAGUCGGAGUCAGAGAUGUGAGAUGUCAAGAUGAGAGCCUAAAGUAGGAGAUAUACAAUAAUGAACUGUCGGAGAGGGAAAGGGAACGACGAUUGUACUGUGACGACUGUCGAAGACAACGGUUGACGGAGAGGGAAGGGAACGGCGGGCUUUGUCACCAGUGGAGAGGGAAGUGGGUGGCGAAGUGUGAAAUCGUCACAGACAAAGUCAUGAAGGGUAGAAAUUUUGAAAUGAAUGAAUGUUUUUUUUUUUUUUUUUUUUGCCCAAAAGUCCAGUGCGGGCAUCUGCCCGCGCUGGGCGUGUAGUGGCUCCGCCCCUGGCUGGAACCUUGCUGCUGAAUUAUAGAUACACACAUUGGGUGGCUGAAUUGAUUAAUCUAUAUACAAAGUUGGUGGCUGCAAGUGUAUUUAUUGGCAAAAGACAGAACAUACAAGUUCAUUUAUCGGAAUCAAACAUUGAGGCUGGGAGUUAAAUUCAUAUACAGACUUAACCAUAGAAAAAGUGUGGCUGCCGGUUGUAGGAAUUAAACAUUUAUACCACAUAAAGCAAACGGAAAAACAGCAAUAGUAGUGAAUCAUCGCAGAAAUAUUUGUGCAAUUAAUCAUCAAUAAUUGUGCAAGGAAUUUGGAAGUUAAUCACGUUUCGUCAAAUUUUUGUGAUGUCUUUCCGCUUUUUGUGUUUAAUUCCAACAUUAUGCUAAGCUAAUAUUCCUCAUGUAAUGGAUGAAGAUGAAACCUUUUGUUAAUUAUUCGAGACACGUGGUUUAGUUAAAUUCUUGUAAUUUUUUUUAUUAAUCUUACAUGCUUAAUUUUAUUAUUUGAUUGCUUGAUUAGGAAUUAAAUAUAUAGUUGCUUAUUGUAGUGCUGGGAGGUUCACAGUAGGUCUAGAACACUACUUGAUUAAUAUACGUACAUUAAAUUUUAGGAAUGAUGUUUAUCAUGUAUGCAAUCUUUAAGAUAAUUGUGAAAUUAAUCGUCUUCUAUUCAUUCGAAUUUGGACUAGAAAUAGAUUCUAGUCAUGAGUAGGAUAGAUUUAAUUUGUCUUGGAAAAGAAAAUUAAUUACAGUAGAGUUAUCGAUUGUCAAAAAUGCAUGAAUGAAAUUAGCUACGUAGUCAAGAAUUCGAAUAAUAAUAAUAGGUGGAUUUGUAAUCCAAUAAACUCUUCCCAUACACAGAUUAAAUUCACACUUUACAAGUUUUUGUAGAUUAAGUAGAGUAAUUAAAAAUCUACGAAACACUUUUGUUUGAUCACUUUGAAUCUAAUUAAAUACUAGUAUACUCAAUUAAAUUUUAUUCCUCAUGAGAUGAUACUCUCAACUCACUAAAUCUAUUACUUGUCAACAAUCCUAUAUGCUUGCGGGUUUCACAUGAAUUGGUGUAGCUGCGACCUUGCAAUUUACCAUAUUAAAUCUUUGAGCAAGUCUAUUGUAUAAUUCAUUUGUGAAAUAGAAACUCCAUCUUCACCUUGAUUUACUUCAAGCCCAAGAAAAUAAUGCAACAAACCUAAGUUUGACAUUUCAAACAUACACUUCAUACUAUAUUUGUAUUCAGUUAUAAGAGAGUGAGUUGAGCCCAUGUAAAUUAUGUCAUCAACAUAGAUGUAGACUAUAAGAAGAUCAUUCUUACCUUGCUUUCCCAACUAAAGUGUAGGCUCAUUUUCACUCCUUUGAAACCCAUUUUGUAGAAAAUAUGAAUCAAUCUUGCUAUACCAUGCUCGUGGAGCUUGCUUUAACUCGUAGAGUGUCUUUCAUAGUUCGUAAACCUUUUUUGGUUCGUCGUUGACUAUGAAACCUUCAGAUUGAGUAACAUAGACCUCCUCUUCCAAUUCACCAUUCAAAAAGGUAGACUUUACAUCAAAUUGAUAAAUGCCUACUGUAGUUGUGCAGCCAAGGCCAAAAUUGUUUUCACAGUUUCAAAUCGAGCAAAGGGAGAAAAUGUCUCUUCGUAAUCAAUACCAUUUUGCUGUGAGUAUCCCUUUGCUACUAGUCGGGCCUUGUGCCUCUGUAUACUUCCAUCUGCAUGGUACCUUGUUUUGAAAAUUCAUUUCAACCCAAUAGCAUUUUUCCAUUAGACAAGUCUAUCAACUCCCAAGUUCCAUUUAUUUGUAUUGCCAUGAGUUCUUCCUUCAUUGCAUUUUGCCACUCUCCAUUUUUGUCACUUCUUCAUAAUUCGUAGGGUCUAUAACAUAUAAAGCAAAUGCACUGGAUUCAUAGAUUUCUUUCAAAGAUUUGAAUUUCAUUGGAUGUGUCUCAUCAAACGAUUCGUUCAAGGAAGAUGUGUUGCUAUCUAUUGAAUUUGUAGUAGAAGAACUUGGUGAAUUUGCUGGGCUGCUAAUACUUGAAGUUGAGCAAGAGGAAUUUGAUGAGUUUGUUAGUAUUGGGUCCACAAUUUCAUUCAAUGAAGUUUCAAGUUGAGUUCUGUUGCUACUGCUAUUCCAAUUCCAGCCUGCUUCUUCAUUAAAGAUUAUAUUUCUGCUAACAAUCACUUUGCCACUACGUGGGUCACAUAACCUGUAUUCUUUGGAUUCAAGGCAAUGACUAAUGAAAAUGCAUUUUUUCAUAUUUUUCGUCUAGUUUUUGGAGAUCUUGAGAAUUUACUAAAGCAUAAGCGGUACAUCCAAAAAUUCUUAAGUGGCGUACCAAUGGCUUUGUACCUCACCAAGCUUCUUAUGGUGUUUGAUUCAAGACAACAUUUGAAGGAGAAAUAUUUAGUAGAUACUAAGGUAGCAAUUGCUUUUGCCCAAUAUUGAUUUGGAAGUCCCUUGCCUUUUAGUAAACUUCUUGCCAUUUCAACCACAUUAUGAUUCUUUCAUUCAACCACUCCAUUUUACUCUAGUGUGUAAAGUGCUUUUAAUUCCCUGCGAAUUCCAUUUUCUUCACGAAAGUGGUUAAAUGAUUUCACCAUCUCUGUCUAUAUGAAGAGCUUUUCAUGCAGGACCCACUUUGCUUCUCUAUCAAAGACUUGAAUUUCUUAAAAUUCUCAAAAAGUUUCUAAUUUAUACUUCAAAAUAUACAUCUAGCUCAUCCAACUGAAUUCGUCAAUAAAAAGUUGAAAAUAAUAGCUCCCUCCCAAUGAUUCUGUGUUCAUAGGCCCAUACAAAUCAACAUGAAUUAAUUCAAGACAAGUCAAAGCCCUUCAAGCCUGUCCAAUAGGAAAUGGUUUUCUAGUUUGCUUCCUAUAAAUGCAUCCCUCACAUAAAUCAAAAGAAUCAAUUUUUAGUAAUCCAAGAACCAAACAUUUUUGACCCAUCAAUUUUAGCCCCCCUGGCAUUAAGAUGUCCAUACCACAGGUGCCACAACUUUGAGUUAUUUUGUUCACCAGUAACAAGAGUAAAAUUUUCCAUAUUUGAGGCUUCAAGUGGAAACACUUUAUUUUUGUUCAUGUAUACAUUAACCAUUGUCUGUCCUGAAUGUUUAUCUUUUAUAACGCACACUCCAUCAUCAAAUAAAACUGAAUAUUCACUCGCCAUUAACUGCCCAGCACUAAAUAAAUUAUGUGCCAAACUAGGAACGAAUUGAACGUUAUGCAGAAGUUUUACUUUACCAUGGCUAGUUUUAAUUGCUACCACGCCUUUUCCUUGAACAUGAAUUUCUUUAUUAUCAUUAGGCUUGACAUUUAUUUUUUGAGUCUCAUCAAGCUCUUUAAAUAAUGCCUCCAUCCCUGACAUAUGAUUGGAGCAACCACUAUCUACAAACCAUACAUCACCUGGUACUUCAUUAGUGUCAUAAUGGGCUAUGAAUAACUUACUUUCUUCCUCAAUUUCUUUUGCAUAAUUCACUUGUUUCUCCUUGUACCUUCAAUCUGCUUUUACAUGCCCGAACAUCCUGCAGUGAUGACAUUGGGUGCCACUUUUGUAGCCGUUUUACCCAUUGGUUGAGUACCUUUGUUCAAAACCUCUACCUUGACCACGACUUUUUCCAUGAAAUGCACCUCUGCCACAUCCACUUCUUGCUGUUUUAUCAAACUCUCUUGAAUUGAAUACCUCCCCCUUUACUUGAAAUUCUUUCUCUUCAUAUUUUUCAACUGACCUAUUUAGCCUUGCCUCAUGAGCUUGCUAAGAACCCAUCAAUUCAUCAAAUGAAAAGUUUGGCGUGUCUUUGGACUCUUCAAUUGCAACCACAACAUGAUCAAACUUAGGAGUUAAUCUCAUUAACACUUUUUCAACUACAAUUCCGUCAGUUAUUUUGUCUCCAUAUGACCUCAUUUUACUUAUAAUUGACACCACUCUAGAGAAAAAAUCCUACACUGAUUCAUUGCCUUUCAUGAGCAAAGUUUCAAACUCAUGCCGAAGAGUUUGGAGUUUCAUGGCUAUUACUUUUGAUGAGCUUUGAAACUCAGUUUGCAAAACCGUCCAUGCUUCCUUCGAAGUGUUAGCUGAUGUAAUUCUUAAGAAGACAGUAUCAUGAACUGCUUGUUGGAUGAAGAACAAUGCCUGAGUCCCUCCUUUUAUUUUCCCUCCAUCAAUUUUCCUCAUCUGGAUAUGUAAACCCAUUCUCUGCCAAAUCCCAUAGGUCUUGAGACUUAAAUAGAGUCUUCAUUUUGAUACUCCAGAAUUCAUAACUUUCUCCUUUAAAAAUAGGGAUGGCAGGUUGUGAAAUGCUCAGUGAAAUUCCAUUUGAUGCUAUGGUGUUUCUCUCUUUCUCUCAGAUGUUUUACCUCACUAAGCUCAGUUGAAUCUGAACCGUGGCUCUGAUACCACAAAUGUUGGUAAUUUAGAGUAGUAGAGUAUUGGAAAAAAAAUAAAGGAAAGAGCUACAGAGAGAAAUUAACACUUAGUAACGCAGAGUUUGCAAUGUUGAGUAGUAAACUUGAUUUUUUGGACUAAAUAAUAUGGGUUUAAGGAUUUUGCUUAUAGGCCCAAAUCAAUUAAAAGGCCCAACAUGCAUAGCAUUUCUAGAAGCAUUAUCUAGAAAAAUCUAUAUAAAUAUCUACUAGAAAUAUCUAUAUAAAUAUCUAAGUAAGAUAUGUAGUUUUAUAAAGAAUAUCUAGAGAAUUCCAGGAAAAUAUCUUGAUAUGUGGUCUAGGUGUCUCUAGAAAAUGUGUGGACUAGAAUCUUCUUGUAAACACUAUAUAAAGGGGUAGUGCCCUCCAUUUUGUAACAAGCCAAAAAGUGUGUAAAGUCUUGAAUUUGAGAAAUACAAGUUUCCUUUUUCACUUCCUUCUUCCUAUUAGUGUUGUCCUCUUAAAAGCCUUAGCUAAUCCAAGUUAGUAAACCCAUCUUUCAUCCAACAAACUGGGAUCAGAGCCCCAAGGUUCUUGUGAGAAAUGGCAAGUGGGAUGAUUCCUUUUCAAGUCCCCCAACUCAACAAGGAUAACUACGACAAUUGGAGUAUAAGGAUGAAAGCAUUGCUCGGGUCGCAAGAUGCAUGGGAGAUCGUAGAGAAAGGCUACACGGAGCCACAAGAUGAGGUUGCUCUAUCCCAAGCACAAAGGGAUAGUUUGAAGGAUGCAAGGAAGAAGGACAAGAAGGCGCUCACCCUCAUCUAUCAAGCCUUAGAUGAAGGCAUGUUCGAGAAAGUAGCUUGUGCUACUACAAGUAAGGAAGCAUGGGAGAUCUUGCAAAACUCCCACAAAGGAGUUGAGAAGGUGAAAAAGGUUCGACUUCAAACACUUCGAGGUGAGUUUGAAGCUUUACAUAUGAAAGAAUCGGAAUCAAUUUCUGAUUACUUCUCUAGAGUAUUAGCUAUUGUGAAUCAAUUAAAAAAGAAUGGAGAAAAGUUGAACGACACUCGAGUAAUUGAAAAGAUACUUAGGUCUUUAGAUUCUAAAUUUGACUACAUAGUUGUAGCCAUUGAGNNGUUCAAUAGUAGAAGAAGCCAAAGAGGAAGAGGACGAGGCCAAGACCGAGGAAGAAUUGCAUUCUACAUGGAGGAAAGAAGACAAAGUUCAUUUUCUACUAGAGGUCGUGGAAGAGAAAAAGAAUGUAGAAAUAUUACUAACCAAGUUGAGGAGAAAGCCAACUACGCUUGUCAGGAAAGUGAAGUAGAUCCUGCACUACUAUUGGCUUACAAAGGUGAAGAGAGCAGAGAAAAGAAUACUUGGUAUUUGGAUACAGGAGCAAGCAAUCAUAUGUGUGGAAGAAAAAAUAUGUUUGUGGAGCUUGAUGAAUCAGUAAGCGGCAACAUUACCUUUGGAGAUGAAUCCAAGAUCCCAGUGAAAGGAGAAGGUAAAAUCUUGAUCCGCUUAAAAAAUGGUACGCAUCAGUUUAUCUCAAAUGUCUAUUAUGUGCCCAAUAUGAAGAAUAACAUUUUAAGUUUGGGACAACUCUCAGAGAAGGGCUAUGAUAUUCAUUUGAAGGAUCAUAGUCUUUCAAUAAGAGAUCAAAGAGAAAAUUUGAUUGCCAAAGUCCCUAUGACAAGAAAUAGAAUGUUUGCGUUAAGCAUUCAAAAUGAUGUCGCUAAAUGCUUAAAAGCUUGUUUUAAAGAUUUAUCUUGGCUUUGGCACUUGAGAUUUGGGCAUCUUAAUUUUGGAGGCUUAAAGUUGUUAAGUAAGAAGAAAAUGGUGAAAGGUUUGCCUCCAAUAAAUCAUGCGGAUCAAUUAUGUGAAGGAUGCUUACUUGGAAAGCAUUCGAGAAAAAGUUUUCCAAAAGAAGCAUCUACAAGAGCUAAGAAGCCGCUAGAACUUGUACACUCCGAUGUUUGUGGGCCAAUUAAUCCAAGGUCUCUCGAUAAGGGCAAUUAUUUUGUUCUUUUUAUUGAUGAUUUUAGUAGAAAGACUUGGGUCUACUUUCUUAAGCAAAAAUUGGAAGUUUUGAAACUUUUAAGAAGUUUAAAGCUCUUGUUGAAAAAGAAAGCGGAUAUAGUAUAAAAGCCUUAAGAUCGGAUAGAGGAGGAGAGUUCACCUCCAAAAAGUUUGAGAAAUAUUGUGAGGAGAAUGGAUUUCGUCGUCCAGUGACGGUUCCAUACUCUCCACAACAAAAUGGAGUAGCCGAAAGAAAGAAUAGAUCCAUUCUUAACAUGGCCCGCUGCAUGCUCAAAAGUAAGAGAUUGCCCAAAGAACUUUGGGCUGAAGCUGUUAAUUGCGCCGUGUAUCUGUCUAACCGAUCACCUUCUAGAAGUGUGUGGAAUAAGACACCACAAGAAGCAUGGAGUGGAAGAAAGCCCAGCAUCUCUCACUUACGAGUAUUUGGGAGCAUUGCAUAUGCUCAUGUACCAGAUCAAAAACGGUCCAAGUUAGAUGACAAAAGUGAAAGGUAUGUCUUCAUCGACUAUGACUCUCGCUCUAAAGGCUACAAGUUGUAUAAUCCAAGCAAUGAGAAGAUCACCAUAAGUAGAGAUGUCGAGUUUGAUGAAGAAGGAGCUUGGGAUUGGGGUGUCCAAGAAGAAAACUAUGACUUCUUACCAUUCUUUGAUGAAGAAGAACAAAAGAAUGGAGAGCAGCAAGAGAUUAUCAGUCCACCUCUAUCGCCUACUCAUGGAAAUGCUUCUUCAUCAUCUUCACAAGGAGAAAGUUCAAGCGAAAGGACAACACGGAUGAGGAGCCUACAAGAGCUAUAUGAGGUAACCGAAAAUCAAAAUGAUCUCACACUUUUUUGUCUUUUUGUCGAUUGUGAACCAAUAGGGUAUGAAGAANNNNNNNNNNNNNNNNNNNNNNNNNNNNNNNNNNNNNNNNNNNNNNNNNNNNNNNNNNNNNNNNNNNNNNNNNNNNNNNNNNNNNNNNNNNNNNNNNNNNNNNNNNNNNNNNNNNNNNNNNNNNNNNNNNNNNNNNNNNNNNNNNNNNNNNNNNNNNNNNNNNNNNNNNNNNNNNNNNNNAAGUAUUUUCUAGAAAAUAACUUCACAAAAUGCCCUCAUGAGUAUGCCCUUUAUACAAAGGUAAAUGAGAAAGGAGAUAUUUUGCUUGUUUGUUUGUAUGUAGAUGAUCUUAUAUUUACAGGAAAUAAUCAAAGUAUGAUCACUGAGUUUAAGAAGGUCAUGGCUCAAGAAUUUGAGAUGACGGAUAUCGGCCACAUGGCCUACUAUCUUGGGAUAGAGGUAAAGCAAAUGGAGGACUGCAUUUUCAUCUCACAUGAAGGAUAUGCGAAAGAAAUUCUAAAGAAAUUCAAUAUGGAGGACUAUAAGCCCGUAUGCACCCCCGUCGAAUGCGGAAUCAAGUUGUCGAAGAAUGAUGAAGGUGAAAAGGUAAAUCCAACACUUUUUAAGAGUCUUGUUGGAAGUCUAAGAUAUUUGACGUGCACAAGACCAGAUAUCCUUUUUGGAGUUGGGCUCGUUAGUCGCUAUAUGGAGACACCUACCAUGACCCAUAUGAAAACUGCAAAGAGAAUUCUUUGCUACAUCAAAGGUACGCUUGAUUAUGGCUUAGUCUAUUCAUCAUCUAAUGAGUUCAAACUUGUUGGAUAUAGUGACAGCAAUUGGGGCGGAGAUAGUGAUGAUAGAAAGAGUACGUCUGGGUACGUGUUUUACUUGGGCGACACAGCUUUCACUUGGAGCUCAAAGAAGCAAUCGAUCGUAGCACUAUCUACAUGUGAAGCUGAAUAUGUUGCAGCUACAUCAAGUGUCUGCCAUGCGAUUUGGCUUAGAAACUUGUUGAAGACGCUUGGAGUAUCACAAGAAGAGCCAAUCGAAAUCCAUGUUGAUAACAAACCGGCAUUGGCAUUGGCAAAGAACCCAGUAUUCCAUGAUAGAAGUAAGCGCAUUGAUACAAGAUAUCACUUCAUAAGAGAAAGCAUUGCAAAGAAAGAAGUGCAGCUGAAAUAUGUAACCUCCCAGGAGCAGAUCGCCGACAUUCUCACUAAGCCACUCAAGCAUGAUGUGUUCCGCAAGUUAAGAACUCUACUUGGAGUAGCAAAAUCAAGUUUAAGGGGGGAUGUUGAGUAGUAAACUUGAUUUUUUUGGACUAAAUAAUAUGGGCUUAAGGAUUUUGCUUAUAGGCCCAAAUCAAUUAAAAGGCCCAACAUGCAUAGCAUUUCUAGAAGCAUUAUCUAGAAAAAUCUAUAUAAAUAUCUACUAGAAAUAUCUAUAUAAAUAUCUAAGUAAGAUAUGUAGUUUUAUAAAGAAUAUCUAGAAAAUUCCAGGAAAAUAUCUUGAUAUGUGGUCUAGGUGUCUCUAGAAAAUGUGUGGACUAGAAUCUUCUUGUAAACACUAUAUAAAGGGGUAGUGCCCUCUAUUUUGUAACAAGCCAAAAAGUGUGUAAAGUCUUGAAUUUGAGAAAUACAAGUUUCCUUUUUCACUUUCUUCUUCCUAUUAGUGUUGUCCUCUUAAAAGCCUUAGCUAAUCCAAGUUAGUAAACCCAUCUUUCCUCCAACAUGCAAGUUAUCUACCAUGUUUUUAUUCUAGAACUGAAGGUGCCUAUUUAUAGGCUUACAAGCAAAUUGAAAAGCCAAAAAAUCUUGACUGAAUAAUUUUGAGAUCCCGAAAACUAUGGUCCUGGUGUUUGAGUGACUGAUCCUUUGAUGUUGUUUGAACCGGAAGCAUUUUCUACAAUACUCUCCUAGAGUGCUGAACAAUAACUAUGAAAAGUUGAUCCAGUGUGACAGGCAUCUUUAUAGUUUGAGCCAACAAAUCGAGGUAGUUAUAUAUUCACCAUAUUUUGAAGCACAUGCUUCUACUUUUGAAAAUCCAGAAGAAUCCAAAGGUCGUGAAUUUGAUCAAGUGGCAGCCACUCAAGGAUAUUAUUGCCCCUACUUUCAAACUUAUUUGCUAACCAUUAACAGUGAAUUAAGGAGCAAGAAUCUGCACGAAAAAUUAAUAUCAAAGUCUAAGUCAAAUUUAGAUAAUUUUUUAAUCAAUUUUCAACCGUUUGGAGUAAUUACUCAAAAAUCAGCAUCGCAGGAGAUGUUGUAUUCACAAUGAAGACGAGCGAUAUUGUACCUGAGCUAGAGGAUAAGGUUUCUUCAGGCACGUGUUCAGUAGUCACACGAUUAGGAUUUUGUCCGAAAGUGAAAGGAGGUGAUUUUGUGAUAGCAGCUAAUUCUACAUUCUCGAAGCUAAAGGGAGAAUAUCCUUGAGUGGCUGCCACUUGAUCAAAUUCACGACCUUUGGAUUCUUCUAGAUUUUCAAAAGUAGAAGCAUGUGCUUCAAAGUAUGGUGAAUAUAUAACUAUCUCGAGUUGUUGGCUCAAAUUAUAAAGAUGCCUGUCACAUCAGAUCAACUUUUCAUAUUUAUCGUUCAGCACUCUUGGAGAGUGUUGUAGAAAAUGCUUCCGGUUCAAACAACAUCAAAGGAUUGGUCACUCAAAAACCAGGACCAAUGUUUUCGGGAUCUCAAAAUUAUUCAGUCAAGUAAUUAUGAGGACUAUAGUCCAAACCAAAAGGUUUUAACAUGAACUUUCCAUUGAAUGAAAAACAUAUCCCUAUAUAUUAAAGGAUGGACUUUUUCUUGGCAACGUUUAUAGGAAUUUUUAUUUUAGUUUUUGUUUUUUUCUUUUGAUUAACUAGUUUGACUAUUGUUCAUUUUUUCCUUUCCUUUAUUCAUUUUACACAUUCCUUCCAACAAAUCCUAGCAGUCGACUCUCCCGAAACAUGUCCCUCCUCUCGUGUUACGUCCUUUAAUUUGGCCCUAUUCUGCAUACUAAUCCAGAGAUAAAGUCGAUGGUGGAUGAUAGAUUUUCUUCCUUCAUAUAUGCAGCUAAGAAUGAUCCAUGGAAAGUAAAAGGAAUUAGACUAGACAAAGUCUUCAACUGAUUCAGAUCGAGUUCUUUGGUUACGGGUUUGGGUUUGGUGGAUCUAUGCAAGUCCCAAUUGUAGCUGCCUUGUUUGCAGUGGUUUUGGUGGAAUUCAUGAAAAUGGUGGUCUAGACAGUUGAGGAGAUAGUGUGACUAAGGGUGGAAAGUCAAAGCUGCGUUCGCAGUCGCUGGAGCUGUCUAUUUUGUGUUUGUUUUCUCGGUUCUAUUUCUUCUUCCUUUUUCAAUUUUGUAGAAAAUUGAUUAAUAAUGUAGGCCUCGAAUUUUGUUUUUCAAAUUUUCUUACAAGGAACAAUUUCUUGGAAGUAAGUUUAGUUGUGUGUUAAUUUUUUGGUAUUUAAUGGUGCCGUUAGAAAAAACCAUUAAGUUUUUGACGGUGAGAUAACCAAUUUCAUUUUUAUUUAAUCAUUGUUAAUGGAAGUAAAGAGAAAGAUGUAUAACUUAAGCGCUCUAAGUUCAUUGUUACAGCUGUAGAAUAGAACUUCGAGCAUCGUGUUCUUAGUAUCUGGGUCUUGUACUUAUUAUGUAGAGGAUUUGACGUAUUGAUUUCUCAAUGCUCAGGAUUUUCUCAACAUUAAUAUAAGGGUAAUAUGCAUCAUUUAUGUUUCCUAUUUAGUAAACAACAAAGCUUUGUUCAAUGAUGAGACUCUUUGGUUGCCUACUAUCUAACUCUAGGCUGUGCAGACAUUAGACAGAGUUGCUAAAAUUUUGGAUAAUUUUAUAGUUGUUACACUUGUAGCUUGUUCAAAUGUGACCCUUCUUGCUGAUCAGGUGAUUAAUGAUUUAUGACACAGCAUAGACCUAGGAAAUGCCUAGUGUUAGUAAUUGAAGUAGUCAUUUCUUUUGCAUUGCAUUAUUUGACCACUUGUAUUUAUCAAACGAUAUACUAUUCAGGUAAAGAGACUUCAUCCUGAAUUAGUUGCUUUUAGAAAUUACUCUUUUAGAAAUUACUCAUUAGUUGAUGAACUCAAAAAGGGGCUCUGCCCAAUAGAAGACAAGCCUGAAAUUAUUUUCAGAGAGCAGAGGACCUAUCUUGGUUAUCUAUCAUGUGUCACUGAAAUUUCAUUAGUUGGUAAAUGAUAAUCUAACUCAUUCCUCAUUGUGUUACUAAUUCAUAUUUCAGGUUUCCAGCCUCCCGAAUUUAUUUUGGUGAAAAUACUACGGGCACUAAUUUUAGUAAGUGCUAAAUAAAUGAGAAUUUGAUGACUUUCUUUUAGUUUUACGAUGAAACAACCAUACUUAUCAUUCUUACAAAGAAUUUAGUUGAACUGGUUAUUUUGCAUUGUCAUUUUCUGGUACUUUAAUGUCUGCAAGAAGCAAGGAAUUCUACCCAAUAAAGCUAUUCUGCGGAAUUAUUUAAAAUUUGUCAUCCAUAUUUCAUCCUUUUUGUUCACAUAAGAUUCAUUAUGGCAUGAAUGAACUUACAAUAUAUAACUAUUUUUGGUGUCAUUAGUGUCUUUAUUGGCAUAUGUAAACCAGGUUUUUGCUAUUGGAUGGGCAUCUUUUGUUCUUCUUGUGGGGUUUCAAACUUUGAAUUUUGUAUUUUGACUUUUCGGACAAUUGUGGAAAAUUUUGUUCGAAUUUGAAAAAAUAUGAAACUUUUUAUGCUUUCCAUUUAUGGGGAAAUUUUUAAAACUUUGUUGUAAUUAUUUGUUGUAUAACUAGGGUUACUAUGAAAACUUUAGACAAAGUCAAGUUUUGAAUUUUUGGGGAAAUCUAGGCGAAAAAAGAGUUUAUAAUUAUGAAGAGUUCUUUUAAUUGCUAUAAAAGUAAUAAAAUUGACUAUUUAAAAUUUUUUGAAGAACGAUGACAUUUUGCUCAAGAGAGUAAGAGAAUCUUGUAUAGAUUUCUUGUUAUUAUAGAAAAGAUGAAAUUUAAAAAACUUUAACCUUUAGCUCGCUGAAAUAAGAGCUAUUUCAGUAUUUCUUGAAUAAUUGCUGAUCACUUCUGGCAACUUAUUCAGUCAUUGACUCUUUUAAAACUGAUCUAAACACUAAAAUAUACAUUUUUUAAUAUUUUAAAACAAUUCUUUAUCUUAGUUAUGUAUCUUUGUUGACUAAUCUGUUUGAAUGGUUUUCGAUAGUUAUUUUUUCAAGUUUCAUUUCGGUAGUUAAAUUUUUAUUAUUAUAUUUUCUCUUAGAUAAUGCAUGCAAUUCUUUUGGUUAUGUAGAGAAUAUAUACAUAUCUUUUGGUUAUGCAGAGAGAGUUUACAUGAAGAUGAAGAUAUUGAUAAGAGAACACUAACUGCAUUGCUUGUUCCCAAGAUAAAAAUGCCCCAUGUGUUUGACAAUCACGAGAAACAAAUUUCAUGAUACCUUUAUCUUGUAACUUUUUUUUUUUAAUUUUAAUUUUUAUUUUGUAGCAUUACUUUUGCAUGAAAACUCCUUCAUGAAGUUUGAGUUUAGUAAGAAUGUAUAAUAAACUUCAUGAUGCUUUUUUGGCUUGUAACUUAACUAUGAUGGUGUAUCAAGUGCAGCUUUUGAUAUGUAUACACCAUCUUUUUUUUGCUCCAUAAAAAAUAAAUUUGUAAUUUGUCUUAGUCUAUUAUUUAGAUGUACAGAACUUUUGAUUUUAUAUAUAUGGGAUGGCUUUCAAUGCUCUUGUUAUACUGAUCCAAGAUUUUGAUACAGUUAUGAACAAGUAAAUUAGACUACUUUUUGCUUCUGUUAUUUAUGUCAAUGAUACAAGAGGUUGAAUGUACAAAAGUUCAUUCAUUUCUCAUUGUGUCAUAUGAGCGUUACUUCAGUCAAAACAAAUAAAUUAUUUUAGACUAAAAAUUAGAAUUCUGCUAGUCAAUGUAAGUUAUUAGUUUGUCUCUUCAAACACAUUACUUGAGGAAUUUCUCCAUUAACUGGAACAUAGUUUAUAGUUCUUAACACACUAUUUUUACAAUAUUGUUGCAUUGAAACAUUUAGCAACAUUUGCUUAAAUUUGAUGUAACUAAUGUUUAAUACAAAUAAUUUAUUUAUUUGUUUAUUUAUUUAUUUAUUUUUUUAUCUAUGCUAUUAUAUAGUCAAUUACAUUAUGACACAUGCCUUGCAUGUGUGUCUCACUAAUCUAUUAAACAAGAUGCUAUUGUUUACAUAUUUGUGCUAGCUUGGCCACCAGUGAAGUCAGAAGUUGGCUUCCAAUUAGUAUGUUUUCUGGGUUGUGGAUUGGUCUCUUUGAGAAAGCUGGGUGGCCUAGCCAAUUGUAAGAACACAAGAUCGAAAGUAAUUCUUUUAUUAAUAAAGUAAAUUAAGAAGCUACCUAUUAAUGGUAGUUGGAUUACAGUUUAUGAUAGAAUGAAAAGGCAAAACAAUUACUACUAUAGUUAAUGUGCCAAGGCCAUUAUCACCAUAAGCUGCCUUCAGAGCUAAAAUAUUAGACCACAUAAUUUCUAUUUUUCUCUUGAGACCACCUACAAGAACUUUGCACAAAAGUUUUUGCUUUGUUAAGUAACACUUCACCACCAAAUUGUUUUGAAAACUUGACACACAAUACCAAAGAUAUCAUAUAUAUUAGUAACAUGCUACAGGCAUACCACAUCUAAAUGUAACAGGUUUCUAUUCACUUAUAGAAGUUUCUUUCUAUAGUUACAUUUUACAUUUUUUCAAAUCCAAAGUUAGUUUGGACUGGUACAUGUUUGUGAAAGAUUAUAAUUGUUGUAAUAUGACCCAAAUUUUGGUGGGUAUUGGUGUCCUAGUUAAAGUGGUAUUGAAGAGAUCAAAAUUAUGGAUCAGAAGAAAAGUCGUCACGGCUAGCCUGUUGCUAGCUAGACGCAUGAGCAACACCAACAAAUUUUAAUAGAAAGUUCUUGCCCGCCUAUCGCUCGCUCGUCGCUCGAGCAACAAGGUCUUCCGAAUUUCACGUUUUAACGUGCUUUAGACUCCUAUUCAACUACAACUUGGUUUCUAGGAUUUUAGAUAUAUAUAAGCCAUGACUUUUGUUGUUUCCAUAACAUUCAUACAACAUCAUGAGAGUUUAGAUAUUUGUUAAGAGCAUUGAGAUCUUAUUGUAAACAGAAUUGCUAUUGAUUAUAGUGAAUUUCUCCUCCUCUGCCCUUAGUUUUUUCCUGUGUUGGGUUUCCGUGUAAAUUUUGGUAUUCUUUAUUUUGUUCUUAUUUAUUUCAUUAUUAUCAUAAUCUUCCACUCAAAUUCAUAACAAUUGGUAUUAAAGCGAAAGUUGAUUUUCUACAUGGCAAUGAUGAAUUAUGUUAUUUCGUUAUUUGAUCGAAAUCGUGAUUUAUUUUAUGGCAAGUGAAUAUGAAAGCAUUUCUCAUAUAAAUGGAUUUGGAGAAAGCCUUGCUUGGCUUUGAUAAACUGCUUUUAACCUGGACGCAAGAUGAAAAACAGGGUGUUCUCAAGAAGAAAAGUGUUAUACUUUAUUGUUGCCAUACCUAGAUCACGACAGAAGAGCUCCAUUAAAAUUAGAAUGGAUAUGCCUACCCAAAAGGACAACAUUAGGUCAUCUCCAACCUUGUACCAAAAUUUGCACUAUUUUACACCAAAUUUUGCACGAACCAAAAAAUCAUCUUUAACCAUUACACCAAAUUGAUGUUGUUUAAUAAUUUCUUUCUCCUUUUUUAUUCUUAAUAAUUCAUUUAUUUGAAAAUUUAUUUUACAAGUACAUAAAUUACUAAAUAAAUAAUUACGUUAAAUUAAAGAAAAGAUUAAAUUCAUUAAAAAUCAAAUAAUAAUAAUAAUAAUAAUAAUAAUAAUAAUAAUAAUAAUAAUAAUAAUAAUAAUUGCAUUAAAAAAUAGAUAACACAAAUGAUACAAAUAUCCUCCAAUUACUUUGACAAAUGAGGGAAAAGGGCAAAUUUGGCUUUCUUUGUAUCCUCCAAUUACUUUUACAAAUGAGGGAAAAGGGCAAAUUUGGCUUUUUUUGCACCAUUUGGUGCAAAUGGUGCAACACUAUUCACUUUGUACCAUUUUAUUGGUGCAAGACUAUUCACUUUGCACCAUUUUGCAUGUAAAUGGUGUAAACUUUGGUGCCACAUUUGAGAUCUUUUGCACCAAAUUUUGGUAAAAUUUGGAAUUUUGCUAUAGCAUUGGAGAUGCCCUGAUCAUCUAAUUUGUGAGGGUAUUAUUUCCCAAAUUCAGCAUUCUCAAAUAACCUUUCGACCCAGGAUUAUAACAUCCUCUGAAAGACUAUUUUGAUUCAUCGACUCCUUUGGUACCUGUCAUAUCUUGUUUGGAUGAGAUAGAAAUACAGAGUUUUGAUAUGCUUGAAAUAAAUGUUGAAACUUUCGAUUUAGAUUUACAUUCUUCCAAGGUUACCAUGAGUUGAUGGGGCAUAAAUCAUUUUGGAAUACUACGUAUUGAAAAGUUGACUCUUUUCUCAAUACCUCAAUAUCAGUUGGUUCUAUCUAAGGUUUUUUUUUUGGCCUCUACAGAAUCCUUUAGAUGUAAAUUUUGAUAUACCUUUGAUACGCUAAUGAAAUGAAGAGCACCAGAUGUAUCAUCAUCAUCCACUUUCCUUUAAUUUUGACUUUUCCCAUGUAAAAUUUGGCAUCAACAAAAUGAGAUUCUUCUUCAAAGAAUGGUUUGGACUCAACUACUACACAUUUGACUUCAUAAUCUAUGCUAUAUUUGAAGCAUUGGUAUCAAGUCAAAGGUAUCACUCCAUUUUUGUGUAGCCAAACACAUCUGAGAAGUAACUCAUAGGAUAUUUUAUCAUCAAUGACAUGGAACAGAGUUGCCGAAAUUAACUCUCCUAUUUGCAGCUUUAGAUGAAUCAUGCCAAUGGCUACUGACCUUUUUCAUUCAAUCCUUGAGUGAUGAUCUUGUUCCUGGAUAGAUCACCAACAUAAUUUCAAUUUUGUUCGUCAUUUUGAUUCGCAUAAUGUUUACAACAUAUCCACAAUUGAUCAUUAUGUGAUUUGUCCUGCAUUCUUGAAUAUAAGUACUAACAUAUAGUGGUGUAUUACAAAAAUGAGAACCCAGUUGUAAAUCUUCAUCGUCAAAUAUAAUGGUAGCUAACAAUCUUGUUGAGUUGUGGAUCCAAUAUGUUCUAAGACUUCGUAUUCUUCCGAAUCUAUCAAUGACAUAACUAAAGCCAUUUGAUCAUCGAAAAGCAUACUAAGAGGCUCUAUUAAACUCAUCUUAAAAAGAAUAUUGUUGAGUUGUCAGAUAGUUUUCUUCUACUUCAAACUCUGUCUUGAUACAUUUUUUCGUUUCAUUUUUUUCUUUAAAUUGAUAACAUUAGAGGUAAAACAUUCAUUGUAAAAAAAACCCUUGUAAAAGUAAUCACCUAGGGUUGGUAGUCGAGAAGGAGCACGUGAAGCCAGUUCUACUUUCGUUGAUUUAGUAGAUAUUCUUGACUUGACUUUAGACCUUCUUAUUUGGUUGUUUCUUGGUCUUGACUUCUUGUAAUAAACACCAAAACUUGGGAAUCAUGGAGCUUUCCAAUAAUGUCUUUUUACAAGAGGUAUAGAAUGUGAUAUUUUACCUAGUUUGUGUGAUAUUCAGUAUUUUUCCUUCUUGCUUAUAAAGGUGACCAGCAAUUACUGAUCUCAUCUUCAGACUCUGAAUGAGAAUCCCAAACAUCCAAGUCAUCUGUCAUGAUUUCAUAGAAGGUUGGACGAUUGGGUAUACAUGGUCUAUCCAUCACUAGAUAAAUAUAAUUGAUGGUGAUUUCUCCGUCUACCUCAAAUUCCAUCGAGAUGGCUUUUCUGGAAGUUGAGGUCCAAACUACACAACCGAGAAUUUACUGGCAUCAUAUGUACAAGAAAAUGUCUAUUCAUUCUUUGCAAUGGAAAUCAGAUUAAAUAACCAUCGAGCAAGCGAUUGCUGAAUUUUCUCUAUUUACAAAGUUAAUCUUUCUUCUUUGUCCAAGCGAACAAUAAGAUCUUUUAGGAUGAAACAUUUUUUCACUAGGUGAUCGAUGAUUCUAUGAAAUUUAUAAUACUUAGGAUGAUCAAUCUUACCAGCUUCCUCGAUCUGUUUGAUGUUGGAUAUUCAAUUAUCUUCUGUUCGAGGAGUUGACCCAGAUUUCAAGAAUUUCAAAAUCCGAGAAUGUGUACUCCUUUUCUGCAAGUUUUUUCAAAGUCAUACGAGCUUUGCUAUGGAAUUGUCCUUUUUUAGGUCCGAAUUCUAGCUUUGGUUUUGGGUUUGUGCUCGACCUUUUAAAGGCUAUCUUUACAUGGAUAGUAGAAAUUGGCAUAGUUUCUUUAGACUCACGUGCCUUGACGUCCUUCUUCAUUUAUUUCUAAGGGUCUUUCUUAUCAUGUGGAUCACUUAGUAUUGUAACUCCCACACCUUGCAAUUUGGAACUUUAGAUCAUGAACAUGUGUUGCCAACUCUUUAAAGGAGUGGGGCAUAUUUACUUGGAGAUUAUAGAGUAAUCCCCAAUGCAUGCCUUGUAUACACAUAUAGAUCGAGGAUGCUUAGUUGAUUCAUUCUUUGCAAUUAAGUAUGAGGUUCCUUCAACGUUUGAUGUACUCUACCACAGGCUCUUCCUUGCUCUCCUCUGUUCGAGCAAGUAUUGGAAAGUUGACAGUUUUCGUGGUACUGUAGAAGCAUGUUAGGAAUUCUCAUUCGAGUUGAUCCCAUCUAUCAAUUUACCCAACUGGUAAUUUUGUAUACAAUUCAAAUACAGCACCUUUGAGAAGUGUAUGAAUUGCUUUACCAUGGUGCCGUUGUAAGUGCCUGUAUUGUUAAACAUCUCAAUAAAAUGAGUAACAAGCUCCUUUGUGUUGCCCUUUCCAUCAAAAUACUGGAAUUUCAUCUUUAUUUCAUCGAUUUGAUGACUAUUGGGCUUGGUAUACACCAAUAAAGAUUGCAAUGAAUCCCAUACUGGGAAUGAAUGGUGUCCACAAUCAUAUGUUGAGGUUGUUGGAUGGGUAGAGAGCCAAAUGAGAGUUGAGUGGUGUCGCGCAACACAUUUUGAACAACUGUCCAAUCAAGUAUACCUUACUUUUGUUAGCUUUCUUGGACUUCUAGAUCCUUAGCUUUGGAAUGUCCUUGAUUUUCUUUAACCUAGCUAGUGCAUAGUACAAAAAUCUGUACAUCUUUGUCCUUUAGUGACUUUGUUAGUGUUUCAAUGGCAAAAGCCAUUUGUUGGAUUCGAUCAUCUAAGCCCGGUGUCGCUUCCGUAACCAUUACUGGCUCGAGUGAUUCUUUAGAUGAGUAUUGUCUCCCCACCUUUGUAGAGAAGUGGCAUGAGAGGAUCUACACAAGAAUCCGCCACUUGAGAUGGAACUAGAACGAGAGCUUUUCGCCGAACUCUUGACCUUUCUAUCUAACAAGAGUUUGGCUUUUUUAAAGAACUUUUCAUUUUGCCUUUGUUAGAGAAUUUUUUCAGUGGUAGAACUAGUUGAAUUUUCCCAAUUUUUUGUUUGGGCAAUCGUCACAUGGAAUAGUUUAGCAUCUGUUCAAGACGAGUCAUAGUUUUCUUUGACUUUUUGCUUGCCAUUGUAAAUGUAGUGGUUGAAACUUUAAGAUUCUGAGAUCAAAAUAUGAGAGGACGAGAAGGUCUAACCGGACGUGAAAAGAAAUUUGUACGAUGAAUUUUGUGUAUUAAAAUGCAGAAAUCAUUACAAGUUGUAUAUUUGACAAAUACAGGUGGAUAUUAAUCUUCCUAUAAUUAAAAAUUUGUAAAAUUUUCUAUCUGAAUGUUUGAAGACAAGGGAUCACGCGACUUGAAUCCUGGAUUUUGAAAUUUGUUGAAAAUUUAAUUUGUUGAUAACUUUGCUUGUUUGGCACUUGGAUUUCAGGGCUUGGACUGGGACUUGAAUUUGAUUUGAUUUGAAAAAGACUUUGAUCUUCCUAAACUUGGGGUUGCUUGAUUUGAUGAAGAUUUUGAUCAUUUUAGUAAUCGCCGAACUUAAGUUUGAGGGGAUUUUUUCUCUUCCUCUGAUCAUGUAUUUCUUCAGCACUCCAUGAUUUUUCCUCGGCACUUUCGCUUGUCCAAUUUUAUAGACCUUUGGUCCUAUUUUUAGAGGAAAUUCAUGAUCAAUUUGGUAACCAUCCAAUUAACUUUAGCCAACAAGAAUAGUUGAAUAGUUGUGAAUUUUGAAAAAAAAAAAAAAGGAUAGGCCUUAGAUUAUUUUUAUUGCUUUAGUAGACUUUAAUUUAAUAAAUUUAAUGGACUAAUUAUUUAGAUCUACUUAAUGCAUUUUAUUUAAUUUUUUUUAUGUCUAUAGAUGCCCCCUCAAGAUUUAUUUAUUUAUUAUAAAAUAAAUAAAUUAAUAAAUCAUGAUUUUUGAUUUUUUUUUUUAAAUUCAGUUUAGAAUUUGAUUUGAACUCGAACUUCCCAUUAGUAAAUUGAUACAUAUGAAAAAUUCGAGAAUAAACUAGGAAUUUGAUUUAGAAUAAAAUUCUUAUUUUUUUUUAUUUGUGGUUUCCACCACCUGCUAUAACAAAACACGGUUUUCGCCAUAGGUUUCUUUAGUUUUUGUCGGUGCCGAAAACCAAAAUCAAUUGGAAUCCAAUUGGCACUUUCAGUUUCUUUUCCUUCUUUGUUUUUUUUUCUUCUUUUUUUUUAUUUCUUAAUUGUCAUUUUAAUUUGACCCUUUUUUUGUUUAUUAUUAUUAUUAUUAGAAGAAGUAGUAGUAGUAGUAGUAGUAUGGUUGUUUUAAUAAAAUUGAAAAUCACAUUUUCCAUUUUAUUUUCUAGGGACUCAACUUUUGAAGUCAGUCAAAAAUUUUUAGGUUCAAGGCUUUGAUGGUGUAGAGUUUAAUUUUUUCUUUUUGUUGCAACCAUUUUAAGAGUUUAAAAAAAUAUUUGUUUAUGAAUAGACUCAAAAUUUCAUCUCUUUUCGUGCACUUUGAGGAUCAAUUACUAUCACCUUUCACCAUGCAAGGCACUAUUAUGUUGAGGACUAAGGACUGCCUCCUUUGAUCGUUCAAGGCAUUUUGUAUUGAUGACCAAGGACAUGCUCUUUCGACCAUCCAAGACACUUUGUGCUAGGCACUAAGGACCGACUCCUCAUAUGAUUAAAACUCUUCUGGAACCCAAUUUUGACUUUUUUUUUUUUUUACCUUAUUUCACCUUGCACAAUACAAGAUAUAGGCAGCUACUGAAACAAUCUCUUUCUUAUCUCUCAAGUGACUUCCAUAUCAUAAUAUCAUUCAAAAAUGAGGUAAAAUUCAUCAUAAGUUGCAAAGGAAAAUGAAUCUAGAUCAUGGAUUGAAUGAAGAAACAUCAAGAACUUAAAUAAUCAAAUAUCAGAGUAGAUAAUCAUGAAUAGGAAUUAGAUCGCAACAUCUCUUUCUUGUAAUUAUAAAUUUUCAAUGAUGAUUUCCAUUCUUGUAGUUUUAUCAUUAGAAAUAUGUUUAACUAGAUUCUUUGUAUUGGAUGAAAGUGAAACCUAUUAUUUAUUCAUUUUAAUUUAAACUAGUAAUUUAGUAAUUCUUGUUUUCUUGGUUAAUUUUAUAUUCUCAUUGUAUUAUUUGAUUAUUUGGCCAAGAUAAUUGGUUGCUUGUUGUAGCGUUUAAAAGUUCACAAUAAGUUUAGAAUACGACAAAAUUAUCAUAUGUGCAAUAGAUGUUAGGAAUGACAUUCCAAUUCAAAUUAGGAAUAUUUUCAGGACAUGACUACUAUAAAAUUAAUUUGUCUUGGAAAAGAAGGCUAACUACAUUAGCUUUAUCGAUUGUCAAGAACACAUGAACUAAACUAGAAUGCAAAUUAAGAAUUGAAAUAUAUAGCAAUAGGAGUGUUAGGAUUUUAUUGUAUUGGCAAUUCUUUAGAUAAAAAGACUAAUAUGAAAAUUUGUAAAAGUCAAGGAGUCAAUUGAAAUAUUGUAUAGAUAUUGAAAUAGGAAACUUAAAAUCAAAGUCAAUUGACCAAUGGUAUUAUGCAUAAAAUCCUAGUUUGCAUUUUUCAAAAGUUUUAUCUAGCCAAUGCUAUCUAAUUGCCUUGUACUAUAUAUAUAUAUCCGAGCCAUAAUACAUUUUUGAAUGACAUAGUUAAUUCUAGCCUCAAUCUAGGUGAGAGAAUUCUUAAGAUUUUUAGAAAAAUCUUUAGAUCCUUAUCUGAGAGAUUCAUGCCUAAAAUCACUGCUAUAGAGGAGAGUAAGGACAUAACUACUAUUAAGGUUGAAAAGUUGGUCGGAUCUUUCCAUACGUUCGAACUAACAUUAGCUAAACCUACAAAAACAAGUCCUUGGCCUUGAACAGACUUAGGGAUAACCGUAAUAAGUCUUCUGAUUCGAAGUCACCUAAUGAUGAGAAGAUAGCUUAUUUUUCUAAGAAAUUUCAAACAUGUUUACAAAUAAGAAAUCUGAAGAAAGAUAUACAAGUGCUCCCAAUGAGUCUCGAAAGAGAUCUCAAUCUGUGAGAUGUCAUAAGUGUCAAGGUUUUGACGAUUAUCGGAGUGAGUGUCCUAACAUCAUGAGAGAUGAGGAUAUACUAUGAAUGUUACUCAUACUAAUGACGAGUUUAACUCGGAUAAUCAAAGUGAGAAGUACACCUAGGAUAAGAAUGGAAAGUAUAUGCCCUUCACUGCUAGGAUUAGGAGUGAAUCUGAUAAAGACAGUGAGAAGGUUAGGGAUAUAGAUAGUAGUGAGCAAUUUGAGAAGGAUUUUGAAGAUGAGGAAGACAUACAUGAGGCUUAUGAAAAACUAUAUGAGAAGAGCCUUAGGCUAUUAACUACCAAUGAAACCUUAUGUGCGAAGGUCAAAGAUCUUAAGAUAGAGAAAGAAAAACAAAUAGUUGACAUUUAGGAAUCUAACUUGUCCCUAAGUAAGUUGAACUCUGUGAAUGAAUCCACAGAUACUCAGGUUAAGAAUCAUAUGAGUGAUCUUGAGAAGUUCUCUAAGAGAGUUAGUGAGUUCAACGUUGUGAAUGAGACUUUAGAAAGUAAGGUUAAGACCCUUAUGAGCGAUGCGGAGGAUUCCAACACCUAACUCCUUGCAUUUUCUAGUAGUUUAGUAAAGUUCAAUAGCAUAUUAGGAAUGGACAAACCUCCUGGUCAUAAGGGUGGUUAGGAUAUAAGGAGAAUGAUCACAAUUUUGCUAGUAUUUCCAAGAGCAUUUUAUCCUUGCCACUGACCAGUCUAAGUACGAUCCUAACCCUAAACCCAAGAAUAAGAAAAUCGUAGGAUGGAGGCUUACUAGACAGUGUAGGACCUACCAACCUAGAAAUAUAAGUCAAUGACCACGUAAACUUGGUCCUAGAUUUAUCCCUACUUGUUUCAAUUGUGGUGAGUUAGGACAUAUAAAGCCUAGGUGUCAUAAAUUCUUAAACACAAAUAGAAAUUAGAACUUUAAUAGAAAUAAGAAUCAGGAUUUUGAUAGCUGAAUUAACUUCCUCACUAAUCAAGUGAGCCAACUAGCUGAGUUAAUGACAAGUUGACUAAGAUUAAUUCUUCCACUAAGCAAGUUUGGCUAAAGAAGAGUGAUCUGAAAAAUCUUGAAAUAGAUCACGAUGCUCUUAAAGGCAAGAGCGUUAGUGUACCUAACUGAUUAGGCAUCUCUGAUGUAUGCCUGUGCUUAUCAUUGCCAUUAAUUUUAAUGAAUUAAUCUCAUUGUUGUAUUUGUUCUAUAGAUAGUACAUGUGUGUGCAUCUUUGUCAGGUUUGCAUUGGCACAUGCAUAUUUUUUUUUGUUUGUUUUGCGUGAUUAGUGCAUUUAUGCUUUGAAAAAAAAAGUUUUUUAAAUUAUAGCAUGAUAUAUGAUAUUCUUGAACUUAUGUGUUGUGACCAAGUAUGAGUUUAAUUGAUGUACUAUUGCAUAUUUCUAUUACUUAGGUUUUUAUGGAGUACUUAUUAUAUGUUUCUUAUGUACCAUCUGCAUGCACACAUUGUGAGUCGGAUUUGAUUGCAAGUGUGAGACUUGGGAUGACAGUCACAUGUUGUAAGAUGAUUUUGAACACGAAUUACCUUUAUUUUAGUAGCUAAACUUUAGUAUAAUCCCUUGAAAGAAAGUGCUUAAUAUCGUAUGCUCUUUUUUCGGAGAUUAUUUGACUCGAGCAAUUAAGCCUGAAGGAUUUCUCCUAAACUAGUGCCUAUGGUCAAUUGACUUGGGUUAACCAGCCUAAUACUCAUUACAUGGGUCAUCUUAGCUGUUUAAUGGAGAUAAGCCUACACAUAAGGCAAUUAUUGGUUUAACUUUCAUAAAUAGGGGGAUAACCUUAUUGACAGUGAUAUUUAGCAUGUCUUUUGUCAAAAAAUUAAGGUUUGGAGUCUUCCUUACAAAGGAUUAGUUGACUUUAUACACAUGGGUCACUUGUACAAUUUACUUCAUUUUAACUUGAAUUAAGUAUGUGGGGAAGUCUACCGAUCAUUUAUUAUGAUUGUGGAUGCUACUAACUACAUCUUUAAAUUAUUAUAUAUUAUUAAUCAUGUGUAUUUGAUAUAGUUUCCUUAGUCAUUAGUGACAAAAAAAGGGAAGGAGAGAUUUGAUUGUAAGUUUUGUUGAGAGCUGCAUUUGAUAGAGAGUUUGCAGCAAGGGGAGAAAGAUAAUUGUAAGAGGAGAGAUAAUUGUAUUUUUCAUUCAUGGUAUUCUAUAUCAUAAUGCAUAACUCCUUUGAAUUUUUUAUGUUUGAUAAUAUUAAUGUUUCAGUUGGUAUUUUGAUUAACAUCAUUAUUACUUUUUAAUCGAGCAAGCAUGUGUUUUGAUUAACGUGUGUGAUAAUUGAUUAUUUUUCUAUAUUACGUGUUUUUACACGUGGUAUUUGAGUUGUUGAUUUCAAGAAAUAAGUUAAACAAAGAAUGCAAGAUACGAAUGUUUAGUUUGAGUUUGAGUAGAUUAGUUUGAUUUUAUUUUUUUGACAUAUAUUUUAUAGUUUUAUCAUAGAAUGCCAAAAGGGAAGUUUGUUGGGAUUUUAUUGAAUCAAAAAUUCUUUUAAAGAAAAGGACUAAUAUGAAAAGUUCUAAUAUUCAAGGAGUCCAUUGAAAUGUUAUGCGGAUAAAAUAGGUAACUUAGGGUUUGAGUUUGGAACAAUGAGGAAAGAGUCGUCAGAUUUACAUUAACCUAUCGUCUAUCUGAUGCUCGAGUGGAAAAAACCAGUUGCGUUUCUCUAUCAACAAUUUUUGUGUUCUUUAUUACUUUUAUGUUACAAAUUGUGACAGUUCAACAAAAGAUGAAUUGACUUAAUUAACUAAAAAACUAGAACAAUUAGUAAGUGACUUGACGCUAUUAAUUGAUCAUUUUAACUUCGCAGUUUUCACCUAUUCACCUCCCUCUAGGUGACUUUAGGAUGGAACAAAUAACUUUCAAGUGGUAUCAGAGCUUUUCAAUGAGGAUUUGAAAUCCAAUGCAAUCAUCCAUAAUUUGAUACAAAACAUUUUUAAGUAUUUCUUAACAUAAUUUAUGAUAAUCACAAUCACGAAUCUCUUUUGUUUACGAAUUCGAAUUCCUAACAAAAUUAAUAAACUUAAAUUGAAAUUUAUUCGCUUUGGGACAAUACUCCAUCUUAUCAAAACUAUUACUUGCUAACGAUCCUGUAUGCUUGCAGGAUUUAACCUUGUAAUUUUUUUGUGUGAUGAGGAAUAAAGUGAUUGAUUUGAGUUUAUUAGUAUAAUAAGAUUCGAAUUUUUAAAUUUUUAUUUAUUCUUAAUUUGUUAAUUUUAGCUACACCCCGAUCUCUCUUGUGUUUGCUAUUACUUUCAAGUACUAUUUAGUAGUAUAUGUAGGAUACUGAUGAUGGCAAAGAGUAAAUUUUUUUUUACAAUAAUUAAUCUCGACAUGGAUGAUGAUAAUAUGCUUAUAGAUGACAUAUAUUGUGAAUUUUGUUAUGUGUUGCAUUAUAUUAGCACUGUUUGUAUACAUGCAUUAACCUCAAAGGUUGAAGCUUCUGCGAUUUAAACAAUAUUUUAGAUGUCAAAAAUUAGCAAUUGGCAAAUCUAAUGAAGGCUAAAUGCUUGUGUGCGAGUAAGUAUCUGCACAUUAGCUUGUGGGAUUUGGUCAUUCCUUAUUGAACAAAAAGGUACUUGUAAACUAUUAUAAUAAACUUGUCAAGUUGGAUGAAAACAAAAUGUAUGUGGAAGAUGUAUUCUAGAGCGAAUUUCAAGUGUGAGGAUAUAGUCCACUUGAAAAGUUGAGAGAAAAAAUUGCCAUUGCUUGUAGAUUUUGAUUGUAAACCAACCAUUAUAUUCAAGGAAAUGUCAAUUAUUGAAGAAGAGCAUAAAGAAGAUGACAAAUUAAUUACAAAGAAAUCAAGUGAAGAUGGGGCAAUUAUUGAAGAUGAAAUUAACACACAUUUCUUUCAACUUUAUCAAUCACCAAACAAUUGAAUUUGUGAUUAAACUCGACGAGGAGAUAGAAGUCUACAUGAUUGGUUUCGAAUCGGAUGGAAUUCUAUAAAAAAGUGGCUUUAGGCAUGGAUUUUACCUAUAGUGAUUCCGUUGUUGAUUACCAUAGUUGAAAGUAGAUUAUUUUUACCAAUGGACAAUCCGUUGGUAAAGAGAUAUCACCUUUAGUAAUAGCAAUUCUGUUGCUAAUUACUGUAGUUUAAAGUGUAUUGCUUUUAUCAACGGAUAAGUGAUAGUUAUCUGUACAUCACCUACGAAAUAUCUAUAAGUGAAAGAUCUAAAUGUCAAACGACUACAUUAAACACAAAAUAUUUGUUAGUAAAUUUGAUGUUUAUUUACCAAUGGAAAUUCCAUUGCUGAUUAUCGCAGGUGAAAGUGGAUUAUUUUUGCAAUGGAUUAUCUGUUGGUAAUUUUUCAUCGAUGACAAGCUAUUUUUUAGUAGUAGAAUAGGUGAAUCAUAUCACAUUGAAGGAGACAAAGUAAAAAGAUUUGGAAAAACAAAGGAAAGCUUAUCAAAGUCAAAAGUAGCAAACUCAGCAAAACAUCAAAAGCUUUCUUCAUAAUUUAAUGAUGCAGAUUGCCAAAGUCAAGCUAACGAAUAUAAAUAAGCACUUAUUUGGAGGCAAUCCAAUUUCUUUUCCAAUUGUAUUUAUUUUGUGUUUCAUAAUAUAAGAUUAGUAAAUUUCAUUGCUUUUAGUAAUUUAGCAAAUAUUAUGCUUUUAGAACUUUAUUAAUUACGAUUCUUUUAGUAGUAUAGGGUAUUUUCAUCCCCAUAUUUUCCUUUAGGAUGUGUUAGACCUUAUUACAGAGUUUUCCAUAUUAUGAUUUAUUUUUAUUUACUUUGAAGGAACAUAACACUUGAACACAUUGGAAAAGAAAAAUAACAUAGCAAGUGAUUCAUCCACCGACUACAAAUUUAUAUCAGGAGAGCACUUAAUACUCUUAUUUGCCUUAAUUUUUAUAUAUUGCUUUUAAUAUUUUUUGAUAUUGAGGGUAAUGUCUGUUAUAAGUUUCGGGGUGAAAAAAUUAUUGAGUUUUUUUUGUUUUACUAUUUUGUAUGGUUGUUCGCAUGCAAAAGAAAAAUUAAAAAAUUUAUUUACUUUCAUCUUUAUAUUUGGUUUUGUGUGCUUGUGUGAGUUAAAUAAAUCUGUCUAUUAUGAUGCAUAUAUUUGGCAUCAUGUUUAAGAUUUUAAAUUGUGAAAAGUUGCUUAUAGGGGUUGAUAUAUGUUUGUUUAUGUGAAACUUGAUAUUCUUGUACACAAGAUUUAUGUUUGCAGCAUAAAUGAUUAAUUUGAAUCAAAAUUUUGAAUAAGUUGAAUAUAUAUAUAUAUAUAUCCUGAAAUACUGAAUCCAAACAUCUACUACAUUAUACAAUCUUGAACAAAUUCUAGGACAGAUUUGGAGUGAUUGAAUUGUUAUAUGGAAACAUAAAGAUGAAUGUGGAAAAUUUUGUGGGAAUUGUCUAAUGCUUACAAGAUGAAAGCUUGGUGAAAAUAUAAUGAGAAUGUGUAUUUAAUAAGGAGCAUUGCACGAAUCAUUGCAUGAAAAAAAAAGAGGAAAAAAGUUAUCUCAUUCAUAGCAUUUACGACAUGAGCGAUUAAAUCUGCAAGAGCAUCUCAAUUUUGGUGCCCUAUAUUCAUUUGACUCGAAAAGUCUGUACAUAGGAGUAAAAAUAUAAGAUGCAUGAAACAGAAGAUACAUCCUGCCUUGAUUAAGCCCCCACACACUUAUUUGGGAGAAUUAGGGAUUUUACAAGUGAUAAUUGGUUUAGCUGAUUCUUGGAGGUUGAAACAAUCAAAGAUAAGAAGAAUCCUCAUUUUUUGAUACGUUGAGUGGCAACUAAUAAAAUCUAAUCAAACUAGAAAUGGUGAGGAUGAAAGGAAACAAGUUAAAAAAAAAAAAAAAAAAAAAAUAAAACACAAAAACAAAACUUGGGAAAAAAGUAAAAAAAAAAAAAAAAAAAAAAAAAAACAGUUUUGAGGUGUGACUCUUAUGAGUGAAGAAAGAAAAUAUCUAAUUUUUGAGGGUUGGGAAUUUAAUCACUUUAUAAAUUUAUGAUGCUUGACAUGAAUUCUCACUCUUCAUAAAUUUUGCAUUGAUUAAGUAAAAGUUAAUUUUGAUAAUGAGAUUUUGAAGCAGUUUAUAAUUGUGAUACAACAAAUAAUUUUGAAGCAGUUUAAGAAUAUUUUAGUUGAGUUCUAUAUUGUUUGGGGGACAAAUAAUUGUUCAAGUUUGGGGUAUUUGAUAAGUUUAUUUCAUACACUCAUUAUAAUUUGGUUUUAAAAUUUCUCACAAGUCUUCUAAAUCGAACCGUGUUCAACUCUAGUGUGACAUAUACACGUGGGCCGAGAUUGUUUCAACAGCAUUUGACAAUGCAAGCCACGUGUUCCCCUCUAAUUCUAAAGCUAUGCUUGGUACUAGGUGAAAUUCGAAGAAUGAGAGAACUGUUUCAUUUUGAAAAUUAUUAGACACAAUAACAAUUGGAUAGAAUUAGACAAUUUUUGUUUAAGAUUAUUUUUUCCCCUCAUAUAAUAUAAUUUAAUUUUGUUGAUGUAAUAGUUGUGAUUAUGGGGGACGAUUGGACAUAUAAUGAGCACCAUGUGGGAGAGUAAGAAGAAUUACAUUUGUAUCUUAUUUGAUGACAAAUAUUCCAAUUAAAAAAGUUAUAUUUCGAUUUAGAUAUGAUGGACCAAACAAAUAAAAGACAUAUUAAGUGUAGAAAGGAGAAAAUAUAUGCUUAAGGUAAUGUUUACCUGCACUUUUUCUUUCAUAAUAUGACAAAAAUAAAUAAUAUAAAUAAACACUUCAUUGUUAUAUUUUGUUAUGGGAAUACUUUCAUAAAUAUUAAAAAUAGUUUAUUAGCUUUUUUUCUUUAUGUUUAUUAAUUAAUUGAAAGACAUGUCAUUAUAGGACGGGCUUGCAUCACUAUAAUGGGAACUGAUGGUAUAUAAAUGCCUAAAACUAUAACGAUGUGAGUUUAGUUUAACAUGAUGAUAAAGUACGUUAACAUCUUUAAAAAAUCUAAGAUGGAAUUACAAGUCUAAGGAGUGCACUAAACUUGCACUAUAAAUUUUUAUUUCAAUUUGAAAUUUUUGUCAUACAAACAAUUUUUCUAGCAUUCUGAAUAGUUUAAAAGAGUAUGCAUGAAUGCUUAUCUAUAAAUAAUAUACGGUAAUCUACAUGUAACUUUGUCAAGUUGGACAAGAAUUUCAAAAUUUUAAUUGUUUUCUCACUUCAAGUCAUUAAUCUCAUGUGUCACAUCAUUUCUAUUCAAUUUUCAUAAUGCUAUUAGAUGGAGCAAAGAAAGUAGAAAUCUUACUUUUUAGCCACAUUUUGAAGUAGACUGAAGUUACUUAUUUGAAAACAACCUUUUUAAAGUUGAUUUUUAUGUCCAACAAACACAACGAAACACGUAGUAUAGAAAAAUGGGCACAAAUUGAAAAUAUAGUACAAAACAUGGAUGCAGAAAAUGAAAUUUUACAAAAGAGACUUCAGCUAGAAACAUACUAAUCUAAGACAACAAGAAAGGUUGAGGAACAUUCUUACAAGAAAUAUUAUUAGGAUCCUCCAUCAAACCAAUUUCAGAAUCCCAAUAAUAUUAUAAUUAUCUAUUCAAAGCAUCUAUAACUUAAAUCAUAUCAGCUGCUAUGCUAUUCUAAGCAAAACUACUAAAAGAAAUAUUUAUCCAGCUCGGGACAUCUCAUUUAAAUUCUGAAAGAGAGGCAAUUAGGUGAAGAUGGAGCUCAAAUACUGUGAAUGAGUCUAUCCUUGAAAUGGGAAUUAAUGUGCCAUUGGCAUGCAACCAAAACCAGACCUAUAGAUUUCUUGAAGAGGCAAAUAUAUCGUCACUGGCCUUCUCAUGCAUCAUUGAGUCACUUGCAAGAUUAGACGCAACAUAUAUUUCACAAUUAGCACUUUCAUCGUAAUUUCAUUUUUCGACUUUCUCACUGGAACUUGUGGUGGGAUCUUGAGGAGAAUUGACCUUUUUCAAUAGAGAUUUCUCAUCCAAAAUGGUCGUACUUUGGGUGUCACUAAGUAAAUCUUGUUUAAUGUGUUCCAUUACAUCCCAAAAUUCUGGUGUCUUGUCUGAAGGCACAAAUCCAAAAGUUACUUGUUCUAAAAUACUGCUUCCAAUGUGGUUUUCUAGAUCACCUAUCGACAUGGAUAGAUGGAGAUCUGGCACCUUAAGUUGUUCCCAGCUUCUUUGCUGCAAAUAACCAUGCCCUUCACAAGUUCCAUUCUGUUCAAUCGCACCUAUAGCCAUCACUAGUAACAGUAGACAAUGUGAUUAGUCAAAUUUUGGUCGAAAAUGAAUUCAAAUUACGACUACAACUAAAUAAUUUGCAAGAUCAACAUUCAGCAACACAUGCUAUGUGGAGAAAAGCUGAUAAGUAAAUUGUUACUAAAAAUGAGUGCUUAGAUUUUGUUAUGUUAAUAGUAAUUACUCAAAACUCAGCUUCACUAGCGAUGUUGUAUUCACAAUGAAGAUAAGCAAUACUGCACCUGAGCUGGAAGACAAUGUUUUUUUCAGCACGUGUCUAGCAGUCACAAGAUAUCUGUCCGGAAAUUAAAGGAGGUGAUUGUGUGGUAGUUGCUAAUUCUACAUCCUGGAAGCUAGAGGGAGAAUAUCCUUGAGCGGCAACCACUUGAUCAAAUUCACGACCUCUGAAUUCUUCUGGAUAUUCAAAAGUAGGAGCAUGUGCUUCAAAAUAUGGCAAAUCCAUAACUAUCUCGAGUUGUUGGCUCAAAAUAUAAAGACGCCUGUCACACUGGAUCAACUUUUCAUAGUUCUCGUUUAACACACCUGGAGAGCAUUGUAGAAAAUGCUUCCUGUUCAAAAACAUCAAAGGUUCGGUCAUUCAAUAACAACGACCAAAAUUUUCGGGAUCUCAAGAUUAUUCAGAAAAGUAAUUAUAAGGACUAUAGUAGAAACCUAACUGUUUUAACAAGAAACUUCAAUUGAAUGAAAAACAUAUCUAUGAAAGAAAACGCUAUCACUUACCUAUUUUUGCUAGCUUCCCCACAGUUGAAUUCAGAAGUUGGCUUCCAAAUAGUACAUUUUCUCGGUUGUGGAUUGGUCUCUUUGAAGAAGAUGGGUAGCCUAGCCAACUGCACCAACACAAGAUUAAAGGUAAAGUAAAAUGAGAAGGCACCUUUAAAUGGUUGUUGGAAUACAUUUUAUCCAUAGAAUGGGAAAAGAUAAAACAAUUACCACUAUAGUUAAUGUGCCAUGGCCAUUAUCACUAUAAGUUGCCUUCAGAGCUAUAAUAUCAGACCACAGAAUUUCAAUUUUUCUCUUGAGACCACCUUCAAGAACCUCCCACACAAGUUUUUGCUUUGCAAAGUAACACUUCGCCACCAGACCGUUUUGAAAAAUUGACACAUACUGCCAAAGAUAUUAUAUAUGUAACAUACUAUAGGCAUAACACACAUCUAAGUGUAACUAUUCACUUAUAGAAGAUUCUUCCUACGGUUAGAUAUCACAUUUGUUUUUCCCCUAAAAGUUCAUUCAGUUAGGAUUAGUACAUGUUUGUGAGAGACUGUAAUUGCUUAUAAGCAAUGGGUCCCAGAUGAUAAAUGGUGAAAAGAUACGUUAAAGUUAUGAAUCAUAUAGAAUGUGUGCAUAAAAAUAGAGUUCAACCAAUUUAUAAGUAAUUGUAAGCUUUGAGAAACAUGCACUUAAUCUAGUCAACUCAUUGCAUGUACAUUUUAGUUGACCGCGGGAAACUCUAGGUUCUUAGCUUAAGGAGUAUGAUUUUGAAAUUAAAAAAAAAAAAAAAAAUUUAUCAUUGCAACGCUAUGUUUCAAUUAAGUUGAUUUGUUCCCUAAAAUUGAUUUCAUACUAAUCACCCCUGACUGGUUAAUGAAAUGCAUUCUUGAAAUACGAUCCUCUGACUAUGAUAUAAUGUCAAAAGUGGAUACCUGCCAAUUGCCAAUCCUCAAUAGUGAAGCUGAAAAAUUUGAAGCCUUCAACUUGUCAUUUGCACCUGAAGUGGUAGUUCUCCUUGCAUCUUUUUGGGUUGGCGAGUUGAGAUUUUUACUAGAUUUCAUAGUAACAGAAGCAUUAUUUUCUUCAGAGAGCCUGUUCUCGAUCAAUUCUAACAAAGAUUGAGUCUUGUUCAACCGCAAGCCCAAAGGACUAGGCUCAUCAAGUGGAUUGCACUCGACGAUGGCAUUGAAGAUUCAUGGUCCUCAGAGCUCCACUGUCAUAGAAAAGCCAAAAAAUUUUAAAAAGGAAAAAAUAACAAACAGAACAGAUUUUAUUAGAUUGAGAAGUCAUAAAAAAUAGAAAUAGAAAUAAAAAAUAGAUAAUGAAGAUUCUUAAGUGUCAUAAAAAAUAGAAAUAUCAAGCAAGCUAAUUCAAGGACAUCAUUGAUUAUCCUUUACAAUUGUCGUUAACUGCAUGUAUUUCUUUCCACGAUAGAUGCUCUCAACAGAACCGCUAAAAUGAACUGCAUAACUUAUUUAAUACUAGACACAUAUCAAAGGUGUAACACUUGUGAAUUUAAAAUAAAUUAAAGCGUACACAUGUUCACCUACACCUUAUUCCCCACGACUUGACUUAAAUGCGGAAACUAAAAGUUUACAUAUUCUAGUCAGUGGUUGCCAAUACAAUCAUCGACUAUGGGUGUCAUUGAUGAUCCUCAAAGCACCUCAGUCAUCACUUAUGGAUCUUCACGCUAGCGAUCAACAACCGAAGCACUAUCGGUGGCUGUUGGUGAUGGUCAAGUUUAAUACAAGGAAGAAAUGGUAUACAAAAUAGAUUUUAUUACUGAAAAGUCGAUUUCAAUAUAAGAAAAAUUCAUAAAAUUUUCAAUAUAAAUACGGAUCUAAGCCAACUAAUUCAAGGGUAUCUUUGAUCAUUCUUUAUAAUUGUCGUUUAGUGCACUAGUUGUUGCUACAAUAGAUGCCCUCAACUCAACCGCUAACAUGAAGCACUACUUAUUUAAUACAAGACUCACUAAGUGUAACACCUAUAAUGAAAUAAAUCAAAGUAUACACAUGUACAGAUACCCUCAUUCCCACCACUUAUCCAAAAUGUAGAAACAAAAUGUUUCCAUAUUCAUGUCAGUGAUUGUCGAUAAAAAUCACUCAUCGGUGAUCACCAAUGCUCUUAAGUGAUUACUUAAGCUUUUUUUCGGUUAUCAAAAACUGAAUCGCUGUUAAUGGUUGCCAACAAUGUCAUCAAUGUACCUUGGUCAUCGUGGUCGGAGGAUCAUUGGUGGUGAUCAUUUUGUCCAUUAACUUUUUAUUAUUUUUUUCGCAAGGACUCCACAACCAUCUUAUCUAAGACUACUAAAUUUGAUAGCAGAAGCCAAUUUUUAAAACAAUACUUCUUAGAAGAUCUUUAAUUUUCUCAUUGUUGUUAUACCACUUUUUACUUCUGCUUUUAUUAUUAUUAUUAUUUUAAAGAACACAAUAGGAAAACAAUCCACCAAAAAUUUAAAAUAAUAUCACUGGGUUUCUCCCAAUAACUAAAAAAUAUAGAAUGCCUAAAUCGAACUGAGGUUUGCGGUGGUGGAGGAACUGGAUCUUAAAAAAGAGUUACUAAUUGUAAAGCUCGGUUAGAAGAUAACAGACAAUAACAUUGACUAAACACCCAAAAUCAACUAUGAAAAAACUGAUUAAAAAACUUCAAAAAGCCACCAAAAAGACAAAAACCAAAGUUGGUUGACAACAGAUGGUGAUGGAUUUUGUGAAGAGCGAGAUCGUUUAAUGAGACGCCAUACUCUCCUUUUGACGACUUAUCCAUGUUCAUUGCACUUGUAUUGCUUCCACUAAAAGGUAUAGUUUCAAAACACUUCACCAGCUGAACCAUGCAAUUCAACCAACCAAAAAAUAAAAUAAAAAUUAUUCUUUCAGUGAAAUGCAAAAUUUUUUAUUGUAACUAAAAAUUCCAACAACGCAUCUAGUGUAAAACUAUUUCUUCAAAAACCCAGGUUGCAACAUUGUUAAAGAAAUCUACAUUUGCGUAGAGAGAGAUUUUUCACUGAAUAGCAGCCAUACAUGUAACUGUGAGCUUUUUCCUGGAAUUGAAGUCCAAAAUUAACAUUUGUACGAGCAAAUAUAUAGACUCGGGAAAUGCUUUACGCUGGGUUUAUCAUGAAAUAACCAAGUUACCCGUGUUUUGGAUGCCCACGUGGCUUUACCCACAUACGGACUUUAAAUUGGUAAUAAAUGGUUUUGUUGCAUUAGUUUAAUCCUAAUUGGUUGGUAUAAAUUUUCAUUACCUACUUUUUAAUACUAAUUGAAACAAUUGAAUUACAUGUCAACAAAUUUUAUUCCUACGAUUAAGUUAUAAUUUAAGAGAUUCUUGUCUCUAUUUAAUAUUUAUAACAAACAUUUUAUACAUUAUAAAUAAUAUCUUUAAACGGACUUUUAUACACUUUUUAACAUUCUCUAUUUUGACACUUUGAUUUGUAUUUUUGAAGAAAUAUUAAUCAAUUUUUGCUCAUAUUUUAUUUAACAUAUUUUUUUAUAUGUCAAUGAUCAAUUAAUUUAAGCUCAUAUUUGGUUAGGCUAGAAAAUUAAUUAAAUUUGAGUCAAAUAUACUAAAAAUCUAAUUUUUAUCUAAACCAAACAAAAGCUAAAUGUGAUUUGAAUAAUAUAAAAAGUAUAGGAUUAAAAUAUGUUGCUCAUUAAAUGCAAUUAUUGUAACUCACUUUCUAUUUUAACAUUCUUUUAAAAAAAUUAAAAUAUAAUCUUUUGGAGUUUAUUUUUAAGUAUUGACUUUCUAAAAUAGAGAACGUGUUGUAUUUAGUACCAUUUACAGAGUCUCUUGCAGAUGUUCGAAUAAGGUGUUUUGACUUAAUCAUCCUUAGUGGAAGUGAUAUAGAGGUAAAAUAUGAACUACAUUAAUAAUGAAUUAAUGAAGCAUGUCAAGUUGAGUUUAUUUUAAACUUGAUUCCUACACCAUAGUGCCUCUUCUUGUGUUUUGAUGUCUAAUCUGGAGAUACGUACCUUGUCGACGAUGAUGUUUACGACAUGAAAGUCCUAUAGGCAGCUUUGCAGGAGGGUGAACAAAAAUUUACCCAGAAAUUUUAGGCUAGAUUUGAUAGUCAAUUACCCAAAUUGAGGGUGCUUGUGGAAUCGAAAGGACUCCCCCCUUAAUGGGUCACAGUCAAAGAGUUCUAUGGAUGCAUGAAUUCGGGAAUAACCAUGACAUUCAUAUAAUGACUACUAUCAUGAUUUUUUCUCACAGAUAUACAGAUCAUAAACAAACAAUAAAGGAUGAGCACGGUAUCUUCCAAUGAAGAUUUAAUAUCUAUUGUACUUUAAUUAAAAAUAACCCUAAUAAAACACAGAUUUAAGAAGUUGGUUUUGUGUUUUAGUUUUUCUAAUUAACUACUAAAUUAAGCAAUUUCAAAUGUACGAGUUUUGGUGACACUGGUGGUAUGCGAAGGUAUCUAAUUGCCUGAAAUUAUUGUUGCAAUUUUGCCUUAUUAAAUUGAUUAAUGAUGAAUGAAAAUUAAACGAACAAACAUAAAACACAAGAACACCGGGUUGUUCAGCCAAAAAGCGUAAUUUUGAGAGGGGGGAGGGGGUGGGUUAAAAGAUUCGCUCGUUCUACUAGUGCAACAAACAACCACAUAAAGAGAGCAAAGUAUAUUGAACCAAAUCAGAGCGAACUUUUUAUUCCUAGAUCCACAAGAUCUCGUAAAACUAACCCUAAUUUACAACCUAUCAGACCAAAACGAGUUCUAUACAGAAUCAUACGAUUUAUGUUUAAGAUUUUGGUUUUAUUCCUCAUUUAAUAUGCCCUUGUUGGAGCCCCAUUUUUCUAAAAAUUUGAUUUUUUUCAAAAUUUAUUUUCAAAAACACAUGCUCCAGUAAAAUAAUAUUACACGUAAAUCUAAAACUUUUCAAAAAUUUUAACCUCAUAUUCUCUAUCAUUCUUUUACUCCGAAAAUGCACUCUUUCUCCCAAAAUAGGGCUCAAUCAAGGGCAUAACUUUAUUUUAUCAAAGUAAUGUUGUGAUUAGAUGAUUUAAAAUAGUUAUAGGGAACCAUGGACAUAUAAUGAGCAUCAUGUGGGAGAGCAAGAAAAAUUAUAUUUGUAUUUUAUUUGAUGAAAAAAUAUUCGGAUUAAAAAAGUUACAUGGUCGAUCUAUAGACCUAACAAAAAGAAGAUAUAAAAACAAUACACAGGAGAGGAAAUUACAUGCUGAAAGUUAUUUUACUUGCAUUUUUCUAUCAUGAUAUGACGAAAAUCAAUAAUACAAAUAAACACUGAAUUGUUAUAUUUUGUUAUGUAAUCCUUUUCAUAAAUAUUAAAUAUAGUUGUUGUGAGAAAGAAAGGAGCAGGGAGGCGGGCGCCAUGGCGCCCAAGAGAAAGAAAAGGAACAGGGAGGCGCCCGACUCAGCUAUAUGUAUAUAGCUGUUUUUCCCUUCAUUUGGAACCCGAUUUUUGAGAGAAAAUAGAGAGAGCUUGGAUAAAAUUUAACAAGUAAGAAAUUGUUUUUCUUGGGUAUAAAUUCAAAGCUAUUUUUCUUUCUUGGGGAUUAACUUGAGGCUUGUUCAAGUAAUCCAAAUGCAUUGUUCUUCAUUUAUAUUGAAAAUCAUUUCUUCCCCAAUUUCUUAUCUUUGAAGUGGUUUGAGAUUUUUCACAUUGCAAGUUAUCUUUCUUGGGCAAUCUUGGGAGUGUUGUUUUCCCAAAAAUUUGGUAUCAGAGCUUCUUCUUAAAUCAGAUUGGUUAAGCUCCGAUUUUUGGUGGGUGGCUUGAACUUUGUUGUGCACACAAGGUGUUUGUGAAAAUUCCCAAGUAAACUUUGUUAUUUUAUUUCCGGUAAACAAGUAGAUAAAUCAUGUCUACUAGAGGAAUGGUGAAAAUUGGGAAGUAUGAGAUAGAGAAAUUCAAUGGGAAGAAUGACUUCUCAUAUUGGAGAAUGCAAAUGAGAAAUUUGUUAAUUUCUCAAAAGUUGCACAAGGCAUUGGCGGGAAAGGAAAAGAAGCACAUAGAUAUGUCUGACGAGGAUUGGGAAGAUCUAGAUCUUGAGGCAUGAGCGUCUAUCAUUCUAUGUCUUGAAAGAGAUGUUGCUUUCUUGGUUGAUGGUGAGGAAACGGCGGCGGAGGUGUGGACAAAGUUGGAGGUGAACUUCAUGACAAAGACUCUAACAAAUCGGAUCUAUUUGAAGUCCAAAUUGUAUACUUGCAAGAUGGAUGAAGGUACACCAAUCCGGGAGUACGUCAACAAGUUUGAUAGGUGCAUAUUGGACUUGAAGGACAUUGAUGUGAAAGUAGAUGAUGAGGAUCAAGCACUUCUACUACUUCUUUCAUUGCCAAAGUCUUACGAGAACCUAGUACAAACAUUGAUACUUGUGGGUGAUAAACUUGUGAUGGAGGACACUAGAACGUCACUUCUAGCGGAUGAUCUUCGAAAGAUUGCAACUAGUGGCAUGUCUACCAUUGGUAACAAGGAGCAAGCUCAAGGAUAGUUUGUAAGAGGUAGAAGUAAUGUGCGACCAAAGGGCAAGGGAGAAAAAUCUAGAUCGAGUUCUAGACCUCUUGCGAAAAGGUUUUGUUUCAAAUGCGGCGAGCUUGGGCAUUUCAAGGCGAAUUGUACUAACAAAAAGGGUUGGAAGAAGAACAAUAAGAACAACAAUAACGGGAAGGUGCAAGUCAAGCAAGAGGUUAGCUAUGCCUCGGAAGGAGGGGAAAGCGAUGAGUGCUACACCAUCACUUGUGAUGAAGAAAUCUCCGGUAAGUGGAUUCUUGACUCUGGAUGCUCUUAUCAUAUGUAUCCAAAUAGAAAGUGGUUUACUACCUAUAGAAGCACUAAUGGUGGAACCGUGUUGAUGGGUAAUGACCAUUCCUGUAAAACGGUGGGACUCGGUUCAAUUAGAAUCAAGAUGUAUGAUGGAGUGGUUAGAACAUUGAUGGAUGUUAGACAUGUUCCUGAUUUGCGGAAGAACCUUAUCUCUGUUGGUGCUUUAGACUUCGGUGGUUGCAAGAUUGUAACAUGGAAUGGAGUAAAUAAGGUUGUUCGUGGUUCUUUGAUUGUGAUGAAGGGUAUCCACGAAGGCAAUCUCUAUGCUCUUCAAGGUACUACAGUUACCAAAGAAGUAGCGGUAGGAACAAGUGGAAGUGGAGGAGACCCAUGUGAGUGCACUCGGCUAUGGCAUAGGAGGCUUGAGCAUAUGUCUGAAAAGGGGCCAGAUCUGCUAGUCAAGAAAGGUUUGCUAAAGAACUUGAAGAAGCCUUGCAUGGAUUUUUGUGAGCAUUGCAUGUACGGUAAAGCACAGCGAGUUCAGUUCCAGCCAAGUAAACAUAGAAGCAAAGGUAUUCUAGACUAUGUGCAUACGGAUGUAUGGGGUCCGACUUCUGUCACUUCCAAAGGCGGUUUCAGGUAUUUUGUCACAUUUGUUGAUGAUUAUUCUAGAUAUGCUUGGAUUUAUUUUUUGAAGCAUAAGAAUGAGGAAUUCGACACUUUCAAAAAGUGGAAAGCAAUGGGUGAAAACAAAACAGGAAAGAAAUUGAAGACACUGCGAUCUAAUAACGGUACUGAGUAUACAGAUGGUGCUUUCAAGGAGUUCUGUGGUAAGGAAGGCAUUGUGAGACACUGGGCAGUUAGGAAUACACCGCAACAGAAUGGGGUCGCAGAAAGACUGAAUCCCACAUUUCGAGAGAAAUCAAUGUGUAUGCGAUCCUAUGCUGGUUUGGGCAGAGAAUAGUGGGCAGAGUCGGUUGUAAAUGCUUACUACAUAGUGAACCGAUCUCCACAUUCAAAGUUAGAUGGAGAUGUACCUUAUAGGGUAUUAACAGGGAAACAUGCAGAUUAUGAGAAAUUCAGAAUAUUCGGAUGCACAGCCUAGUAUCACGUCAACAAGGGAAAAGCUUGAUGCGAGGGCCAAGAAGGCUAUAUUGUUGGGGUAUGCGACAGGUGUAAAAGGCUAUCGCUAUGGUGUGUAGAGGAUUCUAAGCUCAUAAUCAGCAGAGAUGUUACUUUUGAUGAGAACUCUAUAAUAGCUUCGUUGAAAGCUAUAGUGCCUGGUGGUGAUGAUGUUAAGACUACAAAGUCUCAAGUUGUUGACAUAGAACAUAGAGAUCAACCUGGUUCUAGUCAUGUUCAAGAGGAGCAUCAUGCAGACACUCUAGAUGAGAGUGAUGAUGAGCUUGAACAAGAGGCGGUUCAGUAAGAAAAUGUACAUGCACAGCAACAACAGCAGCUUGCAGAUAACCUGGCUUCCUCUAGGCCACAGCGUACUUACAAGCAAGUUCUAAAGUUGGGGUCAGAUGAGCCUUUGAGGCACUAUGGGCAGACAAAUUUGAUUGAGUAUGCACUCUCGGUGGAGGAUGAUGAGCCUGCUACUUUCAAGGAAGCUAUUUUAAACAAUAAUAGUGAGAGUUGGUUGGCAGCGAUGGAAGAAGAGAUGGAAUCACUUCACAAGAACCAAACAUGGGAGGUUGUCCUAUUGCCCAUAGGUAAGAAAGUCAUUGGUUGCAAGUGGUUGUACAAAAAGAAAGAAGAUCCUACCAAGCUCGGUGGUACAAGAUUCAAAGCAAGGUUAGUGGCUAAGGGGUUUGCACAAAGAGAGGGAGUUGACUACAAUGAGAUCUUUUCUCCGGUGGUCAAGCAUACUUCCAUUCGGGUGCUAUUGAGUAUUGUUGCUCAUCAUGAUCUUAAGCUGGAACAACUCGAUGUCAAAACCGCCUUCUUGCACGGGGACUUAGAUGAGGAAAUCUAUAUGCACCAACCUGAGGGCUACAAGGUUGAGGAUAAGGAACGUCAGGUAUGUCGCUUGAGAAAAUCACUAUAUGGAAUGAAACAAUCUCCUCGGUAGUGGUACAAGCGAUUUGACUCCUUCAUGCUAAAGCAUGGUUUCUCUAGAAGUGAGUAUGACUGUUGUGUUUAUAUUCAAAAACUUCGGGAAGGUAACUAUAUCUAUCUUUUUUUGUAUGUGGAUGACAUGCUCAUUGCUUCGAAAAGCAAGGUGGAGAUAGAUAGGUUGAAAUCUCAACUUGGUAAAGAGUUUGAGAUGAAGGAUAUGGGGGCUGCUAGGAAAAUAUUGGGUAUGGAGAUUAGAAGAGAGAGGACGAAUCGGCGAAUGUUCUUGAGUUAGAAAGGCUACAUUGAGCGGGUUAUUGCUAGGUUCGGGUUGCAAGGUGCAAAGUCGGUGGUGACUCCAUUGGCUCCACAUUUCAAGAUCUAUGGUAAACAAUCUCCUACUACAGUGGAAGAAAAGGUACGCAUGGAUCGUGUACCUUAUGCUAGUGCAGUUGGCAGUUUGAUGUAUGCCAUGGUGUGUACACGCCCAGAUAUUUCAUAGGCGGUUAGUGUGGUCAGUAGAUUCAUGGCGAAUCCGGGGAAGGCACACUGGGAAGCUGUGAAGUGGAUCCUGAGGUACUUAAAAGAUACCGCGGAUACGGGUUUAUGUUUUGGUGGGGAUGCAUGUCAUAUAAGUGGGUUUGUGGACUCGAAUUAUGCAGGUGAUCUAGAUAGACGACGAUCUACUACUGAAUAUGUGUUUUGCAUACAUGGUGCUCCAGUUAGUUGGCGAUCGAUGUUACAGGCUACAGUGGCUUUUUCUACUACAUAGGCCGAGUAUAUGGCCAUGGCAGAGGGAGUAAAGGAAGCAUUGUGGUUGUGGGGUCUUUUAGAUGAUUUGGGGAUUGAGCAGGAUUGUGUGGACUUGUGGUGUGAUAGCCAGAGUGCAAUUCAUUUGGAUAAGAAUCAAGUUCAUCAUACUCGAACCAAGCAUAUCGACGUCAGGUAUCAUUUUGUGCGUGAUAUCAUAGAGGAAGGUGAUAUUUCUCUCUUGAAGGUACACACAAAUGAAAACCCAGCAGACAUGUCAACCAAAGUGGUAACGGGUAGCAAGUUUCAGCAUUGCUUGGACUUGCUUCACAUUAGCCCGUGCAGAUAUGCCCAUGUGGGCAUGGCCCUUCAGGGCGGGGUUGAAAUGAGGUGAAGAGUAUAUGAAGGUGGAGGUGAACUACGGAGGCUUGAUUCCGAGUUUUGGGUACGUAGGCAACCAUGAAUUGAAUGGUGCAGCCGAGUUUUGCGCUUGCUGCUUCUUCUUGUGUUCGUCCAAAAUUUGAGGUCUAUCAAAUGAUGUACGAGGUGGAGAAUUGUGAGAAAGAAAGGAGCAGGGAGGCGGGCGCUAUGGCGCCCGACUCAGCUAUAUAUAUAGCUGUUUUUCCCUUCAUUUGGAACCCGAUUUUUGAGAGAAAAUAGAGAGAGCUUGGAUAGAAUUUAACAAGUAAGAAGAUGUUUUUUUGGGUAUAAAUUCAAAGCUAUUUUUCUUUCUUGGGGAUUAACUUGAGGCCUGUUCAAGUAAUCCAAAUCCAUUGUUCUUCAUUUAUAUUGAAAAUCAUUUCUUCCUCAAUUUCUUAUCUUUGAAGUGGUCUAGGAUUUUUCACAUUGCAAGUUAUCUUUCUUGGGCAAUCUUGGGAGUGUUGUUUUCCCAACAGUUGUAUUGAUUUUUUUCUUUAUGUUUCUUAUUUAAUUGAAAGAUGGGUUGUACAUUAAAUUGCACACAAGAUACCCAAAAUUUCAGAACGGGCCUGCAUUACUAUAAUGGGAACUUUUGACGGUACAUAAAUGGCUAGAAUGUUAAGAGUGUGAAUUAAGUUUAACAUGUAUUUAUACGACAUACAAGCUAAUAAUCUAAAAAACCUUUGUCAAACCAUAUUUUCGACAUUCCUACAAUUAAAUUUGCAAUAAGUGAGAAUGUUCUCCUCCGGUUAUGUAGAUUAUGAGAUAAAUUUCAUAUCGAAUAAAGAUGAAAAUAUAAAUCAACAUAUAAAAGUUCGGACUACUUCUCUUAAUAAUGUUGACAUUUUAAGAUAAAAUUACAAGUCUAAGUAGUGCACUCGACUUGCACUUUUCAUUUUUAUUUCAAUUAUAAUAUUAGGCUUGUUUAUAUUUAGUCCAUAUUUGGUAGAAAUUAAAUCAUGAUUUUUAUUCGAGUCAAAGUCAACAGUUAAAUUUGGCCACACAUUUCAAGAACCCACAACUUUCCAACAAAAUAUUUUAUCAACAUCUAUUAAAUCAACAAAAAAUCUGAUUUUAAUUCCUACCAAACAAUGGCUUAGUAACAAAAAUAACGAAGUGACCAAGAAAAAACCUUGAAAUUUUUGUCAUACAAACAAUACUUGUAGCAUUCUGAAUAGUUUAAAAGAGGCUUAUCUAUAAAUAAUAUACCGUAAUCUACAUGCAACUUUGUCAAGUUGGACAAGAAUUUCAAAAUUUUAACUGUUUUCUCACAUUGAGUCAUUAAUCUCAUAUAUCACUUUAUUUCUAUUCAAUUUUAUUGAUGAUAUUAGAUGGAGCAAAGAAAGAAGAAAUCCUACUUUUUAGCUGCAUUUUAAAGUAUAUUGAAGUUACUUUUACGAAAACAAACUUUUUAAAGUUGAUUUUUAUAUCCAACAAACACAACUAACCGUGUAGUAUAGAAAAAUGGGUACAAAUGGAAAAUAUACUACAAAACAUGGAUGCGAAAAUCAAAUAUUACAAAAGAGACUUCAGCUAGAAAUAUACUAAUCUAUGACAACAAGAAAGGUUGAGAAACAUUCUUACAAGAAAUAUUAUCAGGAUCCUUCAUCAAAACAAUUUUGAGAAUCUAAACAAUAUUAUAAAUAUCUUUCACAGUAUCUAUAGCGUAAAUCAUAUCAGCUGCUAUGCUAUUCUAAGCAAAAGUAAAAGGAAUAUUUAUCUAACUCGGGACAUCUCCUUUAAAUUCUGAAAGAGUGGCAAUGCAUGCAAGAUGAAGCUCAAAUUCUGUGAAUGAGUCUAUCCUUGACAUGGGAAUCAAGGUGCCAUUGGCAUGCAACCAAAACCAGACCCAUAGAUUUCUUGAAGAAGCAAAUAUAUCAUCACUGCUAUUUUCAUGCAUCAUUGAGUCAUUUGCGAGAUUAGACGCAACGUAUAUUCCACAAUUAGCACUUUCAUUGUAAUUUUCUUCUUUGACUUUCGCACUGGGACUUGUGGCGGGAUCUUGCAAGAGGAAGGAGAGAGAGUCGACCCUUUUCAAUAGAGAUUGCUCAUCCAAAAGGGUCACACUUUGGGUGUCACUAAGUAAAGCUUGUUUAAUGUUUUCCAUUACAUUCCAAAAUUCUGGUGUCAUGUCUGAUGGCACAAAUCCAGUAGUUACUUGUUCUGAAAUACAGCUUCCUGUUCAAACAACAUCAAAGGUUCAUAGUUAUUACGCAACACGUCUGGAGAGUAUUGUAGAAAAUACCUCCUAUCUAAACAACAUCAAAGGUUCGGUCACUCAAAAACCAGGACAAUGUUUUCAGGAUCUCAAAAUUGUUCAGUCAAGUAAUUAUAAGGACUCUAAUCGAAACCAAAAGGUUUUAACAUGAAAUUUCCAUGGAAUGAAAAGCAUAUCCCUAUAUAUUAAAAGAGGGACUUCAUCUUGGCACUGUUUAUAAGAGUGCAUGCCUUUUUUUUUUUUUUUUUUUGGUUUUUUUGGUUUUUUUUUUUUUUUUUUUUUUCCUUUUUUUUUUUUUNNNNNNNNNNNNNNNNNNNNNNNNNNNNNNNNNNNNNNNNNNNNNNNNNNNNNNNNNNNNNNNNNNNNNNNNNNNNNNNNNNNNNNNNNNNNNNNNNNNNNNNNNNNNNNNNNNNNNNNNNNNNNNUUUUUUUUGGAUUUACUGGUUUGACUAUUGUUCAUUUUUUCCCUUCUUAUAUUCAUUUUACUCAUUUAUUCCAACAAACCUUAGCAGUUGACUCUCCCGAAACUUAUCCUUCCUCUCGCGUCACGUCCUUUGUUUUUGCCCUAAGCAACGGAUGCUGUAACGCCCUGAGCUCCGGGAACUCGUGACGUUACAAAUACCCUAAAUUUAUAAAAUUCUCCCUAAUGGUCAAAAAAUGUAGCAGCUUAACUUGUAAUGAACACAUUAAGGCUCUGGAGAACUUGUUACAAAAUUUAAGAAAAUUUUCGUGCGGAAAGUUUUGACUUCAGCUUGUACGACUUUCUGAAAUAAAUCUCAUUUCACACAUAAAUGAAGUCCAAAAUUUACAAAAACUGUAGACAUUAUACACAUAGGGGAAUUACACGUUAAAAUUUCGUAGAUAUAUUCAAUCAAUAGAUUGGUAAAUAAUUCUUUCUAAAUCGGGGAAUAUCUGUCCCCGGAUACAAUCUGACAGCGUUUGGAAAAAUAUUCAUAACUUGAGUUUAAAAAUCAUGAUUUCAAAUCCAAGGGAUAGAUAACUCAUAAGGCUAUCUUUUCCAACUAGAAUCACCUCAACAUUCCAAGUAUUUAGGUUUGGGUGAAUUUUUAAACUUGGAAACGGAACUAGAUUUACAAACAAACAUUAAAAAAAAAAAAAAAAUUGUUUGUCUCAAAACAAGAAUUCAAACUACAAUAUCCGGGACACCAAUGAAUAAUAAACAUAAAAGUGGCAAAUCUAAAACGUAAAAUAAAUUUCUCUAAAAAUAAAACAUGCCAUUCAUGCCAAACCGUCGCCGGAUCUCUGAUUAAUUUGAAAAUGGUUAAAUAAGAGUGAGCAUCUCAAAAAAAUACUCAGCAGGCUACACAUGUUACAUGAACUUAAUAUUCAUAUAUUUAAUCAUACAUUCUUACAUGUUACCUUCAUUAAUAAGUAAAUCGAUGAUCAAACGAUAUACCUAAAGUUUUCAUGAGCCUCUGCGACCAUUAGUUUAAUAUAUAUACUUAAGGUUCUGGUGAGCCUCUAUGGCCAUUAGUUUAAACAUGUAUAAACCUUUCUUUCAUCAAAAUUUAAGGAAAAUCUCUAAAGGCACUUUAUACUUCAUGCAAAUAUAACGAAUAACAUGCUUAUUUGAAAAUUAAAUUCAUGUAACGACAAUUUCGCGUAGGGAUCCUACCUUAGUUCGUGGUGAUGAUGUAGUCGUUGAAUCAAACUUUUAUUUUCCAACACUUUUCUAAAGACUAAAGGUAAAAUUGGAAAUUUUCCUUUGCUAUAUUUCUUGGAGAUUCUGAAAAUUGGAAGCCAUGUCCCAUGAAAGUUGGAUGAAAAUUCAAUUAUAGAUAGUAGAAUUUGGAUAGGAAUAGGUUUGUUAUUAGAGGAUUAGGAUAGGGCUUAGUUGAUUCAAAUCUUUAACUAAAUCCUACUUAAAUCCAAAUUCUAGUUUAAUUCAAUUUAAAAUAUAAAAAAGUAUGACCAAUUUCCAAAAGACUUUCAUCCUAAGCCAAAGUAUUAUAUUGCCAAAUCCAUUUCACACGUUGCUAGAAAUUAUUAAAUUCCUAAUUGACUUUAAUUAAGUAGGCGGAUACUUUGAGCAUCAAUAUCAUGGGCCUAACUUAUCCAAAAUAACUUUUUCUCAAGUACAAAAAUCGUAAUUUAAUAUGAGCUUCAAAACAAGCCCAAUAUUGAUAUGAAAAUUUUUGUUGGAUGAAUACUUGGUUAUUUGACCGAAAACUAAAAAUUUUGACACGAUUUAUUUUUAAUUUAGUCCCUCUGUAUCUCAACUUAACCAAACAUGACAAGAUGAAAUGGAUGAAAAUUAAAUUUCAGUUUGCUACAGAUGCUAGAUCUUCUUUCGUCAUAUAUAGAGUUAUGAAAAAUUCAUGGAAAAUAAUAGGAAUUAGACUAGACAGAGUCUUCAACCGGUUCAAAUCGAGUUCUUGGGUUACGGGUUUGGGUUCGGUGGAUCUAUGCAACUCCCAAUUGCAGCUGCCACAUUUUUGCGGUGGUUUUGGUAGGAUUUAUGAAAAUGGUGGUUUAGACAACUGAGGAGAUUGUGUCACUGAGGGCAGAAAGUCAAAGCUGUGUUUGCGGUGGCUGGAGCUGUCUAUUUUGUGUUUGUUUUCUUGGUUCUAUUUCUUCAUCCUUUUUCGAUUUUGUAGAAAGUUGAUUAAUAACGAAGGCCUCGAAUUUUGUUUUUUAAAAUUUUCUAACAAGGAACCAUUUCCUAAAAGCAAGUUUAGCUGUAUGUUAAUUUUUGGUAUUUAAUGGUACUCUUUCGUCGCUAAUGAAAAAACCAUUAAGUUUUUAAAGGUGACAUAACCAAUUUCAUUUUUAUUUAAUCAUUGUUAAUGGAAGUAAAGAGAAAGAUGUAAAACUUAAGUGUUCUAAGUUCAUUGUUACAGCUGUAAAAUAGAACUUCGAGCCCCUCGUUCAUAGUAUCUGGGUCUUUUACUUAUCAUGCAGGGGAUUUGAUGCCUUGAUUUCUCAAUGCAAAGGAUCUUUCUUUUCUGGGUUUCUCUUUUUUCUUUUCUGCCAACAUCUUAAUAUGCACUAAUUCAUGGGCUUUGUUGUUCUCUUUUAUUCUACGAGUCCAGCAACCUAAUCUUUUGUUUGUACUUUAUGGUUUAUAUUUCUCUUUAUAAGGAAAAUUUAUCUUAUGCAACUAAGUUGUACAUCUGCUUGGUAUGAAGUUGUUGCGUUUAUUGUAGUCUAAAUCAGGAAAAAACUUCAUUGGAUGUAUUUAUUUCAAAUAUUUGUAAGAUGCUAUUACUUAUCUGGUGAUUUUCUCCAAUACGAUUUUAUAUCACUUGACUUUUCCCCAGGUUUCAGUUCUUGAGUGGAUAAUUAUUUUUUAUGCCUUGUUUGUCCCAUAAUUUUAAUGCUUAGCAUAUAGGAAUAGGCUACUUCUUCACAAGUUCGGAAGCUUUGGUGAGAAGGAAACUAAUGCUAAUGGUCUUUUAAUUAAAUAGGCCCAAGAGAAUGUAAAGAAAAUUUGUGAAGCAAAUGUGGAUCCUUUGAAAGGUGCUACAAAUGGCAACAUUGCCAGUUCAAGCGUUUCUUCAAGCCCUAAUCAACAUUUUGCUAAUGGGGCUAUCUAGAGUGAUCUCAUAACUGUUUGAAAAUUAACACAUCCUUUUCACCUCUAGGCAUUCCCUUGCUGCGAUUACCAGUGGUAGCUGUACUUAAACUAAGCCAUAGUUACAUUGGCAGUUUUUGUAGGAUCCAUCAAUUUUUGGGUGUGUUCGACAU
rnacentral:lncRNA from 1 species